rnacentral:lncRNA from 1 species
AAUUUAUCAUACAAGUAGCACAAAAAGAAUAAAUGAAAAUUAGUAAAUUUGGUUUCAUUGUCCAAUUCACAAAAUGAAUAAACGAAAAUUAGUAAAUUUGGUUUCAUUGUCCAAUUCACAAGGUACUAAUUAACAUCCUCAGAUUCAUAAUAAACUAUUUUUUCUAAAGAAAGAUAUAAUUUUUGAACUUCUAUCUUGGUUUGAUGGUUGGUACACUUCCACUGACAAGGUCACUACCUAACACAUCUUAUGAAAUAAAAGGAGUGUUUAUAGUAGAAGAUGAAGGUUGUGAAUUCAAUAUUGUACCAGAAGAAUCACUUGUAACAUAUUCAACUCCCUUGGAAUCUGGCUCAAGUAACAUAGAACAAAUGUAUUCAAGCUCUCUAGCCACUUCUGCCAUUUUAGGCCUCUCAUCUGGUAAAUCUUUGCAACACUUUAAGGCUAAAGUCAAAAAUCUCACUGCAUACUCAAAUGGAUACGACUCAAUACGUUUAUCAACAACCAGAGAAAUUCCACCAGAUUGGUAUACCAUAUUAACCUAAAAUAAAAAAGGAAGAAACAAAAAGAUUUAGGUCUUUCUUAGAUAACUUCUCAUUAAGCACUUAUACGAAGAAGAAAAUAAGAAGGUAAAACAAAUUAUUCUGUUAUAAGUUAAAGUUAACUUGUACACAACUUAAACCAAGUUAACUCAAAUUACCUUUAUUAAAUUGUCAAGAAGAGAAACCAUGACAUACCUGUCUAAUUAUAUUUUCACCAUGAAAGAUUGGUGGCCUUCCAGUCAAAAGUUCCAAAAAUACAACACCCAGACUGUAAACAUCACUUUUGUGAGUCAAAUUACGUGUUAAGAAGUACUCUGGAUCAAGGUAACCCUGCAUGAGUACAAAAAUAGAAAAAUUAAAUCAUUGACGGAUAAAAUCAACCUUAAACAAUAUAUAAAAAAUAAUUUCAAAUGAAUUAGUUAGAUACAUCUUUGUAUUUUGGUUUCGAAGAUCCAAACGUCAAACUUAUUUCUUAAACUAUACAAAACACACAUGACUGGCAACAGUUAUUUUCUACGCAUAACUGUCCCUCACUUUGAGUUGCUAUCAAGAUCAGACUCCCUCCCAAUGUUUCAUAUGUGUUGAUGGUAAACUUGAGUGUGAAUACAGAGAAGUAUUCAUCUUUUUCUUUUACAUAGACUUUGUGUGUCACCUCUUCAUUACUUGUACCUCUUUAUUUUUUCAAAAGAAAUAUGCCAAUAAUGCUCAUCUUUAAGUCAUACUUGAAUUAAGGCAUUGGUCUACUACAUUUGACCUUUUUAGAUUUUGUAGAAUAGUGUCUCAUACUUUAAUAUAAUUUCAAAUCUCACCCUAAAACACAUGCAAGCAAAUGCAGUAAUGAAAACCAUACCGGGGUCCCCUUUACCACAGUGGAUACAUGAGCAGGUACAUUUCCUUCAAUAUCUGGAACUGGGGCAAGUCGUGAAAGUCCAAAAUCGGCAACUUUUUCUGUGUACCUAGAGUCCAAUAAUAUAUUGCUGGCCUUCACGUUUCGGUGGAAUAUUGGACGAUUAGCUUCUGUGUGUAGAUAUACAAGACCUUUUGCUGAUUCUAGAGCCAUCUUUAACCUCAGAGAAAACCUAAGAACAUCUUUUGAAUAAGCUGUCAUCAAACAUUACCAACAUAGUUAAGACAUAGAAAGGCAUUUUUUUAUUAAAUUAAGAAUAAAAUUAUAACGUUAGUCCCUUUGUACUUGAAACCAAGUUGGGGCCAGAAAUAAGAACAAGAAAACUUAUACAGGAAAUACAGAAAAUUUGAGGAUAGAAGUUUAAAUAUACCAGAAAGGUGAUCCCUUAGGGUUCCAUUUGGCAUAUAUUCAUAGACUAACAUCUGCAAGCACAAAGAAACAAACCAAACAGAACACAUAAACUAGUCAAAAAAGGACAUAAGAUUUAAGGGAGAAAUAGAACCAAAAUAACCAUUGCCUUAAGAAUCAUUCUCAUUUUAACGAUAUGCCAUCAGGCAAAGUUACCUGUUCUCCCUCUUCAUCACAGUAUCCAAUCAGAGACACAAGGUUGCGAUGGUGUAGCCUUGAUAGCAAUUCUAUUUCUGUAUGGAACUCCCUCUCACCUUGCAGUGAACCCUCCUGUGCACGUUUUAUGGCAACAACAGUGCCAUCAGAAAGACGACCUUUAUAAACCUUCCCAUAACCCCCUUCUCCAAUUUGAGCAGACUCACUAAAACUGUUUGUAGCCAAGGCCAUUUCUUUGUAAUCAAAUGAUCUUACACCUUCCACUUUUAGCGAGAUCCUAGAUGCUGUGAAAAUUUUAGAAGCCUUUGUUUAAGAUAUAUAUAAUCAAGUCAUUCUUGAUGGUACAGAAAAAUAGAUUUAGAAUAUAUUUAUGCCAAAAUAAAAUAUGUGCAAUAACAUCUAGACUUCAGAUUAUGAAAGAGCCAAAGCCUUGGAAAAAAAAUAAUAGGCUAACUCAUUGUAAGGUACUCACCGUUACGCCGCUUGGAAAGUGCACGAUAAUCUCUCAAGCGUAUUCUCAAAAUAAGAAAGGAAACAACUGCAGAUAAUGUAAGUGCACAGGCAAUUGCACCUAAGAUUAUUCAAGCCAAUGCACCUUUGCUUAUCCCUGAACUUGAAGCGGGAGUAAUAGCUGCAUAAUAAGCAGUAUAUGAGUACAAUUGAUCAACCUUAAAACAGUUUUCAAAUAUCAUAUUCCAAUAUAUGGGAUUAACCUUCAAUAUAAUUUCAAAAUAUUUAUUUGAAAGGUGAAGCAUGAAUUAUACUAGAAAAAGGCUGAGUUCUUAAUAAAAUGUAGAGAACCACUAGGUCUGUUUGUACAAGCUUCUUCACAAACAACUUUAGGAGAGAAAUGAGUUGGUUUCUGUUAGGACAGAAAAUAAGGAAAAGACAUGGAAGGUGUAUUAUAGGAGAAAACUUAAAAAUAAAGGGUAAGGGAGUUGGUUAGUUAGUUGGUUAUGGUUGGUCUUUAAAUAAAGACCAACUGGUUUAGGGAGGGGAUGAAUUUUGGAUUACAGUUUCGUUGACAGGAGAAGUCCUGUGUGAAAGGAAUCAUUGUUUCCUUUGUAAUUGUUCUGAUUGUACAUCGGGUGGAAAUAAACAGAGGUUAUUCAGUUCUUUUCUGUGUUCUUGGAGUAUUUUGGGUUUUCUGUUUUUGGGUUCUUAACAGUUUCUCAAUGAACUGAAAUUAAAUUAUGCAUAAGCUAAUUUGUAAAUUUGUAGAAACUUACUCAUCUAGCUAUAUGUAGCUCUCUCUAUUUACUUUUUUUAACUUGUCCAUAAAAUAAUUUUAGUUAGUAAAAAGAGCUCAUUUCACACUUUUCUUCUUAUUCCUCUCUUCUAGAAGUGUUUAUAGAGGAGUUUAUUUAAACAAGUCUUAACUCAAUCUGCAUAAAACUUUAAACAAUUCAAUUACAUGUUUCCAUGAUCACUGUUCAACCACCUGACUGAGAUUCAACUUCAGUUUUCUUGUUAACAGUGUCCAAGUACUUCUAGGACAAUCAUAUCAUCAAAAGUGUAUUCAUAAGGAGGGGGCAUCCUUGACUUGGACAGACAACAGUGGAGACUCCAUCCUUGUCAUUGUCACUUUCACGUCCACAGAACUGAACUGAGGAGUUAUUAUUCGAACAUACAGGAUUUCCCUCAAGCGUGAAAAACAGUAAUUUUAAGAAUAAUGUGACAAGUUGCUGAAGGAAGAUGGAAUUCAUGCUAAUCAGUGUUCAACAAGAUUUGACUUUUAUCAUAAGGGUUUAUAUUAUUACUUUGAACAAGCAUGACAAAGAUAAAAGAUAAAACUCUCCACUACUCUUACAUUAGUACGUCUGAAAAAUCAGUUUAGAAGCUUACAUAAGUGUGACAUUUGGAGGAAGAUUUGUACUGCCUGAUAUGCUUGUAAGUUGAUAAUGCUGCAUGUACCUGCAACAGAGCAAGUCAAAAACAAAAAAUUAAAAUGCAUCUAAGCUAACAAAACAGUUGUAUGGAUACAAGAUGCCUUGGGAGUAUACAGACAUAUUCAUGUUCUCACACAUAGUAUCACCCACAGCCGAAGAAAAAUGAAGGACACAAAUUUAUAAAACCUAAACCCUAAAUUUCUGCUCCAAAAUAUAAAUCUACAAGAGCAAGAUUGCACAAUUAUCAUUUCAUGUCUUACAAGAUAAGUUCCCUCGGUUGCAUUUAAAGUCCUGAUCUGCCAAAUGGUGGAAGGAACGGUGCCACUAAUUGAAUUUGUUAGAAAUUGUGUUUUUUAACUGCAAAUAAAUGCACAUAAGUACACAUGAUAUUUUAUUUUUUCUGUUGUUUUAAUUAUGUUUUAAUUGUUGAUUUAAUAUUUUUAGAUAACUGCUCAUAAAAUCAUUUAAGACUUAGUUACUGCAAGUACUAUCAAUGUAAUUGUUAUAAAAAUAAUAAAAUAUUUUCCUCUGAUUUAUUCUAAAAAACCAACAAUUGGUAUAAGAGCUAUCUUCUUGAGGGGAUCUGUGAGGUUAGUAGAGUGCAUCAAUGGAAGGAGGUUCCAAUUUUUCAACAAUGGCACCACCUGUCUUUGAUAGGGACAAUUAUCAAAUGUGGGUUGUUCGUAUGGAGACCUACCUAAAAGCAUUGGAUUUAUGGGAAGCUGUAGAGGAGGACUAUGAAAUUCAGUCCCUUCCAGAAAACCCUACUGUGGCACAACUAAAAUCACAUAAGGAAAAGAAGAUGAAAAGAUCAAAGGCAAAAGCAUGUCUAUUUGCAACUGUAUCUCCUAUGGUAUUCACAAGGAUAAUGUCCAUGAAGUCAAGUCAGCAAAAGCAAUUUGGGAUUACCUCAAAGCAGAAUAUGAAGGCGAUGAGAGGAUUCGUGGUAUGCAAGUGUUGAAUCUAAUCAGGGAGUUUGAACUGCAGAGAAUGAAAUAGUCAGAAUCCGUAAAAGAGUACUCUGACAGACUUCUAACCAUUGCCAACAAAGUGAGGUUGCUUGGAUCUGUGUUAAAAGAUUCAAGAAUUGUGGAAAAACUGUUGGAUCUGUGUUAAAAGAUUCAAGAAUUGUGGAAAAACUGUUUGUAACGGUUCCAGAGAGGUUUGAAGCCACCAUAACAACCCUAGAGAACACAAAGGACCUAUAAAAAAUUUUCUCUUGCAGAGCUCUUAAAUGUUUUACAAGCACGAGAACAAAGAAGAGGCAUGAGACAAGAUGGAGCAAUAGAAGGAGCCUUAACAACCAAACAUGAAGGUGGCUGGAGAAAGAAAGGUAGCUAGAUCAAAGAGAAAUUACCCUCCUUGUAAGCAUUGCAACAAGUUAGGUCAUCCACCGUUUAAGUGCUGGAGAAGACCUGAUGCUAAGUGCAACAAGUGCAAUCAACUUGGGCAUGAAGCAGUCAUUUGUAGAAACCAAAGUGAGCAACCAGAUGUAAACCAAAGUGAGCAACAAGAUGUAAAUGCUCAAUUUGCAAAUGAGGAGGAGGAUGUACUUUUCGUUGCAACUGGUUUCUCCAGAAAUAUUUCAAGUGCAUCUUGACUAAUUGAUAGUGGAUGCACAAAUCACAUGACUUAUGACAAAAAACUUUUCAAGGAGUUGAAGCCUUCAAAAAUUUCAAAGGUCAAGAUAGGUCAUUGGGGUCACAUUUUAGUAGAAGGAAUAGGAACUAUUGUUGUAGCAACACAUUCAGGUACUAAAACUAUUACUGAUGUUGUGUUAUAUGUACCUAACAUAGACCAAAAUUUAUUGAGUGUUGGUCAGUUGCUGCAAAAAGGCUUCAAGGUGUUUUUUGAAGAUAACCACUGUUUGAUCAAGUUGAUCAAGGAUGCUAUCGGACAAGAUUUGUUCAAGGUACAAAUGAGAGGCAAAAGUUUCUCAUUAGAUCUAUUUCAGGAGGAGCCGUCUAAUCAAAGGCUUCUCAAGAUGCAAAAAUCUGAAAUGGAAGAUGAUCCACCAAUUAAAGGCAAUCGAUUACUCUCUAACAUAAAUCACAGAUGUAACGUUGCAGUAUGUGAACCUGCUGAUCACAAAGAACCUGCUAAUCACAAAGAAGUUAUCAAUGACCCAAGUCGAAAAAGGCAAUGGAGGAAGAGGUGUAUAUGAUCGAGAAGAACAAAACUCGAGAGCUUGUUGAUAUACCUCGAGAUAGAAAGGUACAUCAAAUGGAUGUCAAGUCAACAUUCCUAAAUGGAUUUCUUGAAUAAGAGAUUUAUGUUGAGCAACCUAAAGGUUUCAUUGUGGAAGAAAAAAAAGACAAAGUUAUAAGUUGUCUAAAAGAGGUUCCCAAAAAACAUGGUAUAACCGAAUUGAUGAUUAUCUUAUCAGCUUAGGCUUUGACAAAAGUCUCAUGAAUCUGCACCUUAUGUCAAAUCAAAAGGUGUUGAAUGAAGAUUAAGCAAAGCGAGGAUGAAAGAAAAAAAAAUUGCAGAUUUGUUUACCAAGCCACUUCCAGUCAAAGGAGGAGUGUUGGAAAUUGUAUUUUUUAACUGCAAAUAAAUGCACAUAAGUGCACGUGAUAUUUUAUUCUUCUGUUUUAAUUAUGUUUUAAUUGUUCAUUUAAUAUUUUUAGGUAACUAUUCAUAAAAUCAUUUAAGAGUUAGUUAUUGCAAAUACUAUGAAUGUAAUUGUUAGCAAAAAUGAUUUAUUCUUAACCAUUAUUGAUUUUAUAGCCGUUUGUUUUUUUAUAUAUAUGUAUGUGUAGAAAUACAUUACGAUUUGAUGGUUUGAUGUAGAAGAAGAAAGGGGGAAACAAAAGACAAACUUACAAUUUCCAAAGACGUGGAAGACCAGAAAAGUAGGCUGGAAUUGUUCCAUUGAGCUUGUUGUUUGAUAAGUCACUGCACAAGUCUUCAUAGUAAGACAAUAAUAUCAUAGGCCAAUCCAUGUAAUCAUAUUUGGAAUAUUUUCUCCAACCACUUAACAUGAGGAAAAUAUUUGUAAGGGGAAACCCAAAUCAACUAAUGCAUGACCAAUAGAUUUGUAAGCAAUAGAUGUUCUUACAUGGUUGUCAUAUUGUCUGAUAGCUUAUUGGUGGGAAUUGAUUCAUUCAACUGAUUGAAAACUAAGGUCACUGGAAUACAUAGAAACAGAAAUCAGUUGAAACAGUUUUGAUUGAGACAAAUCUACAUUAAAUAUAUAUUCUAUGUUUGACUAGAUCCAUGAAGUUAUUAACUAGCUUCAAACUUGAUUUAAUUUAAAAUAGAAAAGUUCAAUCUAACAUUUUAAAUGAACAAGAGGUUACGAAGCUGAAGGUCUCAUAGUUGAAGAAUAAAGUCUAUUUCUCAAUGAAAUCACUUACAACUUCAAUGUUUUUAAUCAAUUGAAUUUGGGUAAGUAUUUUAUGUGAUCUUUACUAAUAUCAAUCCCAAGAAAUACUUGUAUAUAUUUUUAGCACAAGGUGGUGUUAUAAAGAGGAAUUAGUUGAGAAGUUUGCAUCACUUAGCCUCAUCUUUAUGAAAGAAAAAAUAGAUUUUAUAUUUUUCUUGAAAGCAUUGCAUGCAUGGUAACGUUGUUAUAAUUUAGCACAACUUGUAUAACUGGUACCAAGUAAAAAUGUAAUACAGAAUUUGGGUUGAAAAAAAAAUACUUUUUUCCCAUUAUAUUAUCUUAUAAGCAAAAUCAUAUUCACAGUAUACUUAUAACUAGUUCAGUAAAUAUUAUAUUAGAGAUUGUGAUAAUAAAUUCUAAAUUAUAAUUAAAUUUUGUAUAAAAACAACAUCUAUACCUAUAUAUAAAGGGGAUUCUCCUCUUAACUGUUCUUAAUUUUUUUUCCUUUUUAUAUUUAUAUUAAUAUUUAAUUUUAUUAUUGUAUUAUGGUCAUUGUGUCAUUUCUUAUUCCCUCUUAGCUGCUCUUAAUUUUUUUUCUCCAUUUUAUCCUUAUAUUAAUAUUUAAUUUUAUUAUUGUAUUAUGGUCAUUGUGUGAUUUCUUAUUUUUUCCUACAAUAUUUGAUAUACGUAGUGGGUUCGGUUUUGAAUUGAAAGAGAUGUGGAGGAACAAUUAUGAAUUGAAAGAGGGGUGGAUGAGCGGUUAUGAAUUGAAAGAGAAGUGCAGGAGUGGUUAUGAAUUAAAAAAGAUGAUUUAUUUUGAAAAUUAAUUAUAUAAUGGGAGAGUGUCUGUUUUAUGAGAGAGAAAUAAAUUUAAUAAAAUAUUUGAAAUAAAUGGAGCAACCGUUUUAAAUUGAAAGAGAUAAUUUAUUUUUGAAAAUUAAUUGCAUAAUGAGAGGGAAUGUCUGUUUUACGAGAUAAAAAAUAAAUAUUAAGAAACAUGAGUAGUGGCCAAAUGUGAACAAUUUUAUUAUUACUGGUUACCACUUUCUUCAGUAGUUUUCACCGUUUACAUCUACUUUCUUACGAAGGAGUAGUUUUCAGUUGCAUCCAAAGAAAAAAAAUGCUCAUAAAUUUUGACACAUCUUGAACCCUCUUCCUUCACGCUCCAUGUUCUUCUCCUAUUCUCAUCUGUCUUAGUCCCUCUUCAAUCACCACUGUACAACAACAACAACCACCAUUACUUCUUCCUUCUCACACUUCCCAAAGCGUUUGAAACAGAGACGCGUCUCAUUGUUAUAAGAUUUGAACAUUUUUGUUUCUAUUGCUUUCUUAAUUUUUUUUUAUAUUUUUGUAUGAAUCCUAAGCCCAGCUUUGCGGGCAAAAUUUUUAUGUCUACUGAUGCUUUGAUCUAUUAGAUAUUAUAUAAGUUGGAAGUUUGGUAAUUUGUAUUUAGUUUAUUAUUUUAUUUUUUUCAACUUCUUUGCCAUGGAAGACGUGGAUUCAAUUGAUAUGGUGAUAGAUUCUACAACUUUUCAACAUACAACCCUUGCAUAAGACUUAUGAUGAACAUGGAAGUUACUAUUCUAAACUUGAAAUGGGAAGAUCUUGAAUAACAUUACCAUUUGCAUUAUGUUUUGACAUUAUUUGCUGCUCCAUUUUUUUAAACCUUAAUUUUAAUCUUGAUAACCUUAUAAAGUUCAACAUUACACCCAAGUUAAAUCAAAAUUUAAUAUUCAAAAACAAUAAAAUGAAAAUAUAAAAAAAUUAAUGUAAAAUCUUAAUAAAACUAUUAUCAGUGGUACAUCUAUACCUAUAUAUAAAGGGGAUUCCCCUCUUAACUGCUUUUAAUUAUUUUUCCUAUUUUAUCCUUAUAUGAAUAUUUAAUUUUAUUAUUGUAUUAUGGUUAUUGUGUCAUUUCUUAUUCCUCUCUUAACUGCUCUUAAUUUAUUUUGGUUAUUUGGACAUUUUAUAAUUUCAAAAAUUAAUAAAAUAAUUUUUUAAUUUUAAAAUUUAUUUUAUUUGUUAUUAUUUAACUGGCAGGAGAGUAGGGAGAGUGGAGAGAGUGGGGAGAGUGGAGAGAGAGGAGAGAGUGGGGAGAGUGGAGAGACUGGAGAGAGUGAUUAGUUACUUUUCUGUUUUAAAGAUUUUUUUCUUUAUUAAAUAAAAAAUUAAAAAUAUUUGUAAUAUUUUGUGGACCACUCUAGCAUGAGAUUGGAGAUUUAGUACGUUACUUUUCUGAUUUAAACUGAUAUUCUUUUUUAUUAAAAUUGUAGAAUUUUAAAAUUGAUUUAAGAAACAGAUUUUAUGAUUUUUCACUACACAUCACUCAUGUAUCCUACUUCCCACUUUCUCUCUCCUAUAUAGGUACCUACUUCCCACUUUCUCUCUCCAUUACACAUAACACAUUCCUUUUUACCAUACUUCUCACUUUCUUUUCUCUUUCCUUUUCACUUUCAUGUAAAAUCAUACUUUCAUUCUCACUUCUUUGAUUAAUCUUUGUUUCUAAAACCCUAAUUUGACAUUUGUUUCAUGAAAUUGUAAUUGAAGUUUGUGACUAGAGGGAACGAAAAGACUAAAAAAAGUUGUGUGUUUCAUCACAACAAUAGGUAAUUCUCUUUAUAUGCAUUUCAAUUUGUAAAACACUAAUUUGUCUUCUGAAAUUGUGAUUGAAAUAUGUGACUAGAGGAUAAGAAGGACUCAAUAAGAGGAGACAGAGGUACAUGAUGAAAGUCAUCAUAAGACCCUUUUUGGUAACAAUUUUAUGGAUUUAAAUGAAAUCAUAGAGCAUUAACUAAACUGUAUUCUCAUUUCCUCAUAUUUUACGGAAAAGUUACUUCCAAUUUGAUUUUUAUGUUUUCUGUCAUCACCAUUUCUUUAUCUUUGCUCUUCUUCUAUAUUUUCUUCUUUUAGGUUUUGAUUUUUGAAAUCAUCUUAACUUUUCAUAAAGUUAUGAUUUUAGAGACCACCUUCAAAAUAGGUUUGCUCACUAGAGAGCAUUAUGAAGAGAAGGUAUGUCAGCGUGUUCUUAAAUCUAUGUUUUACAUGCUAUACUAAUAUUUUGUUUGUUUUUUAUUUGUUAAUUGUAGAGAGUUGAUAUUCAUAGCAAAAUAGAGGAAUCAGAGAAGGAAAAAUUGAGUUUCGUUGUCGCGCUCACUCCCCCAAUAGCAAGAUUCUAACACGAAGGAACAUUAGAUUUGGGUGCGAAAGAUGAUAACAAUUUGAGUCUCUAUACAGGUCCAAGGGUCCAAGGUGAAGAAGAGAGAAGCAGAUUCAUUGCAUUUUCUUCUUUUGUAUAUAAUAUUUUUCAUGAUUUAAAGUUGAUUGAACAAUUAAGGAUGAAUUUUUGGUUUAUUGUUUAAUGGUGUCAUAUGCAUUGUAAUGAUUGUCAUAUAUUAUUGGUUGUUUAUAGACCUAAUGAAAAAUAUUGGUUUAAUUUCGAUAAUUAAUAAAAUAUUAAAAAUUAUUAAAAAAUAUGAAACUCAAAUUCUAUUUAAUUAUUUUUUCGGUUGAGUUUGUAGUUUUAAAUAAAUUUUAACUAUUACCAAAUAUUUAUAUUUUUACCCAUAAUUAAUAAAAUAUUAAAAAUUAUAAAAAAAAAUAUGAAACUCAAAUUCUAUUUAAUUAUUUGCUAUCUUGAGAUGGUUUUGAUAGCAGUUUUGAAUUUUAAAUUUUGAAAAUUCAUUCUUUCUCUUUACCAUAUGUAACACAUUUGAGAAAUAAAAAAUACGGAUACACAAGUGUUCCCGCUAAUUUAGAUAAUUUACAUGUUUUCUCAUAUAAUUUAAUAUUUAUUAAAAUUAUAUGAAUAUAUAAAUAAUAAAAAUGAAAAAUGCGAUACACAGGCAUGUGAGUGCCUGUGUUCCCGCUAGUUUAUAUUAAGAGUUUUAUCAAAACAAUUAUUAUAUGAAAUAAUAUAAUUAUGAUAGAGAAAAAAUUACUUUAUUAUAAAUAAAAAAUUAUUUACAUAUAAUCUUCAUUAUAAGAAAAUAAUUAAAUAAAAUAUAAUUUUAAAGAUAAAAAUAAAUAAUUAUUAUAUUAACUAAAUACUAUUUUAAAAAUUAAAAAAAAUUAUUAAUAUAUAAAAUAGUUUCUAUUAAAUAGACUAUUUUCUUUUUAAUAAAAAGAAUUAGACUAUUUCUUUCUUCACCCCAUAAUUUCGUUACAUUGCAUGGGAGUGGUCAAAAGAUUAAACUGCCUCUAUUUUCGUUGUUGGUACUGCUAAUCUCUUGCGAUUGUGGUUUUUUUCCCGUCCUUGUUUAUGUGUUGUGUCAUAAAUUUAAGGAAGAAAAUGUUUUAGUAAUCCGUAGAUCAUUUUUUCUUUUGCAUUAAAAAAACUUUUCAAUUGUAUAAUCUAGAUGUAGUGGUGGAUUAUACCAUUCUUAAGUUUUUUUUAUGAAAAAUGAUUUGUAGACUGAGCAAUGAAGAAACUUUUUUCCAUGUAAAAAUAACUUUCAAAUUUUACAACUGAAUGUAAAAAAAUCUUCUAAAUUGCAUAAUCUAUAAAUAAAGAAUUACUUCAAAAUUGUACAACCGUUUUAUAAAAGAAAUGACUUUAUGAUCGUACAAUCCUGAAGUAAGAAAUGACUUUCAAAUUGCAUAGUUUGAAAGUAAAAAACUUCUAGAUUGCAUAAUUUGCAAACAAAAAGCUUUUACAUUAUACAAUCUAAAAGUUAAAAAAAAUUUAGAUUUCACAAUUCAAAAGUAGUUUUUCAUAAAUCAAAAGAGUAAAUAUGAAGAUUUUCAUAUUUAUGGAGUGCAUAAAAAAAAUUAUGAGGAUAAAAAAAAAGAAAUUUCCUAAUCAUUAAUGUCACAAAUAUUGAAUUAUAUUCAUUAUAAAACACAAGGUAUCCAGAACCAAAAUAUAAUAAAGAAAUCAUCAAUUAAGAUGAUAACUUAUGUCAAAGAAAAUAUUUAUUUUCUGUUAACACGUAAUAUAUUAAUCAUGAUCACAUCCAAAUAUAUAUUAUUUAUAUGUGUAAACUAAUAUUUAUCCUAUAAAUAUUAUUACAUAUAUAUUUAUCUAUCCCAAUCAUUUUUUUAUAUAAAAUAAAUAAAGGAAGUAAUUCAGGGUACUCAACCCAAACCUUACAACGAGCUCAACCAUAUUCAAAAGGAUUUAAAAGACCAUUGUCUGGAAGCUCCCAUAGCAAACACAAACCAGCACCUACUAAACCACAUUCUUUAUAUCCAAUUGAAGGAACAAAGAUUGUGACUGCAUAAGCUCUCAUGCACCGCUAACCAACUUAAGAGGGAAAAGGCCUAAGAAGUGCCAACACGUGCCACCUCUUAAGGAAACCAGCACCAAUACCCUUUGUAAAAGGCUUAAAGCCACAGAAGAGGAAGCUGCAGACUCAUCCUUAAAGCCCUUAACAAAAUGACAUGUAGCAGAAAAUCCAACAGCUUUUGGCCAAAAUAAAGGAGCUCUACCCUUCCUUCAACUCCACCACACAGCUUCCAAUUCCAAGCUCUUAUCUCAAACCUGAUUCGACCUCCAAACUACACGGUUUCUAAAGUAUAAGAACUACCCUAGCCUGCUUCUCCUUAUUGACAUAAAACCUGGUCCUACUUUUUCUACCUUCCAGAAUAAGAAACCCCCCUGCUUCCUCACUAGCACCUCUACAACCAAGCUAUCACGUUACUUCCUUCCAUUCUGCUUCCCUUUACCUACAUAAGAUCGUCACAAGUGCUCAUUGAACUACACAGACUGUUCUGCUGGAAAAGCACACAGAUGCUUAACAUCUGCAAUGCUCAAUGCACAUACCCUCAAAUCAUUAAUAUUCAUUUAUCAUAAUCCUAUAACUAAGUUAGAUUAGGGUCACUACAUUUGUUUCUCAUUAUCAUAAUCUUUAUUAUGAUAAUAAAUUCUAAAUUAUAAUUAUAUUUUGUAUAAAAAACAACACUUAUAUUAAGAGUUUUAUCAAAAUAAUUAUUUUUAUGAAAUAAUAUAAUUAUGAAAGAGAAUAAAAUUACUUUAUUAUAAAUAAAAAAUUAUAAAAAAAACCAUUAAAUAGAAAUCAAUUUUAGAGAUAAAAAAUAACUAGUUAUUAUACUGACUAAAUUAGAUAUAUUAUUUGGAUGUCAAGUUGCAUAGUGAUGCCUAACACGAAAACUUUAUAAAAAAAAAAUUAGAUAUUAUUUUAAAAACUAAAAACAUUAUUAAUAUCUAAAUUAGUUUCUAUUAACUACAAAUAGAAAAAUUAUUAGGGACUAAAUUUAGAGACUAAAAUUAAUUAGUCAAAUAUAUUAACUAGAUUAGAUACUAUAUUAGAGACUAAAACAUUAUUGAUAUUUAAAAUGGUUUCUAUUAUUAAUAAAAAUUUAUAAAAUAAUUUUUAAAUUAGUAUCUAAAUUAGCUACUAAGAUUUUAGAUUUUAAAUUAAUGUUUAAAAGACUAAUAGAGACUAAUUUGUAGAUAUCUAGUGGUGUAGAUAUCUUUGUAGACUAAUUAUUUUUAUGAAAUAAUAUAAUUAUGACUGACAAUAAAAUUACUUUAUUAUAAAUAAAAAAUUAUUAAAAAAAGUAUUAAAUAGAAAUCAAUUUUAGAGAUAAAAAAUAACUAGUUGUUAUAACUGACUAAAUUAGAUAUUAUUUUAAAUAAUAAAAAAAUUAUUAAUAUCUAAAUUAAUUUCUAUUCACUACAAACAAGAAAAUUAUUAGCGACCUAUUAUUAAUAAAAAUUUAUAAAAUAUUUUUUAAAUUGAUAUCUAAAUUAGGUACCAAGAUUUUAGUUACUAAUAUUUUAAAUUUUAAAUUAAUAAGACUAAUUUAGAAUAUAAGUAAUUAGUAGAUAAAAUCUUUGUAGAUAUCUAGUGGUGUUUUUAUAAGUAUUUUAAUUGAAAACAAAAAGAAAAAAAAAAGUUAAUUAUUUUAUAAGUUAACUAUGGUAUGAGUUGAAAAUUCAAAUUUUAAUAAAAAAGUUAAUAGAAGAUAGCUUUUACAAAAAUUAAAUUAUAAUUAAAGUUAUUUUAAGUUUUUAUUAUUAAAAGUAAUUAUCGAGAAGUUUAUGAAGCUGAUUAUUUGUAAUUGGUUCAUUUAAAAGUGAUAAAACAUUUUGUCCUGACUUCUUGUAUAUAUUCGUAACUUGUGCAGAGAUGAAAGCAGAAACAGAAGAAUUGGAAAAAGAAUUUGUUGUUAUUGAUAAAGUGAAGAAAAAUGAAGGAAUGAAUUGCAUCUUUAUGAAUUCUAUGCCUUACUUGGAAGCUGAGGAAGUUCAUACUUCUUUCUCAUUCUUUUUCAUUCUUUAAAAUUGCAUCUCCACACCAUUCACUUAAUAUUUCUUCUUCUUUCUUCUUCACAUUCUAUCUGCACAAAUCUUCAGGUACGUUUCUCAAUUCAAAUAAUCAUUUUAGUUACAUUUUCUUACUCUUAUAUUACUCCUAUUUUACAUCCAUCUCAAUCAUAUCAAUUAAAAUUUACUUUCCAAAGUGGUUCAUCUUAUGAAGAUAUUAGUCAUGUACUUUUUAGGCUUAAUCUUGUUUUUUUUAUAUAAGUCUAGAUUCACUUUUCUUAUUUAGCCUAAUUAAAUCUUUAUCUCAUCCAUAAUUUUAUCUACUCAUAAUUUACACUAAGAUACGCCUCAAGUUAAUAACCAUUUAUUUAAUGUGAUAAUUAAGUCAUACAAAUAGAUCAUAAUAUAUUAUAUACAAUAUUCAUUAUUCAUAUAAAAUAUUUUUUUAAGAGUUUGAAUUUUAACUAGACCUAUAAAAAUGUGAUAAUUCUCAUAAAAUACACAUUAAACUCAUAUAUUCAUCUGUUCUCACAUAAAUUUUCUAAAUUUUUACUGUCUUGAGUGUCAAAGAUAUUUUUGCAGGUAUCUUCUCUCAUCUCUUACUUUUCUUCGGAUCAAAGUACUCAACUUACAACACAAUUGUCUUUCUACCAUCUCAAAACUCCAACACUUUAUUCCGGUAACGCUUUAUCCGAUAAGAAAAAUUAGACUUAAUAUUUCUCUGAAUAUUGGAUUAAUAGAUCAAAAGUUUAUAUAAACCAUGAAAUUAAAAUAUUGUUCUCAUUGAUAUAAGUAAAAAAUAUGUACGUCAAAAUUUUACAUUCGUCGUACAUGGUGACUAAUUUAUAUGACAUAAACUUGUUUUUAAGAUUUAAAAUAAGUUUUAUGAUAAUUUAUCUAAAAAAAUUAUUCUGAAAAAAGGGUUAUAUAUAUGACCAUUUUUCUUCAAUAAGAAUAUAGGUUUGAAACUUUUUGUUGGUCAACACACUUAAUAAUUUAAAAAGAAAAUAAAUAUAUAAUUUGAAUACAUUAAAAAAUAAUCUAAUGUUAAACAGUUAUUUACUUAAAUCAAAUUUUAAAUUUAAAAAAGUUUAUGAGUUAGCUAAUUUUAACCUUCAAAUCAAAUAAGAUUACAUAGAAGUUUUGACCUAACUCCUUCUAUGAAAAAAUAAAUAUAUAUUACAAGAAAAUCAUUAAAUAAAAACCAAUUUUAAAGACAAAAAAUAAUUAGUUGUUAUAUUGACUAAAUUAGAGACCAUUUUAGAGACUAAAAAAAAUUUUGGUUUCUAAAUUAGUUUCUAUUAUUGCUAAAUAGUUUAUAAAUUGGUAUCUAAUUAGCAACCAAGGUUUUAACUACCAAUUAUUUAGAUUCUAAAUUUGGUAGCAAAAACCUUGGUUGCUAAUUAAAUUCCAAUUUAGAAACUAUUUAACAAUAAUAAAAACUAAUUUAGAAACCAAAAUUUUUAUUAGUCUCUAAAAUGGUCUUUAAUUUAGUCAAUAUAACAACUAAAUAUUUUUGGUGUCUAAAAUUGAUUUCUAUUUAAUGAUUUUCUUGUAGUGAUAUGUGUAAGGAGAACUUAAUAACACUUUUUACAACGACAUAUUAGGUCGCUUAAAUGACCGGUAUAAAUAAAAACUCGAUGACAUUUUUGUAAAUAUUUGACACAUAUUACACCAGUUGGACUAUCCAACCAGUGUAAUAUGUCCUGCUCAGAGCAAAAAAAAAGGUUUUUAAAAUUUUUAUCUCUAUGAUUCCACAUAACAUCGAUUGAAUAGAGGAAUCAAUAUUAUAUGUCAUUCCCAGAUUAAAAAAAAUUAAAAGUUUUUAAAAAUGAUAUAUAACAUUGGUUCUUCUAUACAAUUGAUGUUAUAUGUUUAGGGUUUAAAAUAUGUCAUUCCCAAAGUUUAAAAAUAUUUGAAAAAUUUAACUAUGGGCACUACAUAUAACACCUAUUGGAUACAUGAAUCAGUGUUAUAUGUAAUCUUUAGAUUACAAAAAUGUUUUUAAAGUUUUGAAAAUUACACAUAACACUGGUUGGACUACGCAAUCGGUGUUAUAUGUCAUUUCACAGUAAAAAAAAAGUUUAAGUUAAUAAAAAAGUAUAUUACACCGGUUAUUACUCAUAAAUGAUAUUUUUACCUAAUUUUCUUGACUCACACCCUCACUCUCCAUUUGUGCUAUUUUAAGUUUUCUUGAUCAAGAGUUCAUUUUGUUCCUACGAAAGUUGUUGCCACUGCCACUGCCUUCGCCGUUCCCUCCACUGCUUCUCCUUAUUUCGUUCUAUAUCAUAGGAGAUUCUUUUGUUCACGCUUCUCUGCUAUUUUGUUGUCACUCUUGUCGCUGCUCUUGCCUCCAUUGUCGUCACAGCUCUGUUCACGUUCACGCUACAGGUUAGUUUUUUUAUUUUUAAAUAUUUUAAUUUUAAUUAUUACUUGGUUUACAAUUAUUUAUAUAGAUAAUUAGUUUUAUUAUAUUGCAUUCGGAAUAUAAUGUAUUAUGUUUUGAAUUGGGUAAUUGUUUUAGACGAAACGCUUUGGUCUAAAACGAUGAAUUUACCUCAUAGUCGUCGUUUUAGAGUCAUUUAAUUUAAAAAAUACCACCGCGUUUUGAAUAACAAUGUUUAGCCAUAAAAGCGUUGUGAAUGUAUUGUCAUAAAUAGACCCUUUUGCACUAGUGAUCUAUUUUGAACUUUAUAUUAAUUUUCAACACUUGAAAGAGACUAAGUAUGAGAAAAAAUUAAUACUUCAAAACUAAAUAGAUUAUUUAUUUUCCUCUUAUAAUAUAUAUAUAUAUAUAUUUAAUUUUUUUUAAUUUUUUUUAAAAUUUUUUUUUUCAUGAAAGACAAGACUGAUAGAAGCUUAAUUAAAUCAUGAAAGAAGAAGACCUUUAUCCGAAAGAUAAAAAUAUUUGAUAACAAGGUGUCAGAGUCCUCUUCAUUAGCGGUGGAAGAUUUUACACACAAAGAGUCUAUCAAUACAAUGUAUCGUCAUACUUAUAAUGGUAUAUAUAUAACUUAAAUUAAAGGAAUAAGAAAAAAUCGUUAAGACGAUUAACCCUAAUAAAUGUCUACACUAAAUAAUUUGUCACACUACUACUUAAUGGUCUCCAUCAAACUACUUAAUGGUCUAUAUCAAUUUGAUGCCUCCAUUAGGCGGUCUAACUCGUCUGACUGAGCUUUCCAUCAAAUAGUCUAUUAAACAUGAUUUAUAGUCAAUCUUCAUAAUAUACAAUGAAAUUGACAAUGUAAGUGCGACUUUUAGAGUUUGAAUGCAUGAGAUAAAUUCACUUAAAGUGAGAGUGUGAUCAUCCAUGAUGGUGAGAACAUAAAGAUGACCAUGUAUGGAAACCUUUUAGCAGAGACACAUAUGUCCAUAUACAGUAAAUUAAAGGAAUGAGAUUAAUGUGAAUGACGAAAAUCAUGCAUGUAAACUCUUUAUUGCUGUAAGAAUGGAUAACAAGAUUGCGUGAGUUGUAAACAUUUAAGGGAAUGAUCAUAAGAAAAUGCCACAAAUCUAUGCACUACAAGAAAAUCAUGAAAUAGAAAUCAAUUUUAGAGAAAAAAAAUUAAUUAGUUAUUAUAGUGACUAAAUUAGAGACCAUUUUAGAAAAUUAACAACUUUUGGUUUCUAAAUUAGUUUAUUGUUAAAUGAUUAGCUACCAAAGUUUUUCUACCAAUGUUAUAAUAUUAACUAAUUUAGAAACUAAAAAAAAAUAGUUUCUAUAAAAACCAAUUUAGAUACUAUUUUAUAAACUAAAAAUUAUUGGUUACUAAAAAGGUAUCUAUUAUUAAUAAAAAUUAUAAUAUAAUUAGAUACUAUAUUUUUGGUAGCUAAUAAUAAAAAUAAAAAUAAAAUUUUUUUUAGAGACCAUUUUUUUAGUCUCUUGUUAAGAUGUAAUUGGAAACCAUUUUUUUAGUCACUUUUAAUUUAAUUUAGAAACUAAUUUUUGGUCUCUAAAAAUAAUAAAAUUAGAAACUAUUUUUUUAGUUUCUAUUCAUCAUAUAAUUUAGAUACUUAAAUUUUUAGUCACUAUUAUUUAAAUCUAGAUACUAAUUUUAGAAUAAUUAAAUUUUAUAAAAUUAAUUAUUAAUUUUNNNNNNNNNNNNNNNNNNNNNNNNNNNNNNNNNNNNNNNNNNNNNNNNNNNNNNNNNNNNNNNNNNNNNNNNNNNNNNNNNNNNNNNNNNNNNNNNNNNNNNNNNNNNNNNNNNNNNNNNNNNNNNNNNNNNNNNNNNNNNNNNNNNNNNNNNNNNNNNNNNNNNNNNNNNNNNNNNNNNNNNNNNNNNNNNNNNNNNNNNNNNNNNNNNNNNNNNNNNNNNNNNNNNNNNNNNNNNNNNNNNNNNNNNNNNNNNNNNNNNNNNNNNNNNNNNNNNNNNNNNNNNNNNNNNNNNNNNNNNNNNNNNNNNNNNNNNNNNNNNNNNNNNNNNNNNNNNNNNNNNNNNNNNNNNNNNNNNNNNNNNNNNNNNNNNNNNNNNNNNNNNNNNNNNNNNNNNNNNNNNNNNNNNNNNNNNNNNNNNNNNNNNNNNNNNNNNNNNNNNNNNNNNNNNNNNNNNNNNNNNNNNNNNNNNNNNNNNNNNNNNNNNNNNNNNNNNNNNNNNNNNNNNNNNNNNNNNNNNNNNNNNNNNNNNNNNNNNNNNNNNNNNNNNNNNNNNNNNNNNNNNNNNNNNNNNNNNNNNNNNNNNNNNNNNNNNNNNNNNNNNNNNNNNNNNNNNNNNNNNNNNNNNNNNNNNNNNNNNNNNNNNNNNNNNNNNNNNNNNNNNNNNNNNNNNNNNNNNNNNNNNNNNNNNNNNNNNNNNNNNNNNNNNNNNNNNNNNNNNNNNNNNNNNNNNNNNNNNNNNNNNNNNNNNNNNNNNNNNNNNNNNNNNNNNNNNNNNNNNNNNNNNNNNNNNNNNNNNNNNNNNNNNNNNNNNNNNNNNNNNNNNNNNNNNNNNNNNNNNNNNNNNNNNNNNNNNNNNNNNNNNNNNNNNNNNNNNNNNNNNNNNNNNNNNNNNNNNNNNNNNNNNNNNNNNNNNNNNNNNNNNNNNNNNNNNNNNNNNNNNNNNNNNNNNNNNNNNNNNNNNNNNNNNNNNNNNNNNNNNNNNNNNNNNNNNNNNNNNNNNNNNNNNNNNNNNNNNNNNNNNNNNNNNNNNNNNNNNNNNNNNNNNNNNNNNNNNNNNNNNNNNNNNNNNNNNNNNNNNNNNNNNNNNNNNNNNNNNNNNNNAUAUAUAUAUAUAUAUAAAAGAUAACAAUAAAUCUUUAAAACAAACAUCAACUUAUGUUUAAAAAUGGAAUUAUCGAGUAAAAAUAAUCAUUAACUUCUAAAUUGAUACAUAAUGUAAAAUGUAAUUAGAUGGUGUGAAAAAAAAGAAAAGAGAGAAAAAAACGUGAGAGAGAAAGGUUUGGCAGUAGGUAAUAAUAAGUUACAUUUACAAAAUUUAAUCGAAAGAUUAUAUUUUGUGUUAUGGAGGAAGUAAAGGUCUGGCAGGAGCUUUUGUGCAGCACGAUGCAUGAUUUGACCAUAUGGGAGUAAAUGAGGGACAUGGAAUCAAUUCUGAACAGUGAGAGAGAGAAAGUUGGAUUUGAACUUUCAAGUAAUUCUGUACAGUUAGCAACAUCGAUUACAGGACCUAGUUUCUCUGUUCAUUCACUUCUCUCUGUUCAUUCACUUCUUCUUCUUCUUCUUCUUCUUCUUCUUCUUCUUCUUCUUCUUCUUCUUCUUCUUCUUCUUCUUCUUCUUCAGUUUCGUUAUUCUUUAUCACUGCCGUUCUCGUUCUCCAUCUCGUCCAAUUGGUUCAUCUCACUGUCUCUUUCCUUGCUCAAGCUCAGGUAAAUCAUUCUCAAUCUCUAUAUGUCGUGCUUGCGACUCGGAAUAUUGUCCGUGACGGUGCUCAAACGCAAUAUGAUCUUCAGUGUCACAGGCUUCAAGUUGUUCGCACAAUUAGGUAUGGUUUUUUUAUUUUGAUUUUAUUUUCAGCAAGUUUAAUGAUUCUCAUACUAGAGUUUCGAUUGGGGAAAUCUUUGCCCGUAUACCUAAUUACAUAUUGAUAAAAAUGUGGUAGGUUCUGUAUUCAUGCUUGGCAGAUGUUUGACAUCUUUGUUGUGGGGAGCUAUAGUUGAUCGCACUGGUCGAAAACCGUAAUACUUGCAGGGAUCAUUUCAGUGUAAGUAUACAUGUCAAUGAACUGCAUGCUUAGCUUUUAAGAUUCCCAUAAUUAUCAAUGCUUACUUCAUUUCAGUGUCAUUUUCAACACACUAUUUGGCCUUAGCAAAAGUUUUUGGAUGGCUAUUCUUACGAGAUUUCUUCUCGGAUGUUUCAAUGGUUUUCUAUGACCAGUGAGGGUAUCAUAUCUUUAACUCCUACUACAAAUUUUGAAUGCAUGUGUUGAUUAUAACUUCAUUCUCUUUCAAACUUUCAUUUCUACAUUUUCUUGUCUAACUACUUUAUUUAACAAGCCUAUGCCAUUGAACUUUUUAGAGAAGAACACCAAACUCUAGGACUGUCAACUGUAAGCAUCACUAACUCUUUUACAUGUAAGCAUCACUAACUCUUUUACAUUGUUAAUUCUUAGAACUGCAUUUCCACAACAAGUCAUGUUGUGAUUGGUUUAAUAAUUGGCCCUUCAUUGAGAGGCUAUUUGGCUCAAGUACUAUUCAUAUUCUUAGCCAUCUGGAGUAUAAGAUAAAUCUUGCANNNNNNNNNNNNNNNNNNNNNNNNNNNNNNNNNNNNNNNNNNNNNNNNNNNNNNNNNNNNNNNNNNNNNNNNNNNNNNNNNNNNNNNNNNNNNNNNNNNNNNNNNNNNNNNNNNNNNNNNNNNNNNNNNNNNNNNNNNNNNNNNNNNNNNNNNNNNNNNNNNNNNNNNNNNNNNNNNNNNNNNNNNNNNNNNNNNNNNNNNNNNNNNNNNNNNNNNNNNNNNNNNNNNNNNNNNNNNNNNNNNNNNNNNNNNNNNNNNNNNNNNNNNNNNNNNNNNNNNNNNNNNNNNNNNNNNNNNNNNNNNNNNNNNNNNNNNNNNNNNNNNNNNNNNNNNNNNNNNNNNNNNNNNNNNNNNNNNNNNNNNNNNNNNNNNNNNNNNNNNNNNNNNNNNNNNNNNNNNNNNNNNNNNNNNNNNNNNNNNNNNNNNNNNNNNNNNNNNNNNNNNNNNNNNNNNNNNNNNNNNNNNNNNNNNNNNNNNNNNNNNNNNNNNNNNNNNNNNNNNNNNNNNNNNNNNNNNNNNNNNNNNNNNNNNNNNNNNNNNNNNNNNNNNNNNNNNNNNNNNNNNNNNNNNNNNNNNNNNNNNNNNNNNNNNNNNNNNNNNNNNNNNNNNNNNNNNNNNNNNNNNNNNNNNNNNNNNNNNNNNNNNNNNNNNNNNNNNNNNNNNNNNNNNNNNNNNNNNNNNNNNNNNNNNNNNNNNNNNNNNNNNNNNNNNNNNNNNNNNNNNNNNNNNNNNNNNNNNNNNNNNNNNNNNNNNNNNNNNNNNNNNNNNNNNNNNNNNNNNNNNNNNNNNNNNNNNNNNNNNNNNNNNNNNNNNNNNNNNNNNNNNNNNNNNNNNNNNNNNNNNNNNNNNNNNNNNNNNNNNNNNNNNNNNNNNNNNNNNNNNNNNNNNNNNNNNNNNNNNNNNNNNNNNNNNNNNNNNNNNNNNNNNNNNNNNNNNNNNNNNNNNNNNNNNNNNNNNNNNNNNNNNNNNNNNNNNNNNNNNNNNNNNNNNNNNNNNNNNNNNNNNNNNNNNNNNNNNNNNNNNNNNNNNNNNNNNNNNNNNNNNNNNNNNNNNNNNNNNNNNNNNNNNNNNNNNNNNNNNNNNNNNNNNNNNNNNNNNNNNNNNNNNNNNNNNNNNNNNNNNNNNNNNNNNNNNNNNNNNNNNNNNNNNNNNNNNNNNNNNNNNNNNNNNNNNNNNNNNNNNNNNNNNNNNNNNNNNNNNNNNNNNNNNNNNNNNNNNNNNNNNNNNNNNNNNNNNNNNNNNNNNNNNNNNNNNNNNNNNNNNNNNNNNNNNNNNNNNNNNNNNNNNNNNNNNNNNNNNNNNNNNNNNNNNNNNNNNNNNNNNNNNNNNNNNNNNNNNNNNNNNNNNNNNNNNNNNNNNNNNNNNNNNNNNNNNNNNNNNNNNNNNNNNNNNNNNNNNNNNNNNNNNNNNNNNNNNNNNNNNNNNNNNNNNNNNNNNNNNNNNNNNNNNNNNNNNNNNNNNNNNNNNNNNNNNNNNNNNNNNNNNNNNNNNNNNNNNNNNNNNNNNNNNNNNNNNNNNNNNNNNNNNNNNNNNNNNNNNNNNNNNNNNNNNNNNNNNNNNNNNNNNNNNNNNNNNNNCAUUAUUUAGAAACCAAUAUUGUGACCAUUUUUUUGGUAUUUAUAUAUUUGGUCACUAAAUGAGUUUCUAUAUAUUUUGGUCACUAAACUGGUUUCAAUGAAAUUGGUUGUUAAUUUGGUUUCUAUAUAAUUGGUCACUAAAUUAGUUUCUAUAUAUUUGGUCACUAAGUUGGUUUUUAUUUAAUGGUAACUAAAUUGGUUUCUAAAUUAGAUUCUAAAUUGGUAUCUAAAAUUAGCGACCAUGAUUUUAGCCACUUAAUGCUAUUAGUUUCUAAAUUAGUCUCUAAUUAAGUUAGUGACUAUUUUUAUCAUUUUAGAAACCAAAAAUUUAGUUUCUAAAAGCAAUUUUUCUUGUAGUGUCUCUUUAUAAGAGCAGAGUUCCUUUAUUUGAGGAACCUUGGGGGAGAUUUUAAAAAUAUAAUCCCAUCCAUGGAUCCAAAAGGCAUGAAUCACUUGAUUACCCUAGAACUCGAAUGGUGUGAAAAGAUAGAAUGUCUCAUUGAUAACACUAUGAAUACCAGCAACAGUGUAUUCUCUAAACUUGUUUACUUAAGGUUGGAAAGUUUAUGUAGCCUUGGAGAGGUUUUUUGUGAUCCCUCUUCGCGAUGUUCCCUCGAAAAUUUAGGAAAGCUCUUGAUAAAAGAUUGUGGAAAAUUGAAGAGCAUCUCCUUUCCAAGGAAGUCUAAACUAUGCAAUCUGAAGGUCCUUUCAGUAUCAAAAUGCCCUGUGCUAACUUCUCUCUUUGUGCCAUCUGUUGUCCAAUCUCUAGUGUUGUUAGAGAAACUAACAAUAUAUGAAUGCAGCGCAUUGAGGCACAUAACAGAAGAAGUGGAAGAAGGGAACGAUAUUCUUUCAAGCAUCCCAAGUCAUUCAUAUUUGACGUUCCAAAAAUUAAGGAUUAUUAAAAUUGAAGAUUGCAACAAUUUGGAGUACAUAUUCUCUGAGAAUUUAGCCGUAGGGCUAGUGAGUUUGGAAAGGGUGGAAAUUCAAUGUUGCUUUAAAUUGAAGUAUGUAUUUGGAAGUGGAAAGAAACGUAAUCCUGCAGUUUACCGAAAUGAAAAGGAGACUAAUAUCAUAAAUUUUUCUAAUUUGCAUACUCUAUUGUUGUCAGAAUUACCAAAUGUGAUUGACAUUUGGCCUGAAUAUUGUCGUCCACAUCUUCCAAAUCUUAAAAGGUUAUACUACCAUAAAUGUCCCAAAUUGCUUGACUCUUGCAUAAGUAAGAUGAUGACUGCUUCAAAUCUCCCGCAAGAAACAACUUCAAAGGUAAUAUAUUAUUUUAAAAUAAUAAUAUCUUUAACUAACAUAACCACAUGAGCUUUUAUAGAAACAUAGUUAUUAUUUAUUAUUUCAUUAAAUUGAUUAAAAAUAAUGAACUUUAAAUAUGAAUUAACAUUGAGAUGUUCAGGAAUCAGUAUACUUUGUCAAGUGAUGUUGUUUAAAUGCAUUAAGAAUAACAAUCAUAUAGCAGUAGUUUUUAUCAUUACUUUUAUUCUGAUAACUAUCAAUAUUAUAAUUUAUAUUAUUAUUGUGUUUGAGUAGAAAAAUAUAUGUAUAAAUUAAUCAUAAUUCUGUGAAAUGGAUAAUCUUUUAUCUAGUCUAAUAAACAAGUAUUUAUCAAUUUAAUCAAUUAUAUUUUAAUGAAUUGUAUUCAGACCUACUGAUUAUGAUGGUUUUUUCGAUUAGUAUUGUAAUUUUUUAUAGGUUUUUUAAAUAAUGAGUUUUGAUCUAGAUUUUUGUUUUUAUUUUUUAAUACAUUUUAGGUAUUUUUCCUCACAUUAAGUUUAUUGAAAAAUAAUAUAUAUUAUUUUCAAAGAUGCAAUACAUGUAAAUAAAUAAAAAAUGAUAUUGUAAUUACAAGUGAUAGAUAUAAGAUUUUGAAGUGCGUUAUAUAUGUGAUAUUUGAAGUACGUUAGAUUGAUGAAUUAAUGAUUGAAAUAUAUGCACUAAGUCCUUUAUUUAGCAAAAAUAAUAAAUUAAAUCUGUAAAAUAAUCCAUGCUUUGUAUUUAUCUUUUCGUUACUAAAUGUGCAAUUUUAUUCAUAAUUUUUUUAAAAAACAAGUUUGUUGAUUUGAAUUAGCCAUAACUUAUGAAUUGUAAAAUGUAAGAUAUUAAGAAUGAAUUAUGUUGUGUAUACAGGAGAAUCAAAUACCAUGCUUCAUUACCAACACAUUCAUCCAACUUGAAAGCCUUACAUUGACUGAUGUUAGAGUAAAAGGUCUGUUCCAAAUCCAAAUGGGAGAAGAAGGGGGCACUGGAGAACUGCUUCCUCUAAACUUGGAUAUAAAUUCUCUACACUUGGGGAACCUACCUGAGCUCAACUUCAUAUGGAAGGGCCCCACAAGUUUUCUAAGCCUCCAAAAGCUUGAAACUGUUAAAAUAUAUGGAUGUCCAAAAUUGAAAACCAUCUUCUCCAUCAGUGUUGUUACAAGUUUACCAAUGCUGAUGAAUCUGGGUAUAUAUACAUGUGAUGAAUUGGAACAAAUAUUUGAUUUAGGUGAUGCACGACAACUCCAAACCCUGUAUUCUUCCCAACAACUCUGCUUCCCAACACUCUAUUUCAUUUCAGUUCAAAACUGCAAUAAGUUGAAAUAUCUUUUUUAUAAUCUAUCGGCUACUCAUUUUACCAGUCUGAAAUAUUUGAAAAUAGUAGAGUGCUCUGAGUUACACAAGGCUUUUGGUUUUGAACAUGAAGCUGAUGAUGGUGGUGAAGAACAGACGGCUAAAAAGGGAGAAAAACUACUACUACAGGAACUGAGAAGUAUUACACUCAAAAAUUUGCCAAACUUCAAAGAGAUUCACCACGGAUUUAAGUUAAAAGGAAUUGUUGAGCAUAGCAUAGAGGAAUGUCUAAAGUAUUCUCCAAGUUUAUAUCUAAAUCCAGGUAAAAUUCACAUGUCCUUUUUCUAGACACAAUUACAAUGUCUUUGGGUUAUGAUGUUGUUAAGUGAAAUAUUAUUUUAUCAGAUAUGUAAAUAGAAGGCUACAGUGAAGUAUGGGAAGUGUGGUAUUGAUUUAAAAAACAAAGUGUGGAAUGGACAAUGCAACCGUGCCUCAAGUUAUCACCCAACUCAUCUCCAACCGCUAAAAUAAAUUGGUGAGAUAACUUUUUUUUUUCCGCUAAGAAAACAUUUUUUAAAUUAACCAAUGCUAACUCACUGGCCCCAGUAUUCUCAUGUCACUCGUUAUGGAAUAAUAGUAAAACAUUGAUACCAUAUAAUUAUUUUGUAGGGACACAAUUGCUGGAGGGAAGCAGAGUGUUAAGACGAGUUGUGGGUGUAGGAGUGAUAUUAAAAUUUGUAUAUAAAUAAUCAAUAACAGAAAGAAAGUUCUAUUUGUUAAAUAUUUAUCUCUGUGAGUAUUUAUUUUCUUGUUUUAGGAUUCAAGAAUUUGAUAAGGAAAUGGUGAUAUUGUAAGAUGUCUAAGUCUUAUAUCGUGUAUCGUGUAAUAUGAAACACUCAGUGCUAUAUUUAAGUGUUUGAUUCUUCCCUCUUUGAAUUAAUUUUAGAGUGAUUCUCCAAAUAUUAAGAUAUUUAUCAUUUCAUAUCAUCAAAGCUAGUUAGCAAAUCCCCGUAAGAACUACGGAAGAAGAAUUUGUAAUCCUAAUAACCUAAAAGACAUGUGAUUAGUACUUCAAAAGUACCUGGAAUGCACCAUCAUAAACAAAUCUCUGUUGCUGUUGCAAAAAUUGAUUAAUUAUAACUAACUAGCCAAUUCUCUAUCAAUUUAUCAUACAAGUAGCACAAAAAGAAUAAAUGAAAAUUAGUAAAUUUGGUUUCAUUGUCCAAUUCACAAAAUGAAUAAAUGAAAAUUAGUUUGAUUUCAUUGUCCAAUUCACAAGGUACUAAUUAACAUCCUCAGAUUCAAUAAACUAUUUUUUUACUAUUUUUUUCUAAAGAAAGAUAUAACUUUUGAACUUCUAUGUUGGUUUGAUGGUUGGUACACUUCCACUAACAAGGUCACUACCUGACACAUCUCCUGAAAUGAAAAGAGUGUUUAUAGUAGAUGAUGAAGGUUGUGACUCAAUAUUGUACCAGAAGAAUCAUUUGUAACAUAUUCAACUCCCUUGGAAUCUGGCUCAAGUAACAUAGAACAGAUGUAUUCAAGCUCUCUAGCCACUUCUGUCAUUUUAGGCCUUUCAUUUGGUAAAUCUUUGCAACACUUUAAGGCUAAAGUAAAAAAUCUCACUGCAUACUCAAAUGGAUAAGACUCAAUACGUUUAUCAACAACCAGAGAAAUGCCACCAUAUUGGUAUGCCAUAUUAACCUGAAAUAAAAAAGGAAGAAACAAAAAGAUUUAGGUCUUACUUAAAUAACUUCAUUAAGCAUUUAUACGAAGAAGAAAAUAAGAAGGUUAAACGAAUUAAUCUUCUGUUAUAUGUUAAAGUUUAACUUAUACACAAAAUUGCCAAGAAGAGAAACAUGACAUACCUGUCUAAUUAUAUUUUCACCAUGAAAGAUUGGUGGCCUUCCCGUCAAAAGUUUCAAAAAUACAACACCCAGACUGUAAACAUCACUUUUGUGAGUCAAAUUACGUGUUAAGAAGUACUCUGGAUCAAGGUAACCCUGCAUGAGUACAAAAAUAGAAAAAUUAAAACAUUGAACGGAUAAAAUCAACCUUAAACCAUAUAUAAAAAAUAAUUUCCAAUGAAUUAGUUAGAUACAUCUUUGUAUUUUGGUUUCAAAGAUCCAAACGUCAAACUUAUUUCUUAAACUAUACCAAACACUAACAUGACUAGCAGCAGUUAUUUUCUAUGCAUAACUGUCUAAAAACAGUCCCUCACUUUUUUUUUCUUUUUUUUAUGGGCAAGGAAAAAAUAAAUUAAUAUGAACCACUUUAGGGUGACUCAACCUUUAUACAUAAUCAUAACACAACAUUUCCUCAAAAUGCCUUCUAGCCUACCUAAUUUUAUAUCCUUAAAAUAAAAUAACACCCCAACCAAAGAAAUAAACCUUGCAUAAGCUCACUUAAUUGAAAACAUACAAGCCAUAAGAUCAAUACACUACUCAAAAUAAGUAAAACAAGCAGAUUUAGAUGUUACCUAAGACCAAACCUUUAAUUGAAUCAAGGUAAACAUUUCUGAAUGGUCUAUCACUCUACCUUAGAAAAUAUGCUUAUUCCUGUGCUUCCAGAUUUCAUUUACUACUGCAAUCCAGAUGCUACUCCAAACAACUUUAACCUAGACAGAUGCAUUUAACACAUUAAACUGCACGAAGUGGGAAACUGGAUCAACAUGAUCAACGAACAUAGUCCCCAACCAUGUAAAACAUUGUUUCCAAACAAGUCCAGCAAUCCUGCAAUCAAAAAACAAAUGAUUUGUCGACUCCACUUCCAUCCUGCAAAAGCUACAGAGAUUGCUAUCAACCGAAACCACACGCCUUUCCAAAUUAACUCUUGUAGCAACCGAAUUAGACAACACCCUCCAAGCAAAAAACUGGGCUGAAGGCAAAGCAUAAGACUUCCAGAGGGAUACAAACAAACUCUCUCCCUCAUAUGAGCCUCUUAAUUUAGCAUAGGCAAACUUUACCAAAAACCCACUAUCCUUACCUACCUUCCAAACCCGGCAAUCUUCAAUACUCAAGACUCGGGCCUUUCCAUGCACCUCUUGCAACAACUGAGCUUCCUGACUAUUUUCCCACUCAAAAAGACCUCUCCUCCAGACUAACUUCCACUCCCAACUAUCGUUAACCCAACUCUCUGCAAGACUUUAAAUUACCAUCUUUAUUACCACAUAAAGAAUACAGCCCUAAACAGUCCCUCACUUUGAGUUGCUAUCAAGAUCAGACUCCCUCCCAAUGUUUCAUAUGUGUUGAUGGUAAACUUGAGUGUGAAUACAGAGAAGCAUUUAUCUUUUUCCUUUACAUAGACUUAGUGUGUCACCUCUUCAUUACUUGUACCUCUUUAUUUUUUCAAAAGAAAUAUGCCAACAAUGUUCAUCUUUAAGUCAUACUUGAAUUAAGGCAUUGGUAUACUACAUUUGACCUUCUUAAAUUUUGUAGAAUAGUGUCUCAUACUUUAAUAUAAUUUAAAAUCUCAUCCUAAAACACAUGCUCAAUUAUAGUGAAAGCAAAUGCAGUUAACCAUACCGGGGUCCCCUUGACCACAGUGGAUAGAUGAGCAGGUACAUUUCCUUCAAUAUCUGGAACUGGGGCAAGUCGUGAAAGUCCAAAAUCGGCAACUUUUGCUGUGUACCUAGAGUCCAAUAAUAUAUUGCUCGCCUUCACGUCUNNNNNNNNNNNNNNNNNNNNNNNNNNNNNNNNNNNNNNNNNNNNNNNNNNNNNNNNNNNNNNNNNNNNNNNNNNNNNNNNNNNNNNNNNNNNNNNNNNNNNNNNNNNNNNNNNNNNNNNNNNNNNNNNNNNNNNNNNNNNNNNNNNNNNNNNNNNNNNNNNNNNNNNNNNNNNNNNNNNNNNNNNNNNNNNNNNNNNNNNNNNNNNNNNNNNNNNNNNNNNNNNNNNNNNNNNNNNNNNNNNNNNNNNNNNNNNNNNNNNNNNNNNNNNNNNNNNNNNNNNNNAGAAAGGUAAUCCCUUAGGGUUCCAUUUGGCAUAUAUUCAUAGACUAACAUCUGCAAGCACAAAGAAACAAACCAAACAGAACACAUAAACUAGUCAAAAAAAGGACAUAAGAUUUAAGGGAGAAAUAGAACCAAAAUAACCAUUGCCUUAAGAAUCAUAAAGAAUAGGCUUAGUUGUGCUUUACUCCCUCAUUUUAACGAUAUGCCAUCAGGAAAAGUUACCUGUUCACCCUCUUCAUCACAGUAUCCAAUUAGAGACACAAGGUUGCGAUGGUGUAGCCUUGAUAGCAAUUCUAUUUCUGUAAGGAACUCCCUCUCACCUUGCAGUGAACCCUCCUGUGCACGUUUUAUGGCAACAACAGUGCCAUCACAAAGACGACCUUUAUAAACCUUCCCAUAACCCCCUUCUCCAAUUUGAGCAGACUCACUAAAAUUGUUUGUAGCCAAGGCCAUUUCUUUGUAAUCAAAUGAUCUUACACCUUCCACUUUUAGCGAGAUCCUAGAUGCUGUGAAAAUUUUAGAAGCCUUUGUUUAAGAUAUAUAUAAUCAAGUCAUUCUUGAUGGUACAGAAAAAUAGAUUUAGAAUAUAUUUAUGCCAAAAUAAAAUAUGUGCAAUAACAUCUAGACUUUUAAAACUUUAGUAAUAAUGAUAAAGAAUCUUACAAGUGUUUUGUGCUGUUCAGGUUUGCAAAUGAUAGUGGUAUGGAUCCUGUAAUAUUGUUCUCAUCAAUUUGUAUUCUGUCCAGCACUGGAAGAUGGCCAAGCUCUUUAGGAAGAUCCCCUGUUAGUUUAUUUCCACUCAGAAGUCUGCAAAAAAAAUGAUUUGAUAAGAAGGAAGGCAGAAAUAUUGUAGCUCCUUGUGUCAAAAUACCAGCCGUUUUUUAUGCAACCAAUUGAAUUGAAUUUCAGUCCUAUAGAAACAAGUAUUUGACUUAAAAAACUUCCUAAGAAAACACUACUCUCGUUUUAUUCAAGAUGUGUUUGUUCAAGUACUAAUAUGUAUAAAUGACUAGGAAAUCAAAUCAAAAAAUUCAUCAAGGUGAUAUAAGACUACUGUUAGCAUUAAACUCAAAGCUGUCAACUGUCAUCAGUUUUAAUUUAGCAUUUGAAUAGCCAAUAAUUAUUAUCUUUAAUUCUAGAUUUGAAUGUCAUUUAUACUAUUAUUUAAAUGAAAAUGAUAGUAUAGGUUUUAUGAUAGAGAAGGUAGAAUUUGAGAAGUCUAUUGUAAGACUAUUUAGAGAGAUUUUAUUCUUAUUUGAAAAGUAGCAGUGAAAUAAAAUUUAUAUUCUCUGUUCACAAAUAUUUUGCUCUGUUUUAUUCCCUCAACACCAACAAUUGGUAUCAGAGCUAUUUUCUUGAGGGAUCUGUAAGGUUAGUAGAGUGCACCAAUGGAAGGAGGAUCAGAUUUUUCAGCAAUGACAUCACUUGUCUUUGAUGGAGACAAUUAUCAAAUGUGGGUUGUUCGUAUGGAGACCUACCUAGAAGCAUUGGAUUUAUGGGAAGCUGUAGAAGAGGACUAUGAAAUUCAGUCCCUUCCAGAAAACCCUCCGGUGGCACAAAUAAAAUCACAAAAGGAAAAAAAGAUGAAGAAAUCAAAGGCAAAAGCAUGUCUAUUUGCAGUUGUAUCUCCUAUGGUAUUCACAAGGAUAAUGUCCUUGAAGUCAGCAAAAGAAAUCUGGGAUUACCUCAAGGCAGAAUAUGAAGGUAAUGAGAGGAUUCGUGGAAUGCAAACCCUGAAUCUAAUCAAAGAGUUUGAAUUGCAGAGAAUGAAGGAGUCGGAAUCCGUAAAAGAGUACUCAGACAGACAUCUAAGUAUUGCCAACAAAGUGAGGUUGCUUGGAUCUGUGUUAAAAGAUUCAAGAAUUGUGGAAAAACCAGUUCCAAAGAGGUUUGAUGCCACCAUAACAACCCUGGAGAACACAAACGACCUAUCAAAGAUUUCUCUUGCAGAGCUCUUAAAUGCUUUACAAGCACAAGAACAAAGGAGAGCCAUGAGACAAGAUGGAGCAGUAGAAGGAGCCUUACUAGUCAAACAUGAAGGUGGCUGGAGAAACAAAGGUAGAAAUUAUCCUCCUUGUAAGCAUUGCAACAAGUUAGGUCAUCCACCGUUUAAGUGUUGGAGAAGACCUGAUGCUAAGUGCAACAAGUGCAAUCAACUUGGGCAUGAAGCAAUGUUUUGUAGAAACCAAAGUGAGCAACAAGAUGUAGAUGCUCAAAUUGCAAAUGAGGAGGAGGAUGUACUUUUCGUUGCAACUGGUUUUUGCAGCAAUAUUUCAAGUGUGUCUUGUCUAAUUGACAGUGGCUACCAACCACAUGACACAUGACAAGGAACUCUUCAAGGAAUUGAGAACUACUGAUAUUAAAAGGGUGAGGAUUGGAAAUGGUGAACACCUUGCAGUAAAAGGAAAAGACACAAUAAUUAUCACAAGCUAUNNNNNNNNNNNNNNNNNNNNNNNNNNNNNNNNNNNNNNNNNNNNNNNNNNNNNNNNNNNNNNNNNNNNNNNNNNNNNNNNNNNNNNNNNNNNNNNNNNNNCAUAUGUUCUUUUUGUGCCAGAGAUUGAUCAAAAUCUUUUGAGUGUUGGUCAAUUAUUGGAAAAAGGCUAUAAAGUGAUGUUUGAAAAUAAGCAUUGCUUAAUCAAAGAUGUUGAUGGCAUAGAUUUGUUUAAAGUUGAAAUGAAGGGAAAAAGUUUUGCUCUCAAUCCAAUGGAGGAGGAGCACAUGGCCUUUAAAUCCAAAGAAAGUGUCACCGAAAUUUAUGUACCUGACUUGAAGAGUAAUAUUCUCAGUAUGGGACAAUUAUUGGAGAGUGUUGAAGCAAAAUUUGAUAACCUGGACAAAAAAGGUUUACAAAAUUGGAAGAAAAAUAUGUUGAUAUGGAGAAAGACAAGGAAAGUAGAGUCAAUCAAGUUGAAGAACUCCAUUUGUUGCUUUUGGCACAAAAAGAAAAGGUGAAUGAAUUACAAUUCAAAUUAAAAGCUCCUUUUGGUUCAUGUGUUUUACUUGAAAAUAAUGGUUUUGAUUUAGGAGAAGACCAUAAAUGGAAUGGUGUUGAGACAUCAUCUGAAAGGGAAAUAUGGUAUAAUCAUUAUCUUCAAAGCUCAUUGAAGUCAAAGUCUUUCUUAAAUCCUUUUAAUUCAAAGGGUGAAAGUGGAGAAGAUUUUGUUUGGAAAAUUAAAAGUAAUUCAAUUCAAAAUUCUGCACGGAUUGGUGCAAUGAAGAAAAUUGAAGUUUCUUCUAAUCAAGGACAAUAUGGUGACUACUGGAAAAAUAUAAUAUUGGAGGCAGUUGGGGUAAGGAAAAAUAUAAAAUUGGAAGUGUGAGCGACAACAAUCUGAAUAAAAAAUAUGAAAGGUUUGAGUUUAAGGGGGAAUUUGUUAGCAUUAAACUCAAAGUCGUCAGCCGUCAUCAGUUUAUUUUAGCAUUUGAAUAGCCAAUAAUUAUUAUCUUUAAUUUUAGUUUUGAAUGUCAUUUAUACUAUGAUUUAAAUGAAAAUUAUAGUAUAGGUUUUAUGAUAGAGAAGAUAGAAUUUGAGAAGUCUAUUGUAAGACUAUUUAAAGAGAUUGUAUUCUUAUUUGAAAAGUAGCAGUGAAAUAAAAUUUAUAUUCUUUGUUCACAAAUAUCUUGCUCUGUUUUAUUCCCUCAACACCAACAACUACUAAAUCAUUCAAUCAUGUGUCAUAGUCCAGCAUGCUGGCCAAGAUAGAUGACUAAACUUACAAGAGUUUCAAAGUUUUGAUAUUGCCAAUCUCCUUCGGUAUACUCCCACUUAUGUCAUUCCACAUAAAGUUCCUUUCAAGAAUGCAAAUUAAAAGCAUUAGUAGAGGAAGUAAUUGCAAGCUGCUACAGAAUGGAAAUAUUCAAAUGAAUCUUACAAAAGUUGAAGCUAGAAAUUGCAAAAUUGAAAAGUGUUCGUAUGUAACCGGUUUGCAUUAGAAACACCAAUGCAGCCACUUCCUUACAGUAUUUCCAAAUAAGAUAAGUUGCCGAUCUCUGGUGCCAAAGUUCCAGACAGGUUCAAAUUCAGUAGUUGCCUACAGACAAAAAUAAAAGGUUCUCAAACAAAUGUGUCAAUAGUAGUAGCAAAAGUUGUUCCAAGAGAAGUGUCAAAGGGCAAUCAAGAAAGUAUAAUCUGAAUUAUGAAGCUUACAUGUGUAUACUACUUGACACUGGAUUAUUGCGCAGUGCAUUAAAUUAUAGUAUUGGUUCUAGAAGUAAAAGGGAAUUGAUGAAAAGAUAGAAAGUUAUAGUAAAACAGAAAUUUUGCUUUGACUUCAAGAUAUAUGAAUUUUUCAAGAUACAAAGAAAAUAUCAUCAUACAGCAUUGUGCAUUUAUACCUAACAGCCGUUGUUGUAGUCACUUGAGCGUACUAACUUUUCUAAUCUAAAAGUUACUGAUUAAGAAGUUUGGACAACAACCAUUGUGAAUCUAUUCAAAACUGAGCAGAUUAAAGGGAGAAAAGUUAAUAAAACAUGGACCAAAAAAUGGAGAUUAAAGUCAUAUAAAAUAUUCUAAAAAAUAUGCCUUGAUCAAGGGAAGAAGGUGGGAGAAGUAGGGGUCUGGUCAGAGUCUGAAUGGCAGUGGAGGCUGAGGUGAAGAAGGAACAGGUUCGAGUGGGAAGUAUUACAUGAAGAAGAACUUCAUAGGAACAUAUCCAGGAUUAUUCUAAACAAGGAGGCGAAGGAUAUUCAGAUAUGGAGAGGUGAUGUUUUAGGGAUGUUCACGGUGAAGUCUGUGUUUGGAUGCUUAUCAAACCAGGGAACUAUAACCAAUGAUGGGUGCUUCAAAAUGCUUUGGAAUGCUAAAGCAUUGCUACUGCAUGGAGGGUAUUGCUGGAUAAAAUUCUAACAAGGCAAAAUCUCAUUAGGAGAGGGGUGUUGAUAAAUACUUAUAGUUAGUGUGUGCUAUGUCAAGGGUGGAUGAAUCAUCUCAACAUUUGUUUAUCCAAUGCGUCUAUGUUCAACUAGGUGUGGUCUCUUUGCUUUAAAUGGAUUGGUAUUCAGUUUCUACAACAUAAUGACCUGAAACUAUCUGAUGGCCUUGUGAGAAUGUAUAUUGGACAAUGUUAGAUUGAAUGUAUAUUCUUCAUCUUACAUGAUAAAACGAAAGAAUCACAAUAAUAUCUAAAAUUCAUACAAUCAACACAAAUGUUAGAAAAAUCAAUUUUUAGCUCUUCAUUUGUCUGUUGACCAAAAUAAGUUGAAUGCAUAUUAGUAGAGCUAACAUCAAUAUAAAAAAAAACAAACUAUAAAUGUCAACUCAGAACUUGAAUUCAUUCUUCUCACUUUCAAUAAACAAAACGCUUCCCAAUUUGUCUGUUUUUUUAUAUAUUUAAAAGAAAAUAUCCUCAUUCAGAACAGAAGACUUUUGUGUCGUUGAAAGUAAAGAAAUAAUAAUUUAUUUGAUCACAUUAAAUUCUUUAAUUUGACAAUCAAAUAUUAGUCUCUUUGACAAAUAAUAGAACACACCUUUGUUUGUGAAUUUGUAGGUUCAAGACUAAGCCGGUAAUAGAUUAAAGUAUAGUAAAACUGUCAAAGUCUUCAAACUAUAGUUACAGCAAGAUCCAGUUUAUAACAUUAUGACCAAAAUUGAAAUAUAAAAUAUAUAAAUAACAUAUAACUAACGACAUAAAAAGUAUUAGUUGUCUGGUGGUAGAAUAAAACCCUGCCACUGUUUUGAUGAGCUAUGACGAAUCUGUGUCACUGUGAUAGAUGGGUCUAUCACACUGCUGUAAUCAUUUGGGCAAAUUGUAACACAUUUGAGUUCUUUUUCUAACAUUGUUUGUGUUUUAUUUAUUUUUUAUUAGCUUAUAUUGGGUUUAAGUUAGAAUCAUUAAUAAUGAUGUCAUAUAAAAGUAAUAAAACAUUUAGUCCUGAUUUCUUGUAUAUAUUCGUAACUUGUGCAGAGGUGAAAGCAGAAACAGAAGAAGAUUGGAAAAAGAAUUUGUUGUUAAAUUGAUAAAAGUGAAGAAAAAGGAAGGAAUGAAUUGCAUCUUUAUGCCUUACUUGGAAACCGAGGAAGUUCAUACUUCUUUCUCAUUUCUUUUCAUUCUUUAAAAUUGCAUCUCCACACCAUUCACUUAAUAUUUCUUCUUCUUCUUCUUCACAUUCUAUCUGCACAAAUCUUCAGGUACGUUUCUCAAUUCAAAUCAUCAUUUUAGUUACAUUUUCUUACUCUCAUAUUACUCCUAUUUUACAUCCAUCUCAAUCAUAUCAAUUAAAAUUAUAACUUUCUAAAGUUGUUGAUCUUUUGAAGAUAUUAGUCCUGUACUUUUUAGGCUUAAUCUUGUUUUUUUUUUAUAUAUAAGUCUAGAUUCAUUUUUCUUAUUUAGCCUAAUUACAUCUUUAUCUCAUCCAUAAUCUUAUCUACUCAUAAUUUACACUAAGAUACGCUUCAAGUUAAUAACCAUUUAUUUAAUGUGAUAAUUAAGUCAUACAAAUAGAUCAUAAUAUAUUAUAUACAAUAUUCAUUAUUCAUAUAAAAUACUUUUUUUAAGAGUUUGAAUUGUAACUAGACCUAUAAAUAUGUGGUAAUUCUCAUAAAAUACACUUUAAACUCAUAUACUCACCUAUCCUCACAUAAAUUUUCUAAAUUUUUAUGUCUUAAGUGUUAAAGAUUUUUUUACAGGUGGAUUCUUCUCUCAUCUCUUAAGUUCAUAUAAACCAUGAAAUUAAAAUCAUUGUUCUCAUUGAUAUAAGUAAAAAAUAUGUACGUCAAAGUUUUACAUUCGUUGAACCCAGUGACUAAUUUAUGACAUAAACUUGUUUUUAAGGUUUAAAAUAAUUUUUAUGAUAAUUUAUCUAAAAAAAUUAUUCUGAAAAAAGGGUUAUAUAUAUGACCACUUUUUCUUCAAUAAGAAUAUAGGUUUGAAACUUUGGUCAACACACUUAAUAAUUUAAAAAGAAAAUAAAUAUAUAAUUUGAAUACAUUAAAAAAUAAUCUAAUGUUAAACAAUUAUUUACUUAAAUCAAAUUUUAAAUUUAAAAAAGUUUGAGUUAGCUAAUUUUAACCUUCAAAUCAAAUAAGAUUACAUAGAAGUUUUGACCUAACUCCUUUUAUGAAAAAAUAAAUAUACACUACAAUAAAAUCAUUAAAUACAAACCAAUUUUAGAGACAAAAAUAAUUAGUUGUUAUAUUGACUAAAUUAGAGACCAUUUUAGAGACUAAAUUUUUUUUUGGUUUCUAAAUUAGUAAAUUAGUUUCUAUUAUUGUUAAAUAGUUUAUAAAUUGAUAUCUAAUUAGCAACCAAGGUUUUAACUACCAAUUAUUUAGAUUCUAAAUUUGGUAGCAAAAACCUUGGUUGCUAAUUAAAUUCCAAUUUAGAAACUAUUUAACAAUAAUAAAAACUAAUUUAGAAACCAAAAUUUGUAUUAGUCUCUAAAAUGAUCUUUAAUUUAGUCAACAUAGCAACUAAAUAUUUUUGGUGUCUAAAAUUGGUUUCUAUUUAAUGAUUUUCUUGUAGUGAUAUAUGUAAAUAGAACUUAGUAACACUUUUUACAACGACAUAUUAGGUCGCUUAAAUGACCGGUAUAAAAAAAAACUCGAUGACAUUUUUGUAAAUAUUUGACACAUAUUACACAAGUUGGACUAUCCAACCAGUGUAAUGUCCUGCUUAGAGCAAAAAAAAAAAGGUUUUUAAAAAUUUUAUCUCUAUGAUUCCACAUAACAUUGAUUGAAUAGAGGAACCAAUAUUAUAUGUCAUUACCAGAUUAAAAAUAAAAAAAAUAAAAGCUUUUAAAAAUGAUAUAUAACAUUGAUUCUUCUAUACAAUUGAUGUUAUAUUUCAUUCCCAGAGUUUAAAAAUAUUUGAAAAAUUUAACUAUGGGCACUACAUAUAACACCUAUUGGAUACAUGAAUCAGUGUUAUAUGUAAUCUUUAGAUUACAAAAAUGUUUUUAAAGUUUUGAAAAUUACACAUAACACUGGUUGGACUACGCAAUCGGUGUUUUAUAUCAUUUCACGGUAAAAAAAAAUAUAUUACACCGGUUAUUACUCAUAAAUGAUAUUUUUACCUAAUUUUCUUGACUCACACCCUCACUCUCCAUUCGUGCUAUUUUAAGUUUUCUUGAUCAAGAGUUCAUUUUGUUUCUACGAAAGCUGCUACCACUGCCACUGCCUCCGCCGCUCCCUCCGCUGCUUCUCCUUAUUUCGUUCUAUACCGUACGAGAUUCUUCUGUUCACGCUUCCCUGCUAUUAUUUUGUUGUCAGUCUUGUCGCUGCUCUUGCCUCCAUUGUCACUACAGCUCCGUUCACGUUCACGCUACAGGUUAGUUUUUUUAUUUUUAAAUAUUUUAAUUUUAAUUAUUACUUGGUUUACAAUAUUAUUUAUAUAGAUAAUUAGUUUUAUUGUAUUGUAUUCAGAAUAUAAUGUAUUAUGUUUUGAAUUGGGUAAUUGUUUUAGACGAAACGCUUUGGUCUAAAACGAUGACUUUACCUCAUAGUCGUUGUUUUAGAGUCAUUUAAUUUAAAAAAUACCACCGUGUAAGAACAAUGUUUAGCCAUAAAAGCGUUGCGAAUGUAUUGUCGUAAAUAGACCUUUUUGCACUAGUGAUCUAUUUUGAACUUUAUAUUAAUUUUCAACACUUGAAAGAGACUAAGUAUGAGAAAAAAUUAAUACUUUAAAACUAAAUAGAUUAUUUAUUUUCCUCUUAUAUAAUAUAUAUAUUUUUUCAUGGAAGACAAGACUGAUAGAAGCUUAAUUAAAUCAUGAAAGAAGAAGACCUCUGUCCGAAAGAUAAAAAUAUUUGAUAACAAGGUGUCAGAAUCCUCUUCAUUAGCAGUGGAUGAUUUUAUACACAAAGAGUCUAUCAAUACUGUUGGGUUUAAUAGUGCCAAAGUUCAAGAGGGGGGGUGAAUUGACCUUUUAAAACUUUCUCGCAGAAACAGUGUUUAACACAGUUUUACAGAAAAUAAAUCGAUUUAUGUGAAAAUGAACAGAUUUAUUUCAGCACUGUUUUUGUUUGAAAAGCUUUUAAUACAGCAAGGUUAAUCACAAGACUAUGCUGAUAGUUUUUCCAGAUGCACACACACAGAUAUCAGAUUGAAAAACAGUGAAACACAAAACAGCAAGCUUCAAUUUCAAGCAAGUGAUUAAGGUUCAAUUGAUAGCAUGCUAAUUAAGUGAGUGACCUUUGCAAACAACCUGUUCCAGUGGCUUUAACAGACUAUGAGUGUUCUUCUUGAUGUCNNNNNNNNNNNNNNNNNNNNNNNNNNNNNNNNNNNNNNNNNNNNNNNNNNNNNNNNNNNNNNNNNNNNNNNNNNNNNNNNNNNNNNNNNNNNNNNNNNNNGAAUCACAGAACAGCAAGCUUCAGCUUUAAGCAAUUGUUUAAGGUUCAAUUAAUAGCUUUGACAGUUUCUUGAGUAACCUAUCACAGUCAAUCUGUUCCAAUGACUUUUAGCAGAUUAUAUAUGUUCUUAUCAGAUUCAAACAACUUUUUCAGAAAUCAAGAACAGUAUGCACAGUGCCCAGAAAGAACAGAUUUAUUUUCAAUUGAACAGAUUUAUUUCUUUGUUGUUUGAUCAAUUAUGCAAAAACGAAAUUGCAGAGAGUGAGAGAGAAUGAACACAGGCAGUUAUACUGGUUCACUCAACUGAGCUACUUCCAGUCUUCACCAACAACAGGUGGCAAUCACUAAAACACAGUACAACCAAGUACAAUUCCCACUGUUCUUGAAACCUACAAGAACUUAGGUACUCUUGCUGAAAAAACCUAUUUCAGCACAUACACACUCACUCUCCAAGAACACCUAUCAAGAAGAGUGUUCAACCAAACUAUUACAAGAAAUGAGAAGUGAAACGACUACACCUGAUUGAGGAUACAAAGAUCUGCCUUAAACCAGUAGGCAAGAUUGCUAGAACAGUAGCUGCACCUCACACCAAGCUUUUGGAACCAAACCAAGAACAAGCACUUUGUGAUUUUCUAAAUCUUUGAAGAACAAAUGCUAAUCCUUUGUAAACACUUAACUCUCUGCUGUCAAAACUUGUUUUUGCAAAUGUAUGAAUUGUUAUUAAUCUCAGAAACAAGUUUGCAUUUUAUAGAAAGCCAACUAAUAACAGAUUUUUGAAAAACAGUUAAAGCUGUUAUAAAAUGAACAGAUUGAAAAUAAAAAGAACAGAUUUAUUUUCAAAAGCAGUUAGAGAAUUUGUUAAGUGAGGAGACUUAGUCAAACAUUCUGGUGCUAAGAUAAAACUCAAAAACGUUUAAGCUUGACAUGGCACCAGAGGCAAAAAGAAUCUAUUCAUUUACAGAUGAACAGAUUUAUUUUUCAAAACGAAAACAGAGAAAGUUUAACUAUUUAAAACUCAGUCGUUUUUGAAAAGAAGAAGACUUAGUCAAAAUACCUGAUGCACAAAAUCUAAUUUUUACAAGACUUAGCCAAGGCAUCAGUGAAAAAAAAUGAAUCUAUUUAUUUAGAAAAGAACAGAUUUAUUUUUAUGCAGUAAGCGUGUUUUUGUGUAAAACAUGUGAAAAACAGUUUAAGAAAGCUUAUGCUUGUUCUUAUCACAUGGCCAGUGGUUAUGAGGUGAGUUACUCAGCAAAAAGCCCACUCUUAGACAACCUCUAAGCACUACCUAAAACAUACUUAAAGCAAAGCAGAAAACAAAUGAAAUGUACAUAUAAGUCUUCAUCAAACACAACAUAUAAGCCUUCAUCAAACACAAUCUUGAAGGGGCAGCAACCAUCUUCAACAAAUACAAUGUAUCGUCAUACUUAUAAUGGUAUAUAUUUAACUUAAACUAAAGGAAUAAGAAAAAAUCGUCAAGAAGAUUAAGCCUAAUAAAUGUCUACACUAGACAAUUUGUCACACUACUACUUAAUGGUCUCCAUCAAACUACUUAAUGGUCUAUAUCAAUUUGCUGCCUCCCUCCAUAAGACGGUCUAACUCGUUUGACUGAGCUCUCCAUCAAAUAGUCUAUUAAACAUGAUUUAUAGUCAAUUUUCAUAGGAUACAAUGUAAGUGCGACUUUUAGAUUGUGAAUGCAUGAGAUAAAUCCACUUAAAGUGAGAGUGUGAUCAUCCAUGAUGGUGAGAACAUAACGAUCACCAUGUAUGGAAACCUUUUAGCAGAGACCACAUAUGUCCAUAUAUAGAAAAUUAAAGGAAUGAGAUUAACGUGAAUGACAAAACUCAUGACAAUUUAUUUUGUCUAGCAUAGUAGCAAGUAUUGCAUGUAAACUCUUUAUUGCUGUAGGAAAGGAUAACAAGAUUGCGUGAGUUGUAAACAUUUAAGGAAUGAUCAUAAGAAAAUGUCACAAAUCUAUGCACUACAAUAAAAUCAUGAAAUAGAAAUCAAUUUUAGAGACAAAAAAUAAUUAGUUAUUAUAGUGACUAAAUUAGAGACCAUUUUAGAAACUAAACUACUUUUGGUUUCUUAAUUAGUUUAUUAUUGUUAAAUGAUUUUUAAAUUAGUAUUUAAUUAGCUACCAAAGUUUUUCUACCGAAUUUAAAAUCUAAAUAAUUACUGCCAUGAAUAUAUAGAAUAUACUUUAUGAUUUUUAAUAUUUCAUUUAAUGUUAUAUUAUAAGAAUUAUAUCACAUUUAAUUUUUGGUUAAAAAUAAUUUCAUACUAUGAUACACCAAAAAAACAUCUCUUCGUUAAUUAAAAUCUAUAUAAACUUUUUUCAUCUAAAAAUAUUCAUUUUUUUCUCUCAAAAGUAUUAACUAAAUCAUUACUAUUGAAAAUACUAUCUAUAUUUUCAAGAAAAAUAAAAAUUAGUAAUUUUUUAGGGACAUAAAAAAUACAUUGUUUUAAAACUGAAUUAAUUUUUGUUUUAAUUAUUAGCAUCAAUAUUAUAUAGUCUUUAAUUUCAAAUCAAAAUCUUUUUUAUGAUACUUGUAAACAAUAUCUUUAAUAAUUAUAUUAUUAUCUUCAAGUCAUAUCACAUAUUAUUUUUUAUAUUAAUUUAAUUGUUGAAAGAAUAUAAUGAAGUUAUUUUAAUUAAUAUAAUUACAUAAUUAUAUAUAAAAAAUAGUUGUCUUGUAUAUUUGAAAGAUACGAUUUUUUUUUUAAAUAAAGACAAGUAAUAAUAAAGAAAUAUAAAAAUAAUAGUUGUCAUGUAUGUUUUACUUAAUUUUUUUUAAUAGCUAAAAUACACAUGAUAAUUUUUCCAAUCAUUUCAUAGCUUUCAUGUGUAAACUAUUCUUUAAGAAUUAAGGUACAUGUUAAUCAAUUUAAAAAUUAAUUUAUAUUUUUUUAUAAAUAUUUAAUGAAUUGUAGAAAUAUCAUAUAUAAAACGCAAAGAGUCCUUGUUAACAUAGUUAAUACUAGUUUUUUCUUAGAUUAAACAAUUUGUUUUUCUCUCUAUUUGUAAAAUAACAACAUCUAUGGAAGGCAUGACACCUUUUUAAUUUACUAUUUUCUUUUAAUUGCAUGAUAUCUUAUUAAAAUACAUGACAUAAUAUCAUUUUGUAGUUAAUUAAAGAGUGACAAAUUCAUUCAUGUUUAGGAAAUUGUAUAAAUUCAAAUGGAGGACUUCUUUUUUUCUAUCGCAACAAAGAUUGCAGAAUAUGCAAUAGUUAUAAUUUUAGACCAUGCUAAAUACUUGUGUUGUUUACACAACUUUGCUUUGAAUCUUCCAAAUGCCAAAAAACAACUGGAAUUGACUCGAGAGAGUGUGAAUGAGCAAAUUAGAGAAGCCACUAAUAGGAUUGAAAAAGUUAAUCCAGUUGUUGAGGAGUGGCAAAAAGAUGUCAAGAAAGUCUUAGAUGAAGUAAAACUGCUAGAGGAGAGAAUAUUGAAUGUAAACAAGAGCUGUUUGAGAAGGUAAUGUCAAUAUUCUCUUGCAAAAAAUAUAGCAAGAAAAACAACUAAAAUGAUUCAGCUCCAUCGUGAUAGCAAGUUUGAACCGUUUUCUACAACUAUUGAACUUCCAGGCAUGAAGUACUAUUCUUCCAAUGAUUUCAUUAUGUUCAAAUCUACAGAAGUAUCGUACAACAAGCUUCUAGAAACAUUAAAGAAUAAAAGUUUUUCCAUGAUUGGGUUAGUUGGAUUAGGAGGUUCAGGGAAAACUACUUUAGCAAAAGAAGUGGGUAAAAAGGCUGAAGAGAUGAAAAUCUUUGAGAAGGUUGUUAUGGUAACGGUGUCUCAAUCACCAAAUAUCAUAAGUAUGCAAAAUCAAAUUGUUGACCAAUUGAGUUUCCCAUUAAAUAAAGCAUCAGAUAUAGGUAGAGCACAAUGACUAUCACAGAGAUUAAGGGAAGGUACAACUCUUUUAAUCUUGGACGAUGUAUGGGAAAAGCUAAACUUUGAAGCUUUAGGUAUUCCAUUUGAUGAAACCUGCAAGACUUGUAUAACAACUCGCAAUAAAGAAGUAUGCACUUCUAUGCAAUGUCAAAGUAUAAUUGAACUUAAUCUCUUGAGUGACAAUGAAGCAUGGACUUUGUUCACACAUUAUGCAAGUAUAACUGAUGUCUCCUUUGAAGCUUUGAAAGAUGUGACAAGAAAAAUUAUUAAUGAAUGUAAGGGAUUGCCCAUUGCAAUUGUGACUGUAGCAAGCUCGCUAAAGGGGAAAACUAUUGAAGGUUUUGAGUUAGCAUUGUCAAGGCUAGAAAAUUCUAAGCCACUAGAUAUUCCAAAAGUCUUAAUAAGUCCUUAUGUUUGUCUUGAAUUAAGUUACAAUAAUUUGACAAACCAAUUGGCUCAAUCUUUAUUGUUGUUGUGUUCUAUGUUUCCAGAGGAUUAUGAAAUACAUUUAGAAGAUUUAUUUCGAUUUGGAAGAGGAUUUUGCAGAGUUGGGUCGUUUGGAAAAAUGGAGAAUGCAAGGAGAGAGAUGCAUGAAGCCAUUGACAUUCUUAAGAGUUGUUUUUUGUUAAUGCAAGCCGGAACAAAAGAAAAUGUAAAAAUGCAUGAUUUGGUUCGUGAUGUAGCCUUGUGGAUUGCCGCUAAAAGUGGUCAAACAAUUUUCACACGCACUGGAGUGGGUCUGGAAGUGUUGACAAAUGAUGAAAUCAUGAAAGAUACGAAAGCAUUAGCCUUAUGGAAUAUAAAAGGAUAUGAUUUUCUUAAUUAUAAAAUAAAUUGUCCAACACUUGAAAUUCUCUUGCUUUGUUUUGGAGGUCACAUAAAAGUACCAGAUUUGUGUUCUGAAAGCUUGGAAGAACUUAAAACCUUAGCAAGCAUAGAUCUACCGUGGGGAGGAUCUAGGCUUCUUUUGCCAGAGUCACUGAAGUCGUUAAAAAAUCUUCGAACACUGUGCUUGAGAAAUCAUGAUUUAGGUGACAUAUCUUUUGUGGAAAGACUGCAAACACUUGAGAUUCUUGACUUGCAUGGCUCUUCUUUUGAAGAAUUUCCUGUUGGGAUUGUAAAAUUAAAGAAGUUGAAGCUUCUUGACUUGUUCGAAUGUCGGCUUCAGAAAAAUAUAGUUGAUGAAGUUUACGAAGUUGUAAGCAAAUGUUUGCAGCUAUAGGAAUUGUAUUUGUACUUGGUCAAUUACAAAAAGGACUUUUCACAUGAUGUCUCUUUCUCCAAUUUACAGAGGUAUGCUAUAAUAAACUGUCAUUCUUCUAGGUCUUGGGACCCAGCCCUGAAGAAAUAUGCACAGUCUAGAGGUUUAUUAAUACAUGAUUUUGAUGUUACUGUUCAAAAAUUUAUAUCAUUACCAAUCAAGAAUCUCUUUAUAAGAGCAGAGUUCCUUCAUUUGAGGAACCUUGGGGGAGAUUUUAAAAAUAUAAUCCCAUCCAUGGAUCCAAAAGGCAUGAAUCACUUGAUUACCCUAAAACUCCGAGAGUGUGAAAAGAUAGAAUGUCUCAUUGAUAACACUAUGAAUACCAACAACAGUGUAUUCUCUAAACUUGUUUACCUAAGUUUGGAAUGGUUAUGUAGCCUUCUAGAGGUUUUUUGUGAUCCCUCAUCGCGAUGUUCCCUUGAAAAUUUAGAAGAGCUCUUGAUAAAAUAUUGUAGACAAUUGAACAGCAUCUCCUUUCCAAGGAAGUCUAAGCUAUGCAAUCUGAAGGUCCUUUUAAUAUCUUAUUGUCCUAUGCUAAUUUCUCUCUUCGUGCCAUCCAUUGUCCAAUCUCUAGUGUUGUUAGAGGAACUAAGAAUAUCUGGAUGCAGCGCAUUGAGGCACAUAAUAGAAGAAGUGGAAGAAGGGAACGAUGUUCUUUCAAGCACCCCAAGUCAUUCAUAUUUGACGCUCCAAAAAUUAAAGAUUUUUUGUAUUGAAAAUUGCAACAAUUUGGAGUAUAUAUUCUCUGAGAAUUUAGCCGUAGGGCUAGUGAGUUUUGGAAAGUGUGUUCAUUUGAGGAAGCUCGGAAUUGAAGUAUGUAUUUGGCAGUGAAAAGGAACGUAAUCAUGCAGUUUACCCAAGUGAAAAGGAGACUAAUAUCAUAAAUUUUUCUAAUUUUCAUACUCUAUGGUUGAUAGAUUUACCAAAUGUGAUUGACAUUUGGCCUCAAUAUUGUCGUCCACAUCUUCCAAAUCUUAAAAAGUUAUACUGCCAUAAAUGUCCCAAAUUGCUUGACUCUUCCAUAAAUAAGACGAUGACUGCUUCAAAUCUCCCGCAAGAAACAACUUCAAAGGUAAUAUAUUAUUUCAAAAUCAUGAUAUCUUUAACUAACAUAACCACAUGAGCAUUUAUAGAAACAUAGUUAUUAUUUAUUAUUUCAUUAAGUUGAUUAAAAAUAACGAGCUUUAAAUAUGAAUUAAUAUUGAGAUUUUAAGGAAUCAGUAUACUUUGUCAAGUGAUGUUGUUUAAAUGCAUUAAGAAUAAAAAUCAUAUCGCAGUAGUUUUUUAUCAUUACUUUUAUUCUGAUAACUAUCAAGAUUACAGUUUAUAUUCUUAUUGUGUUUGAGUAGAAAAAUAUAUGCAUAAAUUAGUCAUAAUUCUGUGAAAUGGAUAAUCUUUUAUCUAGUCUACUAAACAAGUAUUUAUCAAUUUAAUCAAUUAUAUUUUAAUGAAUUGUAUUCAGACCUACUGAUUAUGAUUGUUUUUUUUUUCGAUUAGUAUUGUAAUUUUUUUAUAGGUUUGUUUUUAAUAAUGAGUUUUGAUCUAGUUUUUUGUUUUUAUUUUUUAAUACAUUUUAGGUAUGCUUCCUCACAUUAAGUUUAUUGAAAAAUAAUAUAUAUUAUUUUCAAAGAUGCAAUACAUGUAAAUAAAGAAAAUGAUAUUGUAAUUAGAAGUGAUAGAUAUAAGAUUUUGAAGUGCGUUAUAUAGUGUGAUAUUUGAAGUACGUUAGAUUGAUGAAUUAAUUAAUGAUUGAAAUAUAUGGACUUAGUCCUUUAUUUAGCAAAAUUAAUAAAUUAAAUCUGUAAAAAUUCCAUGCUUUGUAUUUAUCUUUUCAUUACUAAAUGUGCAAUUGUAUUCAUAAUUUUUUUCAAAAACAAGUUUGUUGAUUUGAAUUAGCCAUAACUUAUGAAGUGUAAAAUGUAAGAUAUUAAGAAUGAAUUAUGUUGUGUAUACAGGAUAAUCAAAUACCAUGGUUUCCACCCCAACUUGAAGAGCUUAAAUUGACUGAUGUUAGAGUAAAAGGUCUCUUCCAAUUCCAAAUGGGAGAAGAAGGGGGCAGUAGAGAACUACUUCCUCUAAACUUAGAUACAUUAAUCUUGGUAAACUUACCUGAGCUCAACUUCAUAUGGAAGGGCCCCACAGGUUUUCUAAGCCUCCAAAACCUUGAAACUGUUAGCAUAUAUGGAUGUCCAAAAUUGAAAACCAUCUUCUCCAUCACUGUUGUUACAAGUUUACCAAUGUUGAGGAUUCUGGAUAUAAAGAACUGUGAUGAAUUGGAACAAAUAUUUGAUUUAGGUGAUGCACCACAACUACAAACCCUGUAUUCUUCCCAACAACUCUGCUUCCCAAAACUCUAUUCCAUUAGAGUUAAAAAGUGCAAUAAGUUGAAAUGUCUUUUUUAUAAUCUAUCGGCUAGUCAUUUUCCCAGUCUGGGAACUUUGGAAAUAGAAGAGUGCUAUCAGUUACACAAGGCUUUUGGUUUUGAACAUGAAGCUGAUGAUGGUGGUGAAGAACAGACGGCUAAAAAGGGAGAACAACUACUACUACAGAAACUGAACUUUAUAACACUUACAAAUUUGUCAAACUUCGAAGAGAUUCACCACGGAUUUAAGUUAAAAGAAGAUGUUGUACAUAACAUAGAGGAAUGUCCUAAGUAUUCUCCAAGUUUAUAUCUGCAUACAGGUAAAAUUCACAUGUCCUUUUUCUAGACACAAUUACAUGUCUUUGGAUUAUGAUUGUUUUAAGUAAAAUAUAUUUAUCAGAUAUGUAAAUAGAAGACUACAGUGAAGUAUGGGAAGUGUGGUAUUGAUUUAAAAAACAAAGUGUGGAAUGGACAAUGCAACCGUGCCUCAAGUUAUCACCCAACUCAUCUCCAACCGCUACAAUAAAUUGGUGAGAUAACUUUUUUUUGUCCGCUAAGAAAACAUUUUUUAAAUUAACCAAUGCUAACUCACUGGCCCCAGUAUUCUCAUGUCACUCAUUAUGGAAUAAUAUUCAAACAUUGAUACCAUUUAAUUAUUUUGUAGGGAGACAAUUGCUGGAGGGAAGCAGAGUGUUGAGACGAGUUGUGGGUGUAGGGGUGAUAUUAAAAUUUGUAUAAAAAUAAUCAAUAACAGAAAGAAAGUUCUGUCUGUUAAAUAUUUAUCUCUGUGAGUAUUUAUUUUCUUGUUUUAGGAUUCAAGAAUUUGAUAGGGAAUAGGUGAUAUUGUAAGAUGUCUAAGUCUUAUGUCGUGUAUCGUGUAAUAUGAUACACUCAGUGCUAUAUUUAAGUGUUUGAUUCUUCCCUCUUUGAAUUAAAUUUUUAAGAGUGAUUUUCCAAAUAUUUAGACAUUUAUCAAUUCAUAUCAUCAGAGCUAGUUAGCAAAUUCCUGUAAGAACUAAGGAAAAAGAAUUUGAAAUCCUAAUAACCUAAAAGACAUGUGAUUGGUACUUCAAAAACAAAUCUCUGUCAAAAAUUGAUUAAUUAUAACUAACUAGCCUAUUCUCUUCCAAUUUAUCAUACAAGUAGCACAAAAAGAAUAAAUGAAAAUUAGUAAAUUUGGUUUCAUUGUCCAAUUCACAAGGCACUAAUUAACAUCCUCAGAUUCAAUCAAAUAUUUUUUCUUAAGAAAGAUAUAAAUUUUGAACUUCUAUCUUGGUUUGAUGGUUGGUGCACUUCCACUGGCAAGGUCACUACUUGACACAUCUCCUGAAAUAAAAUGAGUGUUUAUAGUAGAUGAUGAAGGUUGUGAACUCAAUAUUGUACCAGAAGAAUCACUUGUAACAUAUUCAACUCCCUUGGAAUCUGGCUCAAGUAACAUAGAACAGAUGUAUUCAAGCUCUCUAGCCACUUCUGCCAUUUUAGGCCUCUCAUCUGGUAAAUCUUUGCAACACUUUAAGGCUAAAGUAAAAAAUCUCACUGCAUACUUAAAUGGAUAAGACUCAAUACGUUUAUCAACAACCAGAUAAAUUCCACCAGAUUGGUAUGCCAUAUUAACCUGAAAUAAAAAAAGGAAGAAACAAAAAGAUUUAGGUUUUACUUAAAUCAUUUCUCAUUAAACACUUAUAUGAAGAAGAAAAUAAGAAGGUAAAACGAAUUAACCUUCUCUUAUAUGUUAAAUAUGUUAAAGUUAACUUGUACACAGUUAAACCAAGUUGACUGAAUUGACCUUUAUUAAAUUGUCAAGAAGAGAAAUCAUGACAUAACUGUCUAAUUAUAUUUUCUCCAUGAAAGAUUGGUGGCCUUCCUGUCAAAAGUUCCAAAAAUACAACACCCAGACUGUAAACAUCACUUUUGUCAGUCAAAUUACGUGUUAAGAAGUACUCUGGAUCAAGGUAACCCUGCAUGUUGAGAACAUCGUAUAAACAAUAGAAAAAUUAAAUCAUUGAACGGAUAAAAUCAACCUUAAACAAUAUAUAAAAAAUAAUUUCCAAUGAAUUAGUUAGAUACAUCUUUGUAUUUUGGUUUCAAAGAUCCAAACGUCAAACUUAUUUCUUAAACUAUACAAAACACACAUGACUGGCAGCAGUUAUUUUCUACGCAUAACUGUCUAAACAGUCCCUCACUUUGAGUUGCGAUCAAGAUCAGACUCCCUCCCAAUGUUUCAUAUGUGUUGAUAGUAAUACAGAGAAGUAUUUAUCUUUUUCUUUUACAUAGACUUAGUGUGUCACCUCUUCAUUACUUGUAAUAUUGUUAACUGAUUGUAAAUUAUAAAUCAGCUACAACUGUCAUAUGACAGUUGAAACUGACAGAUUAGAGUUUAGAUAAGAUCUUCAUAUCUGUACUAUAAAUAUCAAUUGUAAACUCAGCCUCUUAUUUUUCCAAAAGAAAUAUGCCAACAAUGUUCAUCUUUAAGUCAUACUUGAAUUAAGGCAUUGGUCUACUACAUUUGACCUUUUUAAAUUUUGUAGAAUACUGUCUCAUAAUUUCAAAUCUCAUACUAAAACACAUGCUCAAUUAUAGUAGAAGUAAAUGCAGUGAUGAAAACCAUACCGGGUCCCCUUUACCACAGUGGAUACAUGAGCAGGUACAUUUCCUUCAAUAUCUGGAACUGGGGCAAGUCGUGAAAGUCCAAAAUCGGCAACUUUUGCUGUGUACCUACAGUCCAAUAAUAUAUUGCUCGCCUUCACGUCUCGGUGGAAUAUUGGAGGAUUAGCUUCUGUGUGCAGAUAUAGAAGACCUUUUGCUGAUCCUAGAGCAAUCUUUAACCUCAUAGAAAAACUAAGAACAUCUUUUGAAUAAGCUGUCAUAAAACAUUACCAACAUAGUUAAGACAUAGAAAGGCAUUUUUUUAUUAAAUUAAAAGUAAAAUUAUAACGUUAGUCUCUUUGUACUUGAAACCAAAUUGGAGCCAGAAAUAAGAACAAGAAAACUUAUACAGAAAAUUAGAUGAUAGAAGUUUAAAUAUACCAGAAAGGUGAUCCCUUAGGGUUCCAUUUGGCAUAUAUUCAUAGACUAACAUCUGCAAGCACAAAGAAACAAACCAAACAGAACACAUAAACUAGUCAAAAAAGGACAUAAGAUUUAAGGGAGAAAAAGAACCAAAAUAACCAUUUCCUUAAAGAACCAUAAAGAAUAGGCUUAGUUGUGCUUUACUCCCUCAUUUUAACAAAAUGGCAUCAGGCAAAGUUACCUGUUCACCCUCUUCGUCACAGUAUCCAAUCAGAGACACAAGGUUGCGGUGGUGUAGCCUUGAUAGCAAUUCUAUUUCUGUAAGGAAAUCCCUCCUAAGAAGCCCAAACACGGAUACGGGCACGGAUACGACACAGAUACGGGCACGGAUACGACACAGAUACGGACACGGAGAUACGGCUAAACUGAAAAUUAUAGGACACGGGACACGGCUAUAUAUAAAUUAGAAUGUAGUAAUAUAUUUUGUUAUAUGAAAAAAAAUCAAGAAAAACAUAAUGUUUAACUUUUAUUUUUUGGAGAUUUUAAAGACGACCUUUAUAAACCUUCCCAUAACCCCCUUCUCCAAUUUGAGCAGACUCACUAAAAUUGUUUGUACCCAAGGCCAUUUCUUUGUAAUCAAAUGAUCUUACACCUUCAACUUUUAGCGAGAUCCUAGAUGCUGUGAAAAUAUUAGAAGCCUUUGUUUAAGAUAUAUAUAAUCAAGUCAUUCUUGAUGGUACAGAAAAUUAGAUUUAGAAUAUAUUUUACCAAAAUAAAAUAUGUGCAAUAACAUCUAGACUUCAAAUUAUGAAAGAGCCAAAGCCUUGAAGACAUUUCAAAUGGGAAAAAAAUAAUAGGCUAACUCAUUGUAAGGUACUCACCGUUACGCCGCUUGGAAAGUGCACGAUAAUCUCUCAAGCGUAUUCUCAAAAUAAGAAUGGAAACAACUGCAGAUAAUGUAAGUGCACAGGCAAUUGCACCUAAGAUUAUUCAAGCCAAUGCACCUUUGCUUAUCCUUGAACUUGAAGAGGGAGUAAUGGCUGCAUAAUAAGCAGUAUAUGAGUACAAUUGAUCAACCUUAAAACAGUUUUCAAAUAUCUUAUUCCAAUAUAUGGGAUUAACCUUCAAUAUAAUUUCAAAAUAUUUAUUUGAAAGGUGAAGCAUGAAUUAUACUGUAAAAAGGCUGAGUUCUUAAUAAAAUAUAGAGAACCACUAGGUCUGUUUGUACAAGUUUCUUCAUAAACAACUUUAGCAGAGAAAUGAAUUGGGUUUCUGUUAGGACAGAAAAUAAGGAAAAGACAUGGAAGGUGUAUUAUAGGAGAAAACUUAAAAAUAAAGGGUAAGGGAGUUGGUUAGUUAGUUGGUUAUGGUUGGUCUUUAAAUAAAGACCAACUGGUUUUAGGAUUACAGUUUCGUUGACAGGAGAAGUCCUGUGUGAAAUCAGUGUUUCCUUUGUGAUUGUUCUGAUUGUACGGCGGGGUGGGAAUAAACAGAGGUUAUUCAGUUCUUUUCUGUGUUCUUGGAGUAUUUUGGGUUUUCUGUUUUUGGGUUCCUAACAGUUUCUCAAUGAACUGAACUUAAUUUAUACAUAAGCUAAUUUAUAGAAACUCACUUAUCUAGCUAUAUGUAGCUCUCUCUAUUUAUUUUUUUAACUUUCCAUAAAAUAAUUUAGUUAGUAAAAAGAGCUCAUUUCACACUUUUCUUCUUAUUCUUCUCUUCUAGAAGUGUUUAUAGAGGAGUUUAUUUAAACAAGUGUUAACUCAAUCUGCAUAAAACUUUAAACAAUUCAAUUACAAGUUUCCAUGAUCACUGUUCAACCACCUGACUGAGAUUCAACUUCAGUUUUCUUGUUAACAGUGUCCAAGUACUUCUAGGAAAAUCAUAUCAUCAGAAGUUUUUGUAACUCACCCUCGUUGUAAAGAUCCAGUAGAAUGAAGUCCAAGAGUUCAUAAGGACCAAAAAAGUCACUGUCAUGAAUAUUCCACUAUCUGAACAUGUCCCUAAUCCGAAUAACCUCACCUGUACUGAACUCACGAGAACUUGUAUUGUCCACAUAUUCUGGAAAAAGCUUCAAGUUCAUUCUCAACCGCCCUUCUUCCCAUGUAAAACGCUCAAUGAACAGCUGAUUAGUAUGCAUACUAAGACCAUCUGUCAGGAAGUUCUCAAAUUUUUUCACAUAUGCACGGAAAUCUGAAAAACCUGGACUUUUCAACCGAUAAUGAACAAUCAAUGGGGCAACACUGAUACACUCCACAUUGUAUUCAUAAGAAGGGGUAUCCUUGACUUGGACAGACAACAGUGGAGCCUCCAUCCUUGUCAUUGUCACUUUCACGUCCACAGAACUGAACAAAGGAGUUAUUAUUCGAACAUACAGGAUUUCCCUCAAGCCUGAAAAACAGUGAUUUCAAUAAUAUUGUGACAAGUUACCGAAGGAAGAUGGAAUAAUCAAUGUUCAACAAUAUUUGACCUUUAUCAUAAGGAUUUAUAUUAUUAUUUUGAACAAGCAUGACAAAGAAAAAAGAUAAAACUCUCCACUACUCUUAAAUUAGUACGUCUGAAAAAUCAGUUUAGAAGCUUACAUAAGUGUGAGAUUUGGAGGAAGAUUUGUACUGCCUGAUAUGCUUGUAAGUUGAUUAUGCUGCAUGUAUCUGCAACAGAGCAAAUCAAAAACAAAAAAAAUUAAAAGGCAUCUAAGCUAACAAAAAAGUUGUGGAUACAGGAUGCCUUAGGAAUAUACAGACAUAUUCAUGUUCUCACACAUAGUAUCACCCACAGCAGAAGAAUAAUGAGGACACAAAUUUAUAAACCAUAAACCCUAAAUUUGUGCUCUAAAAUAUAAAUCUACAAGAGCAAAAUUGCAAAAUUAUCAUUUCAUGUCUUACAAGAUAAGUUCCUCGGUUGCAUUUAAAGUUCUGUUCUGCCAAAUGGUAGAGGGAACAGUACCACUAAUUGAAUUGUUUGGAACUGACCUGCCAUAGGGAACGACACGUCUUAAAAAUUGUUGCUUUUAUAGAAGAAUUUUAUAGAUAUGUAUGUAUGUGUAUGUGUAGAAAUACAUUACGGUUUGAUGUAGAAGAAGAAGGUGAAACAAAAGACAAACUUACAAUUUCUGAAGACGUGGAAGACUAGAAAAGUAGGUUGGAAUUGUUCCAUUGAACUUGUUGUUUGAUAAGUCACUGCACAAGUCCUCAGAGUAAGACAAUAAUAUCAUAUGCAAUCCAUGUAAUCAUAUUUAGAAUAUUUUCUCCAACCACUUAAUAUGAGGAAAAUAUUUGUAAGGGGAAACCAAAUCAACUAAUGCAUGACCAAUAGAUUUGUAAGCAAUAGAUGUUCUUACAUGUCUGAUAGCUUAUUGGUAGGAAUUGAUUCAUUCAACUGAUUGAAACUAAGGUCACUGGAAUACACAGAAACAGCAAUCAGUUGAAACAGUUACUGAUUUUAAUCAUGUGCAUUGUCUAACUCAUUAUUUUGGCAGUUGCAGCCACUUCUUUUUGAUAAAAAUCCAAUAAAAUCAAUGCAUAAUAUAAUUUGAAAGAAAAUGAAAUAGCUAAACUUACAGGUAAGUAAGGUGUGGUAUCCUGCUGAAAUCAGGAAUUGGUCCUUUCAAGUUGCAGUUCCUGAUAAAGCCAAGAAAAAACAAAUAAGAACAUAUGGACCAAUGAACUUUACACUAGGAUCAUUUCUCCUCACAGAACUAAAUAUGUUGUUUGAGACAAGAAAUUUUGUUAAGAAGAAUAAAGUGAAAAAUAUGAGGAAUGACAAUGUGGUAUCCUCCAAAUAGAGAAAAAGGAAAUUGAGAAAAUGAUAAGAGUUUGCCAAAACAAUUUGGACAUCAGCCUAGUGCAACAGUAACGUACUGGCAGCAAUAUGUGUGAAUACUCACUUGAAAACAAUAUAUAUAAUUGUAUUUCUUAAUAGUUUAAGCACCUUGCAAGUUUCUCUCUGAUUGAAAGUUUUAUGAACUACAAAUCACAAAGGUUUUAGAAUCUUAAAUCGGUAUUCACCAUACAUUAAAAUAAAGGCUUCCACUGCCCCACUCUUGAGAUCCAUGAGAUUCCAAGAUUUAUUCUUAGCACGCAUGGAUUUGACCCCAAGCGCUACCGCGGUAACGUACUUGCAAACACAAGAUCAUAAAAUGCACUUACAAUUUCAACAAUUUUGACAUGUUGGCAUAAGAUUCUGGCAUGCUAUUUCCAUCGAAGUUAUUGUUAUCGAGUUGACUGCAAUAACAAGAACAUCCAAAGUUACUUAAAAUAUUAUUUAUUUAGAAGACGUAUUUAUCGGUUCAAGUUCAGCAAACAUAGUAGAAACAAAAACAUUCAAAAACUAAAGGGUCUAAAAGUACAAUGACAGAAAUUGCAAAUUUCUAAUAUUAUGACUUUAGAAUUUCUCUUCUUAGGUUUAUAAUGUUCAACUUUAGAAUUUCUCUUCUUGCAAUUCUGAUUUGUAGUAAUAGGUUGGCAUCACUUCACAGUGUAUGAGCAUGCUAUUCAAUCUUCACUACAGUUGAACAUCUGUCAACAUUUAGCUUAGGUUCCUUUUUUAGAAUCUGUAGCUAGUUGUUCAGUCAGUUAGAAAGUUAUUUCAGUCAAUUUCAACUCAGUUAGGUCAGUCUAUGCAUAAAUAACAUUCUUUUAAUUGAACUCUGACUUUAAUCAUUCAGAAUUUUUUUCUAAAAUUUUCCUCUCAAAUUUUUGAACCCUAAUAUGGUGUCAGAGCAUUGCAGAUCUUAAUUACAUUCCACUUAAUGACCUUACUUCAACAGUAUUAUUCGAACUUGUAUAAAUUCAUAAUUUCCUUCUUCUCUUUUCCUUGGAUCCAUAGAGGUCUGAAACACUGGUCUGUGGAGGCCUGAGGUGAAGUGCAAGUUAUAAUGGUGGUUAAGUACAAACUGAUCCCAGAUUUCCCAUCUAUGUACAUUAUCACUCACUCUUAUCUCUCCCCCAAAAAAUCUGUGGGUGACUACAUCUUGUGAAUCUGUUUGAACCUUUGAGAAAAAAAUGAACAUAUAUUCAUGUUAACAUGGCUUAUACAGAAGAAUAAAUUUAAAGUGGAGAAUUCAAGUCUCAUACAGUUCUCUAACAUGUAGAUAGCCAUCGACUAACGUUGUAUCCGAGCACAUGACUCCUGUCCAGUUAGAUGUACAAGGAUCUCCACGAUCCCAGUUGCUCAAAUUUCCAUUAGUAUCAAUCAAACUUCUCUUUAUGGUUCUUAAUGCGUCAACUGCAAGAUAAUGCAAAUGAAAUCUUAUAUUUUGAAUAAAAACAUAUGAAAACACAUUACUCACUCCUACAUAUUAAACAUCCUCACACAUUAUUAUAUGUGGGGACAAAAGCUAAAUAGUAGUUCAAUAUCUGAAGGGAGUGUCAGAACUUGGGGUGAGCUUCCAAUAAAAAUGAGUUUACACUAGUCAGAUUAUAAGUAUUUCCAUUAAUGUUGGGUGAGAUUGAAGGAUCACAUCAAGAACUUCCCUCAUGCCAUUCCCAGUAGAUUCUCUCUAAGUCCUUUUGUGGGGUUUACAUAACAUCAAGAUAUGGGUAAGUGAUGCUGGUAAAGGAUCUUAUAAUAUGAAGUUUUGUGAAUUGUCACCUCCUUAUCUCAAUUAUUGGAAUAUGGCAAUCAGUUUAAAAUGAAAUUUUACAGAAAAUUUUUGGAUAUAUUUAUAAACUGAAAAUUGUAAGAUAAUAAAAGGACAUAAUUAAACACUUAAUUAAAUCUUAAUAUUAAUUAAUUGCAUAUUUUUAACAGUUAAAAAUUUAUAAAUUAUAAUUUUGAUUUAAAUUUUUAUAUAAAUUAUAUUUUAAGCAAUAUUUGUGUAAACAAAAUUUCCUCCUCAUAAUUUUAAAAUAGUUAUUAUUUUUAGUAAAAAAAUAAAUAUUUUAUUAAAAAUAAUUGAAGAACUAAAAAUUAUUAAACAAGUAUAACAUUAAAUUAAUAAUUUUAAAAAAGUGUUAAUAAUCCAAAAAUUGUAAUCAUUUUCACACUCACAUAAAAGCUGUAGAAAGAGGAAGAUGAAAAACAAUCUGGGAUAUUCUUUUGGAUAUGCUUAAAGUAUUACAAAUCAACCAUCCUUUUAUUUAAGCUAAGAGAAAGAUUUUGAAUAGAGACCAUUUGCUCUUAUUGAAAAGGGCACUGCAAUAAUACAACCUGGAUUCAAUUAACUAAUUAUAAGAAUUAAAAAAAAUAGUUAGUAAUAUUAAAAUUGUUGUACAUUUUAUUUUCAAACUUAAUUAACAUUAGCUAAUCAUACACUUUUGUUAUUUUUUAAUUUUUUAAUUAAUUUAAUUCUUUUAAUCUCUCAACUAAUGUGUAUUGUUUCAAUUUUAUUACUUUUUAGAUGUUUUUAUUAAUGUAAGAGAUAUUAUAGUUUGACUUUUAGUAAAAAGACCAAAUCAAACCUCUAAUUAAUAUAAGUAAAAAGAAUUUGUUGUUAUGCACAGUUGAAGGAAAAAAAUCUAUUUAGUACACACAUUGAAAAUCUUACAGAAAGUCCGUCAUGAAAGAGAUUAUCUACCAUAUAUCACUUCUAGAAACGCUGGUCAUAAACAUAAAAAAAAAAGAUUAUAAUAAAAUACAAACUUGAAUAUAUGGGGAAAUUCAUAAACAGAAAAAAAAAUAAUAAUAUACCUUCGGUGGGAUCAGUGAUCAAAGCAGUAGCAAAUAGAAAAUAGCAGAAGAAACACAAGCACAGAAGAACAGCUUCUUCACACUUACAACCCUUUGAAAGAUACAUCCCACUCAAACUGCCAAAAUCUAUUAAAUAUUUCUCCUGAACUCAGCAAAGUGUUUUUCUUGCCCUGUUAACAACAAAACCAGUUAGAGACAUUCAUGAAUCCUUUUACUCUUCUAGUUAUCCAUGUAUAAAUAAUCUUAAAUCAACUCUAUAAAAUGGUUGACAAGUACCUUUGUUCAUUAAAGAUCCCUUCGAAUCAGCUCAGCUUCUUAAUUGCGCAUUUUAAGGAAUUAGUAUCUUGAUUGCUGCCCAACAAAACACAUAUAAACUUAUCACUGUUUUCUAUCGGAAUGAAUGGCGUAUGAAUGUAUGAACGGUGAACGGAAUGGCGUAUGAACGUAUGAACGGUGAACGGCGUGGACGGAAUGAAUGGCGUUAUUUUGGAGAACGGAGUCAGCGCCAAGGUGUUUGGAGGGAGGAGCAGAGGGGAAAACGUACAUUGCGUUCGAUUCAAUCCUCUUCUCACUCAGUCUCUACUUUCCUUUUUUUCAAACUUCCCAAGUUCUCACGGCGAACACGAUAUGAUGAAGAUCUUUCAGAGGUGGGUAAGGGUGAAGGAGGUAUUCAUCUCCAGACGCAGAAACAGGUGGGGAAGACGGUUUGGGUUCGUGAGAUUCUUUAACGUCUCAAAUGAGUCUAAACUGGAGAAGGAGUUGGAUCAGAUUUUCAUUGGUAAUAUGAAACUCUAUGUUAAUAUGCCAAAAUAUAGGAGAACUGAGUAUUCUCAACUAGCUGGGCCACUUCCUGUGGGAGACAAGGGCAAGAAUCAACGAAUCCAUGGAAAAGUGCAAUUGAAGGAAGAGGAGGAAUGGAGAGAAGUAAAGAAGAGGGGCGCACGUAGGGACCACACUUUGAGGUACUCCUAUGCUGAAGUUGUUCGGAAAUCUCCACAGGACCAGUGGAAGGGUCCAUGUAUUGAAACCACAUCAAAAAUUCUUCCUUGAAUGACAACCAGUGCAGUAGGUCGAAUGGUUUCAGACCUAGAUUUUGUGUCUUUAAGUGAAGAGUUUGUCAAAGGAGGCAUGUCAAUGAUCAAGGUGAGAUAUUUGGGUGAUAACUUCGUCCUCUUGACCCCUAAGGAAGGAGAACGGAUGGAAGACAUCAUCAAGCUGAAUAAAAGUUGGUUUACGAGCGUGUUCGAAGACCUAGAACCCUGGUCAGCCUCUUUUGUAGCGAGCCACAGGUUAGUUUGGGCAAGGUGUUAUGGCCUUCCUCUACCCCUAUGGAACAAGGAUUGCUUGUCUAAGAUUAUUGGAGAGAUGGCAGAUCUGGUGUCCAUCGAUGAGGUAACUGAGCAGUGGGAAAACCUUGAAUAUGUGCGAAUCCAAUUGCGGGUGACCAAAACGAGUAGAAUCAGAAUCACAAAUGGGUAUCGGAUAAAUGGUCAAAUUUACAAUAUUAGUGUUAUUGAAGAGGAAUUUGAUCAAGGAGGACGAGCAUGUAGUUGCCCUGAACCCAAUUAUACUUCCUCAGAUAAUAUAUCUUCAUCGGACACCUUCAUCGAGGAAUCUGGUUUUUCGGACAAAGCUUUGGAAGGUGGGGACAUUGUUGCCGGAGGCACUUCUCGACAGGGAGAGGAGGAUGAGGGAGACAACGGAAUGACCUUACAGGCAAAGUUGAGUCAAUUAAGGAAACUUACUCAGCAUGAAAAGGGGAGGCAGAGCAAAGACAGUUUACCUUACACAAAUAAGGUAAUACGUGAGCAGGGGGUCCUGAUAUUGGGGCAACUUUAUCUGUACAAAAGAAAGUCAACUCUAUAUGUUCCCUCAUACACAAUGCUCUAUCUGACCUAGUUCACUGCUCUCAAAACCUUAACUCCCUUAUAUCCAAACCCGAAUUAAGUGUGGGCCUGCUGCCUGAGGCCCAAAUUAACAAUAGUGAGGGUUUGGGCCUAACGAAACAGGGAGCUAGGGUUGCUACGGAAGCGGAUCACGGAAGGGCGGGGCAAGGGAAGUUCACGGCAAUGGAGGCUUCGAUUAAUUUCUUUGGAGGGAGGUACAUGGAGCUUACCUGCAGAUCCCCUCACCCAGGGGGCACGAUUUGAAACGGCGAGCCUCGAGGAGGACCUAUACACAACCAUACGUCCAACCAUAUCGCGUCCCAUGGUGAACUAAGCAGUGUGGGUAGUUCCACGUCGGUGAGCAGAGGCCCAACCAACGAUGAAGCCUCACCAAUUGCGGAAGUAGAACCCAUUACGUCGGAGAAUGUGCGGAGGUUGCGAGGCCUAUGGGAACAAGGUUCGAAACCGUCAUGCCUACGGUGGAGGUCUAAGGGAGGAUUAGGGCCCCUGCAUUACAGGGUCAAUUCUUCAUCCAGGUUAAGUCAAUGCUCCUUUGCUGAAUCUGAUCAUGAUAUUGAACACUGCAAUAACAGAUUAAGGGUUGAGGAGUGUGUAGCUGAAUCUGAACGUAUCUGGGAUGCGGGUAAACAUCUAGGGGUGAGGUGUUCUGGGGAGGAGGUGAAUAUUGUAGUUGAAUUGAAAAGUAUGAAGGAAAGGGAUAAGCAAGUUAAGAAGAAUGCCGAGGAGGGUACUAGUCAUGUUGAAUUAUGAUAAUUUUCAAUCUUAAUAUCAGGGGCUUGGAGGGGGGGGGGGUACGUAAAGCUAAUUAUUUGAAACACUGUAUAGCCAAGGAGGGGGUGGAAUUUGUGUGUUUGCAAGAGACAAAAAUCGUGUCUUUUACUGAUAAUCGUUGUUUCUCUCUUUGGGGGGACACUAAUAUAGGUUGGGUGCAUUAUGAAGGUGAUAAUGGUGCAGGGAGCAUGUUAUCAAUGUGGCAUAAAGAUAAAUUCUGCUAUCAUUCGCAUGUUAUCGAGAUAGGUUUCAUUGCGGUAGUAGGUCAGCACAUUAAAUCUAGUUGUAUGUGCUUUGUGGUAAAUAUCUAUGCAGCUUGUAACCACAGUGCAAAAAUCACUUUAUGGGAAGCUUUAACUUCACUAAAGAGGAGUUAUCAGAACAUGGCUGGAUGUUUUUGUGGAGACUUUAACGUUGUAAGAAGGGAGGAUGAAAGGAAAGGAAUCAGAGCUGGGUCUAGUAAGAGGAAGGAAAUAAAUGGUUUUAACUGUUUUCUCGACGAAAACAGUAUGGUGGACAUCCCAAGUGUGGGCAAAAAAUAUACAUGGUUCAAACCAAAUGGAACCGCUAAAAGUAGGUUGGAUAGAGUGCUGGUUUCUGAAGCAUGGAUCCAGACCUGGCCAUUCUAUAAGCAAUAUGUGCAACAAAGAAUUGUGUCCGAUCACUGUGCUAUUGUGGCAAAGUCUUGGGCCAAAGAUUGAGAUCUCAAACCUUUUCACUCCAUAGAUGCUUGGUUCAUGGAGCCAGGGUUCAAGGUGUUUGUGAAGGAGAAAUGGGGGUCGUACAAUGGUCAGAGAAACAGCAUAUCUAGUCUCAAGGAAAAACUAAAAUUCUUGAAGGCAGACCUCAAUGUGUGGAACAAGAAUGUGUUUGGAUGUUUGCAAACAAAUCAAAAGCAAAUCCUAAAGGAUAUUGAGAUCCUUGACGCUAAGGACGAUAAUGAUGUUUUAGAGGAGAGCGAUAGAAUAAGAAGAAUGGAAUUACUCAGCCAAUUGAGAAUGAUUGAUAAUAAGCUGGACUCUCUUGCAAGGCAAAAAGCAAGAACAAACUGGUACAAGUUCGGGGACAUGAAUUCCAAAUUUUACCACACGGCCAUCAGGUGGAGAAGACUUAAAAACGAAGUCAAAGGUGUGCAGGUUGGGGGGCAAUGGUGUGAGGAACCGGAAGUAGUUCAUAGGGAAGCUAAGGCUUUGUUUGAAAAGAGGUUCACGACUACACUGAACAGAUGUUUUCAAGCUCUCUAGCCACUUCUGCCAUUUUAGGUCGCUCAUCUGGUGCAUCUUUGCAACACUUUAAGGCCAACGUCAAAAACUUCUCCACAUAUUCUUAAGGAUAAGAGCCAAUACGUUUAUCAAUAACUGAAAACAAUCCACCAGAUUCGUAUGCCAUACUAACCUGAAAAAAGGAUUUAAAAUGUUAUCUCUCUCUCUCUCUCUNNNNNNNNNNNNNNNNNNNNNNNNNNNNNNNNNNNNNNNNNNNNNNNNNNNNNNNNNNNNNNNNNNNNNNNNNNNNNNNNNNNNNNNNNNNNNNNNNNNNUCUCUCUCUCUCUCUCUCUCUCUCUCUCUCUCUCUCUCUCUCUCUCUAUAUAUAUAUAUAUAUAUAUAUAUAUAUAUAUAUAUCUUUUAGAGAUGGGAAAUCAUCAAGGAACUAUUAUGACAAGUGAUACAAAUCAUUUGUACCUUGCUGAUGUUAGAUUAUUAAAUAACUAUCAGCAUUUACACCAUCUAAAUUAGAAUGUAAUGUACAAUAUAUUCUGUUGACUAGCUGGUGUUAGUAUCUAAUUUAGUCAUGACAAUUUGUAAUUUAACUAGAUUAGAGAAUAAAAUAUUAUUAAUAUUUAAAAUGAUUUUUAUUAUUAAUAAAAAUUUAUAAAAUAAUUUUUAAAUUGAUAAAACAUUUUUCCCUGACUUCUUGUAUAUAUUCGUAACUUGUGGAGAGGUGAAAGCAGAAACACAACAAAAUUGGAAAAAGAAUUUGUUGUUAUUGAUAAAGUGAAGAAAAAUUAAGGAAUGAAUUGCAUCUUUAUGCCUUACUUGGAAACUAAGGAAGUUCAUGCUUCUUUCUCAUUUCUUUUCAUUCUUUAAAAUUCCAUCCAUUCACUUCAUAUUGUAAUCCCUUAGGGUUCCAUUUGGCAUAUAUUCAUAGACUAACAUCUGCAAGCACAAAGAAACAAACCAAACAGAACACAUAAACUAGUCAGAAAACGACAAAAGAUUUAAGGGAGAAAUAGAACCAAAAUAUUUUCAGAGGAAAAUAUGAAUUUGGAUUCCCUAACUUCCCUAGCUAUAAUUCAUUGAAAGAUACGUCACAAUUAAGUAUCAAAAUAACCAUUGCCUUAAGAUUCAUAAAGAAUUAUGGGUUUUUUGACAUCUAAAGUUUCAGAACUUUUGGGUAUUUGAUUUUGCUCUAUAUUACAAAAAAUGUAACUUUGUGAUUGUGUAUAUGGGUUGGAUUACUCCUGAAAUAACCCUCUAAUUUAAUUUAUUCAUUGCUAAUAAAAAAAAUCAUAAAAAAUAUGCUUAGUUGCGCUUUACUCCCUCAUUAUAAAUAGAUUUAGAAUAUAUUUAUGCCAAAAUAAAAUAUAUGCAAUAACAACUAGACUUCAGAUUAUGAAAGAGCCAAAGCCUUGAAGACAUUUCAAAGAGGAAAAAAUAAUAGGCUAACUCAUUGUAAGGUACUCACCGAUACGUCGCUUGGAAAGUGCACGAUAAUCUCUCAGCUUAUUCUCAAAAUAAGAAUGGAAACAAUUGCAGAUAAUGAACUGCACAUGCAAUUGCACCUAAGAUUAUUGCAGCCAGUUAAUAUUACUUUCAUAUUUUCUUUUCCUGUAUGACUCGUGGUUUUCUAAAUUUUAAUGCAAAUACAAAUGCUCUCAAACUGAGUUCAAGGGAGUCUACAAACUUUUCCAAGCAUAAUGGCUAGAGAAGAAAAACUUUUGUAUGAAAUAUGCACAAGUCUAACAUCUAAAAAAUUUAUUUCAUUGGGUUAGUACAUAAUCCAUUAUGAGUACAUAUUUUUAAUAUAACUCAUUUCUGCAAUUUUAUAGUCCUUGCAUGAACACCUUCCAAUUUGUGCAACUGACAGUAUUUUUUCCUCUGCAUAUUUUGAAGUUCUUCAAAUAAAAAGAAAUUUUUUAAAGUAACCAAAGCUAACUCAGUGGCCCCACUAGUCUCAUGUCACUCAUUAUGUAGAAGAACAUAAUAUUAAAUCAUUAAUACCAUAUAAUUAUUUUGUAUAGACAAUUGCUGGAGGGAAGUAGAGUGUUGUGACGAGUUGGCAGUAUUGGGGUAAUAUUUUAUGUGAGUGUUUAUUUUCUUGUUUUAAGAUUCAAGAAUUUGAGUGGUGAUACUGUGAGAAGUCUAAGUAUUAUGUUGUGUAUAGUGUAAUAUGAAACAUUUAGUGAUACAUUUAAGUGUUUGAUUCUUUCCUCUUUGAAUUAAUUUUUUAGAGAGAUUCUCCAAAUAUUUAGAUAUUUAUAAAUUCAAAUCAUCAGAGCUAGUUAGCAAAUCCUUGUAAGAACUAAGGAAGUCAAGAAUUUGAAAUCCUUAUAGCCUAAAAGAUAUGUGAAUGGUACUUCAAAAGCACCUGGAAUGCACCAUCAUAAACAAAUCUUUGUCGCUCUGAGUGAGCUGCUUGCAAAACAACAAAUAUACUAUCUGCAUCCACUGAAAAUCCUUCAUUUGGUUGUCUAUAAGUUGCUGCUAUAACCAUUAUAACACUUAACGCAACCAAUAUUUUGCUUGUGAUACAACUGAAUGUUAUGUUGUUGAGUAAUAGUUUGUCUCAAAAGACUGGAUAUUGAACAGACAAAACAAGAAAUAGUUCUCUUAAAAUUUUAAUUUGUAACAUUUAUUCAAAAAUAUAUUGGCAUUGUUUGAAUAAAGUUUACAUGUAAAUUAAGCAAAACAGAAAAAAAAUUAUAAGAUUGAAAUUAAAGUUAAUCUUCCUCACUAGUAUGUAUUUUAGAUAAAUUAAAACAUACAAUAUUAUGAUCUAAUUGAAAUUGAUGUAACAAAAAGAUUCAUCUUCAUUGAUUAUUCAAAUAUGAAAUUAUUAAUGUCAUCUCUUAAGCAUUGAUUCCUCAACUAUUUAGCAAACUUCUUAUUAUUAAGAAAAGAUGUUAUAAAGCAUUUGAUAUAUGAAAAUAUAUUCCUAACAUAAAAAUAUAUCAAGUAUUUUCAUUUAAAUAAAAUCAUCAGAAAAAUACUUCACAGCCAAAUCCAAGGAUCUAAUUCAAGAAUAAAAAUUCAAGCUUUAAGCAUAAAAUGAAAAUACCAAUAUCAAAUAAGAACAAAAUAUCAUAUAUAAAUACUACCACGAUUCAUCAGAGUUUGAAAAGAAUCCGUUCAAUCCCAAAAGAAAGAAUUAGUCACUCAUAAUAGCCAUUACAAGCACCCAAAUGAUUAUGGAAAGCAAGAGAAGAAGAUUCAAAGUGUAUCUCCUUGAUGGCUCCUUCCUAGGAUUUCCUUCUAAUCCCUCUUGUUCUGCCCUAUUUUCGUAUUUAACCUAAUUUGGGCUUGGAUUUAGUGACAUCUCGCUCAAGCGAGACAUACCUUGCUUAAAUGAGAUCAUUAAUUCAAAUAAUCCCCACUCUCUAGAGCAAUCUCGCUCAGACGAGUCCUAGGCAAGACUUAGGCGAGACUUGAGCGAGCUUGUAUGAAUUUGAGCAAGCUUGACACUUGGUCUCUAGACCAUUCUCGUUUGGACGAGCAUUGGUUUGUCUAUGGACCAUUCUCGCCUAAGUGAAUUUGGGCGAGUCUUGAAUGUCCAAACCUUAUCUUUUUUAACUCUUCUUUAUUCAUUUCUGACCAUAUGCUCCAUCUUUCCUUACUUUCUUAACACAAAAUUUGGGAUAAUUUUUUUUAUUAAUCUCAUAAUUCAGAAUAUUUUAUUAAAUUCAAUUCUUCACAAAUUUGAAUUAGAUAAUAAACAAAUCAACAAUUAAAAUCCAUAAAUACUUAAUUGUUGUUUGUAUGGAAUUUCACUAAAUAAUGGUAUUUAUCAACUUCAUCAUCUGAAUGUUGUGUAUAAAUUGUUCCAGUAUGGCUAUUUCAACUGCAGAGAAUCUUCAACACUUGAAAUAUAAGAAUUAUAUAAUUUAUAACAACUAUUUAAUUUAUAUAUAGAAUAAAAUGUAGCAGAAUAUAAAAUAUUAAUAAUAUUUGAAUUUUAAUUUCAUAAAUUUAAAUGAUAAAUGAAUAUAUUUUUAUCUUUAUAUAAUAAUUAUUUAAAAAAAAUAAAAAAUCUAAAACUUAAUUUAAAUAAAAAAAUAUUAAACCAAUAUUCUUAACCGUCGGUGUGAAUAUAUAUUUAUAACUGUUAUAUUAUCAUCGAAAUUAUUUUUUAAUCUAUAAAUACUAGAUACGGCAGAAAGUAAGUAAAAUAAAAAUAUGAAAAGAAAGAGCAAUUUAGUUUCAAUAUAUUUUUCCUUUGAAUUCAUUCUUCUCACUUUCAAUAUACAGAACGCUUCCGUAUUUCUCUGUUUUCUAUAUAUUCAAAAGGAAAUAUCAACUCAGACCUUGAAUUCAUUCUUCUCACUUUCAAUAUACAGAACUCUUCUCAAUUUCUCUGUUUUCUAUGUAUUCAAAAGGAAAUAUCCAUAUUCAGAAGAGAAGAAUUUUAUGUAGUAGAAAGUCAAGAAAUAAUAUUUUAUUUGAUCACAUUAAAUUCUUUUGAAUUUGACAAUCAAAUAUUAAUCUCUUUAACAAAUAAUAGAACACCUUUGUUUAUGAUUUUGUAGGUUCAAAACUAAGCUGAUAAUAGAUUAAUUAAAUUAAUAUAUUAAUCAAGGUAUGUAUAUAGUAAUACUAAAAUCUUGAUAGAAUGAAGCAAUGCAUCUUUUACUUUCAAGAACAAUCAGAAAAGAAAACAUAAAUAUUUUUAUUUCAUCUUGUAAGUUUUUAAUUAACUUUAAAAUAUAGUAAAACUGUCAAAGUCUUCAAACUAUAGUUACAGCAAGAUCCAGUUUAUAGCAUUAUGACAAAAACUUAAAUAUCAUACAUAAAGAACAUAUAAGUGACGACAAGAAAAGUAUGAGUUGUCUGUUGGUAGAUUAAAACCCUGCUACUGAUCAAUCCUAGGUUCAAUUCUCGGCUAGUGCUUCUAAUCCAUUUGGUCAAAUUGUGACACAGCUGAGUCCAAACAUCUUUUGUGUUUUGUUUAUUUUUAUUAGCUUAUUUUGGGAUUAAGUUAGAAUUAUUAAUAAUGAUGUCAUAUAAAAGUGAUAAAACAUUUUGUCCUGAUUUCUUGUAUAUAUUCGUAACUUGUGCAGAGGUGAAAGCAGAAAGAGAAGAAGAAUGGAAAAAGAAUGUGUUGUUAUUGAUAAAGUGAAGAAAAAUGAAGGAAUGAAUUGCAUCUUUAUGCCUUACUUGGAAACCGAGGAAGUUCAUACUUCUUUCUCAUUUCUUUUCAUUCUUUAAAAUUGCAUCUCCACACCAUUCACUUAAUAUUUCUUCUUCUUCUUCUUCACAUUCUAUCUGCACAAAUCUUCAGGUACGUUUCUCAAUUCAAAUCAUCAAUUUAGUUAAAUUUUGUAUCCAUCUCAAUCAUAUAAAUUAAAAUUACUUUCCAAAGUGGUUGAUCUUUUCAAGAUAUUAGUCAUCUACUUUUUAGGCUUAAUUUUUUUUUUUAUAUAUAAGUUUAGAUUCCCUUUAGCCUGGUUAAAUCUUUAUCUCAUUCAUAAUCUUUUACCUAUCCACCAUUUACACUAAGAUGUGCUCAAGUUAAUAAUAAUUUAUUUAAUGUGAUAAUGAAGUCAUAUAAAUAGGAUUAUAAUAUAUUAUAUACAAUAUUUAUUAUUCAUUCAAAAUACUUUUUUAAGAGUUAAAUCCCAACUAGACAAUAUUUCUUUUCAUAUUUCUUUGAAUAAUGGAUUACAAUAUAAGAAAAUUAUGAAAUAGAAAUCAAUUUUUAGAUACAAAAAAUAAUUAGUUGUUAUAGUGACUAAAUUAGAGACCAUUUUAGAGACUAAUUUUUUUUUGUUUUUAAAUUAGUUUCUAUUGUUGUUAAAUAGUUUAUAAAUUGGUAUCUAAUUAGCUAUCAGAGUUUUAACAACCAAUUAUUUAGAUUAUAAAUUUGGUAGCAAAAACCUUGGUAGCUAAUUAGAUACCAAUUUAGAAAUCAUUUAACAAUAAUAGAAACUAAUUUAGAAACUAAAAGUUUUUUUAGUUUUUAAAAUGGUCUCUAAUUUAAUCACUAUAGCAACUAAUUAUUUUUUAUCUCUAAAAUUGGUUUCUAUUUCAUGAUUUCUUGCAGUGGUAAUAGAUCAAAAGUUUAUAUAAACCAUAAAAUUAAAAUAAGUGUUCUCAUUAGAUAUAAGUGUAGAAAAUAUGUAAGUGAAAGUUUUACAUUCGUUGAACAUAGUGACUAGUUUAUAUGACAUAAACUUGCUUUUAAGGUUUAAAAUAAGUUUUAUGAUAAUUUAUUUUAAAAAAAUAUUCUGAAAUAAAGGUUAUAUAUAUGACCACCUUUUCUUCAAUAAGAAUAUAGGUUUGAAACCUUUUGUUGGUCAACAUACUUAAUAAUUUAAAAAACAAACAAAUAUAUAAUUUGAAUACAUUACAAAAUAAUCUAAUGUUAAACAAUUAUUUACUUAAAUCAAAUUUUAAAUCUAAAAAACUUUUAUGAGUCACCUAAUUUUAACCUUCAAAUCAAAUAAGAUUACAUAAAAGUUUUGAACUAAGUCCUUUUCUGACAAAAAAAAAUAAAAAUAUAUAUAUAUAUAAAAAAAAGGAGAACUGAAUAACACUUUUUACAACGACAUAUUAGAUUGGUUAAAUAAGAAUCAAUGUAAACAAAAAAUGUGGUGGCAUUUUUGUAAAUGUUUGACACAUAUUACACCAAUUGGAUAUCCAACUAGUGUAAUAUGUCCUACUCAAAGCAAAAAAAGUUUUUUAAAAAUUUUAUCUAUGGAUUACACAUAACACCGGUUGGAUAGAGGAACCAAUGUUAUAUGUCAUUCCUAGAUUAAAAAAAAAGUUUUUAAAAGUGAUAUGUAACACUGGUUCCUCUAUACAACCGGUGUUAUAUAUCAUUCUCAGAGUUAAAAAAAAAUUGAAAAAUUUAACUUUGGACACUACAUAUAACAUAGGUUGGAUACAUGAAUAAGUGUUAUAUGUAAUCUUCAAAUAAAAAAAAGUUUUUGAAGUUUUAAAAAUUACAUAUAACACUGGUUGGACUAUGCAACCGGUGUUAUAUGUCAUUUCAUAGUAAAAAAAAGUUAAGUUAAUAAAAAUAUAUAUUACACCUGUUAUUACUCAUAAACGGUGUAAUAUAUGUUUUUACCUUAUUUUCUUGGCUGACACCCUCACUCUCCAUUCGUGCUAUUCCAAGUUUUUUGCUCAAGAGUUCAUUUCGCUUCUGUCAACGCUGCUGCCUCCACCGCUUCAUUCUCAUUUCGUUCUUUUCGUUGUGAGAGCAUUCAUACCGAACGAGAUUCUUCUGUUCACGCUUCUUUACUAUUUCGUUGUCACUCUUGUUGCUACUCUUGCCCCCAUUGCCGCCACAACUCCAUUCACGUUUACGCUCCAGGUUAGUUUUUUAUUUUUAAAUAUUUUAAUUUUAAUUAUUAUUUGGUUUACAAUUAUUUAUAUAGAUAAUUAGUUUUAUUAUAUUUUAUUUGGAAUAUAAUGUAUUAUGUUUUAAAUUGGGUAAUUGUUAUAUGUUAAAGGUCUUGGUAUUAGGUCUGGGGGUGAUCGACCUUCGGCAAUGUGUAUUAUGUUUUAUAAUAUGUUAUGUUUGAAAUAUAAUGUAUUAUAUCUUAAUUUUUGAAUUGUUGUUUUAAUUUUUAUAGGUUGAAUGCUUUGGUACUAAGUUUAGGAUUUAGGAUUUAGUAUGUGACUCUAGAGCACAUAUUCACUGGUUAGGAGCCAUAAGCGGUGUUAUAUGUGCCUUCUGGAACACAUAUUUUUUAAUAUUUUAUUCAAAUUUUAGUACAUAUUACACCGAUUUUUAUAAUCGAUGUUAUAUACUUAACAUUUUACAUCACUGAGAUCUACAUCGGUGAUGGAAUCGGGUUAUAUGUCCUUUAGAAUCGAUGUUAUAUACGUUUUUUUUGCACGAGUGCUCGUUUCUGACCUUAUUCAUCUAUUCUCUAAUUCAAGUGCAAAAGGUAUUGUAGUAUCGGUCUCUUAAUAUAUAGAGAGGUUAUACUUUAAAUCAUUUAAAGAGAGAACUAUUUCUUAUUGUUUUGAUCUUAGUUAAUUUGACGGAUAAACAUGAGUUACUUAUCCUAAAAAUUUAAUAAUUUCACUAUAAAUUUUAAGGUGUUGGUCGUCAUAAAAAAAUUGGAUAAAAAUGUUUUAAUAUUAGCCAUCAACAAAUUUUACAAAGUUACAUGCACACAAAAAAAAAAGAGGUUUUUUUGAGAGGCUUUUGCAACAUUAACUGAUACUUGUUUUAUGAGAUUUAGGAUGUACAAAUAAGACAAUGAAAUUAAGGAGAAAAAAGGAUUUGAAGAAGUUUCUCAACAUACAUUACAAGAAAAUCAUCAACUAGAAACCAAUAUUUAGAGACCAAAAUAGUUAGUUGCAAUAGUAACUAAAUUAAAGACCAUAUUUUAGAAACUAAAAAAAAAUUGGUUCAUAAAUUAAUUUCUAUUAUUGUUAAAUAGUUUCUAAAUUGGUAUCUAAUUAACUACCAAGGUUUUAACUACCAAUUAUUUAAAUUCUAAAUUUGGUAGCAAAAAUCUUAGUUGCUAAUUAGAUACUAAUUUAGAAACCAUUAACAAUAAUAAAAAAUAUUUUAGAAACAAAAAAUUUAUUUAGCCCCUAAAAUGGUCUCUAAUUUAGUCAAUAUAGCAACUAAUUAUUUUUUGUCUCUAAAAUUGGUUUCUAUUUUCUUGUAGUAAUGAUAUACAAAUUUUAUAUUCAGUCAUUAUAACAGUAUAUAUUGUUCAAUGAAAAGAUAAUCUUUUCUUUCAUCACACUAAUGGUGCUUAUUUUUCUUUUUUCACUUACUAAUACAAUUGUAUGUUAUAAGCACUAAUUGAUACUUUUAUUAAAGAAUUGCACUAAAAUGAAAAAUACAAGUCAAAUGAUUGUUGCAUUUGAAACCCUUUAAUUCAAUCAAGGGAUAAAUGGAAUAAACAUCUAUUUGGAACUUUAUAUUAAUUUUCGGCACUUGAAAGAGACUAAGCAUGAGAAAAAAAUUAAUACUUUAAAAAAUAAAUUGAUUAUUUAUUUUCCUCUUUUAUAUAUAUAUAUAUAUAUAUAUAUAUUCAUGGAACAACAUUUAUUGAAGCCAUGUAUGACACCUUUUUCAUUUACUAUUUUCUUUUAAUUGUAUGAUCUCUUGCUAGAAUACAUGACAUAAUAUCAUUUUGUAGCUAAUUAAAGAGUAACGAAUUCAUUCAUGUUUAGGAAACUGUAUCAAUUUAAAUGGAGGACUUCUUUCUUUCUAUCGCAACAAAGACGGUAGAAUAUGCAAUAUUUCCGAUUUUAGAUCAUUUGCAAUACUUAUGUUGUUUCCACAACUUUGCUUCGAAUCUUCCAAAUGCCAAAGAAGAACUGGAAUUGACUCGAGAGAGUGUGAUUGAGCGAAUUAGAGAAGCCACUAAUAAGACUGAAAAAGUUAAACCAGCUGUUGAGAAGUGGCUAAAAGAUGUUGAGAAAGUCUUAAAUGAAGUACAACUGCUGGAAGAAAGAAUAUCAAAUGUAAAGAAGAGCUACUUCAGAAGGCAAUGUCAAUAUUCUCUUGCAAAAGAAAUAGCAAGAAAAACAACUCAAAUGAUUCAGCUUCAUCAUGAUAGAAGGUUUGAACAAUUUUCUACGAUUAUUGAACUUCCAGGCAUGAAGUACUAUUCUUCCAAUGAUUUCAUUAUGUUCAAAUCUACAGAAGCAUCAUACAACAAGCUUAUAGAAACAUUAAAGAAUAAAUGUGUUUCCAUGAUUGGGUUAGUUGGAUUAGGAGGCUCAGGGAAAACUACUUUAGCAAAAGAAGUGGGUAAAAAGGCAGAAGAGAUGAAACUCUUUGAGAAGGUUGUCAUGGCAACGGUGUCUCAACCACCAAAUAUCAUAAGUAUACAAGAUCAGAUUGGCGACCAAUUGAGUUUACCGUUAAAUGAAAAAUCAAAUAUAGGUAGAGCACAAAGACUAUCAGAGAGAUUAAAGAUAGGUACAACUCUUUUAAUCUUGGAUGAUGUAUGGGAAAAGCUAAACUUUGAAGCUUUAGGUAUUCCAUUUGAUGAAAGCUGCAAGACUUGUUGCGUACUCAUAACAACUCGCAAUAAAGAAGUAUGCACUUCUAUGCAAUGUCAAAGUAUAAUUGAACUUAAUCUCUUGAGUGACAAUGAAGCAUGGACUUUGUUCACACAUUAUGCAAGUAUAACUGAUGUCUCCUUUGAAGCUUUGAAAGAUGUGACAAGAAAAAUUAUUAAUGAAUGUAAGGGAUUGCCCAUUGCAAUUGUGACUGUAGCAAGCUCGCUAAAGGGGAAAACUAUUGAAGGUUUUGAGUUAGCAUUGUCAAGGCUAGAAAAUUCCAAGCCACUAGAUGUUCCAAAAGGCUUAAUAAGUCCUUAUGUUUGUCUUGAAUUAAGUUACAAUAAUUUGACAAACCAAUUGGCUCAAUCUUUAUUGUUGUUGUGUUCUAUGUUUCCAGAGGAUUAUGAAAUAGAUUUGGAAGAUUUAUUUCGAUUUGGAAGAGGAUUUUGCACAGUUGGGACGUUUGGAACAAUGGAGAAUGCAAGGAGAGAGAUGCAUGAAGCCAUUGACAUUCUUAAGAGUUGUUUUUUGUUAAUGCAUGUCGGAACAAAAGAAAAUGUAAAAAUGCAUGAUUUGGUUCGUGAUGUAGCCUUGUGGAUUGCCGCUAAAAGUGGUCAAGCAAUUUUCACACGUACUGGAGUGGGUCUGGAAGUGUUGACAAAUGAUGAAAUCAUGAAAGAUACGAAAGCAUUAGCCUUAUGGAAUAUAAGAGCAUAUGAUUCUCUUAAUUAUAAAAUAAAUUGUCCAACACUUGAAAUUCUCUUGCUUUGUUAUCGUGGUGGCAUGAAUGUACCAGAUGUGUGUUCUCAAAGCUUGGAAAAAUUUAAAACCUUAAUCAUAAAUUCAUUAACGAAAAGUUAUGGGUUACUUUUGCCAGAGUCACUGAAGUCGUUAAAAAAUCUUCGAACACUGUGCUUGAGAAAUCAUGAUUUAGGUGACAUAUCUUUUGUGGAAAGACUGCAAGUACUUGAGAUUCUUGACUUGCAUGGCUCUUCUUUUGAAGAAUUUCCUGUUGGGAUUGUAGAAUUAAAGAAGUUGAAGCUUCUAGAUUUGUUCCAAUGUCGGCUUAAGAAAAAUAUAGUUGAUGAAGUUUACGAAGUUGUAAGCAAAUGUUUGCAGCUAGAGGAAUUGUAUUUGUACUUGGUCAAUUACAAAAAGGACUUUUCACAUGAUGUCUCUUUCCCCAAAUUACAGAGGUAUGCUAUAAUAAACAUCAAUGAUUAUCUUAAGGUUUGGCGUAUCAUAACUAUGAAAAAAUACGCACAGUCUAGAGGUUUAUUUAUAGAUGAGUUUGAUGUUACUGCUGAAAAUUUUAUGUCGUUACCAAUCAAGGAUCUCUUUAUAAGAGCAGAGUUCCUUCAUUUGAGAAACCUUCGGGGAGAUUUUAAAAAUAUAAUCCCAUCCAUGGAUCCACAAGGCAUGAAUCACUUGAUUACCCUACAACUCGUAUGUUGUGAAAAGAUAGAAUGUCUCAUUGAUAACACUAUGAAUACCUACAAUAGUGUAUUCUCUAAACUUGUUUACUUAAGGUUGGAAAGGUUAUGUAGCCUUCGAGAGUUCUUUUGUGAUCCUUCUUCGCGAUGUUUUCUCAAAAAUUUAGGUGAGCUCUUGAUAAAAGAUUGUAGUAAAUUGAGCAGUAUAUCAUUUUCAAGGAAGUCUAAACUAUGCAAUUUGAAGGUCCUUUCAAUAUACAGUUGUCCUGUGCUAACUUCUCUCUUCGUGCCAUCCAUUGCCGAAUCUCUAGUGUUGUUAGAAGAACUAAAAAUAAUUAACUGCAACGCCUUGAGGCACAUAAUAGAUGAAGUGGAAGAAGGGAACGAUGUUCUUUCAAGCACCUCAAGUCAUUCAUAUUUGACGCUCCAAAAAUUAAGGAUUAUUGAAAUUUAUGGAUGCAACAAUUUGAAGUACAUAUUCUCUGAGAAUUUAGCCGUAGGGCUAAUGAGUUUGGAAAGUGUGGACAUUCAAAGAUGCUUGGAAUUGAAGUAUGUAUUUAAUAGUGAAAAGAAACGUAAUCCUGCAGUUUACCCAAGUGAAAAGGAGACUAAUAUCAUAAAUUUUUCUAAUUUGCAUGUUCUAAGAUUGUUAUAUUUACCAAAUGUGAUUGACAUUUGGCCUGAAAAUUGUCGUCCACAACUCCCCAGUCUUAAAAGGAUAGAAUACUAUGAAUGUCCCAAAUUGCUUAACUCUUCCAUAAGUAAGAUGACUGCUCCAAAUCUCCCGCAAAACACAACUUCAAAGGUAAUAUAUUAUUUUAAAAUGAUGAUAUCUUUAACUAACAUAGCCACAUCAGCUUUUAUAGAAACAUAGUUUAUUAUUUAUUAUUUCAUUAAUAAAUGAAUUUUCAAUAUGAAUUAAGGUAGAAAUGUUUAGGGAUCAGUAUACUUUGUCGAGUAAUGUUGUUUAAAUGCAUUAACAAUAACAAUCAUAUCGCAAUAGUUUUUUAUCAUUACUUUAAUUCUGAUAAGUAUCAAGAUUACAGUUUAUAUUCUUAUUGUGUUUGAGUAGAAAAAUAUAUUUAUAAAUUAAUCAUAAUUUUGUGAAAUGGAUAAUCUUUUAACUAGUCUAAUAAACAAGUAUUUAUCAAUUUAAUCAAUUAUAUUAAUGAAUUGUAUUAGACCUAUUGAUGAUGAUCUUGUUUUUUUGGAUUAGUAUUGUAAUUUUUUUAUUGGUUUUUUAAAUAAUGAGUUUUGAUCUAGUUUUUUGUUUUUAUUUUCUAAUACAUUUUAGGUAUGCUUCCUCACAUUAAGUUUAUUGAAAAAUAAUAUAUAUUAUUUUCAAAGAUGGUAAAUAAAAAAAAUGAUAUUGUAAUUAGAAGUGAUAGAUAUAAGAUUUUGAAGUGCGGUAUAUAGUGUGAUAUUUGAAGUACGUUAAAUUGAUGAUUGAAAUAUAUAAAGGAGAAUGAAGUGUAAAAUGUAAGAUAUUAAUUAAGAAUGAAUUAUGUUGUGUAUACAGGAGAAUGAAAUAGCAUGGUUCAUUACCAACACAUUCAUCCAAAUGGACGCUCUGUUGUUUCCACUCCAACUUGAAUUGCUUUGGUUGUCUGAUGUUAGAGUAAAAGGUCUGUUCCAAAUCCAAAUGGGAGAAGAAGGGGGUAGUGGAGAACUGCUUCCUUUAAACUUGGAUAUAAAUUAUCUAGAAUUGAAGAAUCUACCUGAGCUCAACUUCCUAUGGAAGGGCCCCACAGGUUUUCUAAGCCUCCAAAAGCUUGCAAUUGUUCACAUAUAUGAAUGUCCAAAAUUGAAAACCAUCUUCUCCAUCACUGUUGUUACAAGUUUACCAAUGCUGCGAGAACUGGGUAUAAAUAACUGUGAUGAAUUGGAACAAAUAUUUGAUUUAGGUGAUGCACAACAACUCCAAACCCUAUAUUCUUCCCAACAACUCUGCUUCCCAAAACUCAAAUACAUUACAGUUAAAAAGUGCAAUAAGUUGAAAUGUCUUUUUUAUAAUCUAUCGGCUAGUCAUUUUACCAGUAUGAAAUAUUUGACAAUAGAAAAGUGCUCUCAGUUACACAAGGCUUUUGGUUUUGAAAAUGAAGCUGAUGGUGGUGGUGAAGAAGAGACGGCUAAAAAGGGAGAACAAGUAGUACUACUGAAACUGACAGAUAUAACACUAAAAAAUUUGCCAAACUUCGAAGAGAUUCACCACGGAUUUAUGUUAAAAGAAAAUCUUAACUGUCAUAUCAGGGAGGAAUGUCCUAAGUAUUCUCCAAGUUUAUAUCUAGAUCCAGGUAAAAUUCACAUGUCGUUUUUCUAGACACAAUUACAAUGUCUUUGGAUUAUGAUGUUAAGUCAAAUAUUAUUUUAUCAGAUAUGUAAAUAGAAGGCUGCAAUUAAGCAUGUAGAGUUAAGUAUGGGAAGUGUGGUAUUGCAUGAAGUUAUCACCCAACUCAUCUCCAUCUGCUGCAAUAAAUUGGUCAGGUAACUCUUGUUUUGCUAUUUUAGCAAUAGGAUCGUGUGGAUGAUAUAUCGGCCUCUUUUACUUUGUAUUAAAAAGAGGUAGUGCUGCUUAUAUAUGAGUUGUAUAAAUAUGCAAGUUUGAUCAUAUUUGAAAUUAAUAUAAGAUAUUUGUUUCAAACGAAGAAAACCGCUUUUAUGAUGACAACUCUGACUCGUGUGAAAUUGUUUAUUUUAUAGAUGUAAUUCUGCAUCAAGUUAGUACACUUACUUUCAUAUUUUUUUUUUCCUGUAUGACUCAUGAUUUUCUAAAUUUUGAUGUAAAAACAUCAAAAUGCUCUCAAAUUGAGUUCAAGGGAGUCCACAAACUUGUCUUUAAUAGUAGGGCAUGCUUAAAUUUGUGUUUUUUGACUUUAGUUUACAAGGCAAUUUUUUUACUCCAACCAUAUAGGCUAGAGAAGGCACUUUUGUAUGAAAUAUGCACAUCAAUUCUAACAUCUAAAAAAUUUCAUCGGGUUAGUACAUAAUCCAUUAUGAGUACAUGUUUUUAUUAUAACUCAUGUUUGUUCUAGAUAUCACUAUAUUUUUGCGAUUUGAUACUCCUUGAAUGAACACCUUUUAAUUUUUGCUACUGAGAAUAUUUUUUCCUCUUCAUAUUUUGAAGUUCUUCAAAUAAAAAAACAUUUUUUAAAGUAACCAAUGCUAACUCACUUGCCCCACUAUUCUCAUAUCACUCAUUAUGGAAUAAUAUUAAAACAUUGAUAUCAUAUAAUUAUUUUGUAGGGACACAAUUGCUGGAGGGAAGUAGAGUGUUGUGACGAGUUGGCAGUGUGGGGGCAAUAUUAAAAUCUGUAUAUAAAUAAUCAAUAACAGAAAUAAAGUUCUUUCUGUUGAUUAUUUGUAUGUGAGUGUUUAUGUUCUUGUUUUAGAAUUCAAGAAUUUGAUAGGGAAUUGGUGAUAUUGUGAGAUGUCUAAGUCUUAUGCCGUGUAUCGUGUAAUAUGAAACACUCAGUGUUAUAUUUAAGUAUUUGAUUCUUUUCUCUUUGAAUUAAUUUUUUAGAGUGAUUCUGCAACCUACAAGAAUUGAACAUUAAAGAAUUGCUACUUCGGAAAAUUUUCUAAUGUUUCUUCAUUUUCUACCACGAGGUCAGUUUUUAAGUAUUACAUAUUAUUGGUGAUUUUAAGAAUCUCUGCGUAGAACAAUUCUCCUUGAGUUGAAUCAUACUUCAGAAAAACGACUAAUGGCUAGAUUGUUCAAGGAUGGCAAGGAGCAGCAUAACAUAACAUAAAUUCAUGGAUAUUCAUAUGUGAAAAAUAUAUUAGAAAGAAAAUAAUUAAUUCCUAUGGUAUCUUACAUUUGAAAUGGUAUCUAGCAUCACUGAGGAAGAGGUGAAAGAAGCUGUCUGGCAAUGUGAAGGGUCGAAGAGCCCGGGCCCGGAUGGGUUCAAUUUCAAUUUCAUCAAGAAUAGUUGGGAAUUUUUUAAGUCUGACAUUGUGGAAGCGGUGCAGUUUUUUCAGGAAACGGGGUGUAUUCCGAAGGGGUGUAACGCCUCUUUUAUCGCACUGGUACCUAAAGUCAGGGAUCCUACUACGCUUGACCAAUUCAGACCGAUCUCACUUGUAGGGUCCAUCUAUAAGAUCAUUUCUAAGGUGUUAUAGUUUCGUAUGAAGGAUGUCCUAUCUCUGGUCAUUGAUGAGAGUCAGUCAGCUUUUUUGAAGGAUCGUGGAAUGUUAGAUAGCGUCCUUAUGGCAAAUGAGGUGGUUGAGGAGAUAACUAGAAAACAAAGGAGUGGGAUUUGUUUAAAGGUGGGCUACGAAAAGGCGUACNNNNNNNNNNNNNNNNNNNNNNNNNNNNNNNNNNNNNNNNNNNNNNNNNNNNNNNNNNNNNNNNNNNNNNNNNNNNNNNNNNNNNNNNNNNNNNNNNNNNNNNNNNNNNNNNNNNNNNNNNNNNNNNNNNNNNNNNNNNNNNNNNNNNNNNNNNNNNNNNNNNNNNNNNNNNNNNNNNNNNNNNNNNNNNNNNNNNNNNNNNNNNNNNNNNNNGGGUUAGUGAGACAAGCGUCAAAUAUGAAUCUGCUCAGAGGGGUGAAGGUGGGGAGGAAUGAAAUCGUGUGUUGUUUGCUACAAUUUGCUGAUGACACUCUGGUUUUAUGCGAAGAUUCUUUCUCUAAUAUCUUCACAAUAAAGGCGGUUCUAAGGUGUUUUGAACUUGCAUCAGGGUUAAAAAUCAAUUUCCACAAAUCAAAGUUGGCAGGCAUCGGUGUUGAUAGCUUUUCCCUUAACACCUAUGCAAAGACUCUGAAUUGCAAGACCAUGUCAAUCCCUUUUAAAUAUUUGGGAUUAGAAGUAGGAGGCAACCCAAGGAAGAAACAGUUUUGGGAACCAGUUAUAAACAAAGUCAGUGCUAGACUCAGUACCUGGAAGGGGAGAUUUUUGUCUAUGGCAGGAAGAGUAUGCUUACUCAAAUCGGUGUUUACCGCUAUACCUCUCUUCUAAUUGUCCUUCUUUAAAGCACCAAUUUCAAUCUGUAACAGAAUUAUCAGUAUACAGAGGAAGUUCCUUUGGGCUUGGGGCAGAGAUAAGAGGUCUAUAGCUUGGGUAAGAUGGGAGGAUGUGUGUAAACCCCUUGAGGACGGAGGGCUAGGGGUCAAAGAUGUCAGAAUUUUUAAUAAUGCUUUGCUGGCGAAAUGGAAAUGGCAACUGAUGAAUGAUGAAAGAAGGAAGUGGAAAGACAUUCUUGAUUCUAAGUAUGGUUCAGAAGUAGGGAGAAGUCAUACACGCUUGAAAUGGCAAUCUUGGUGGUGGAGAGAUCUUUCUAAAGCUUGUGGGGAGGGUGAAGAUGAAUGGUUCCAAAAGUCUGUUGUGUGGAAAGUUGGUGAUGGAGGCAAUGUAAAAUUCUGGGAAGAUGCGUGGGUUACUAACAAUAAUCUCAAAUCUCUGUACCCUAGACUUUUUUCUAUCUCUUUGGAUCAAGGUAUGAAAGUGGGAGAGGUAGGUACAUGGGAGAGUUAUGGAUGGCAGUGACGGCUAAAUUGGAGGAGGGCUAGGUUUGAAUGGGAAUUUGCUUUGGAGGAAGAGUUGCUCAUGCACAUUAAUAGAAGUGUUAUGAACAAGGAAUCCAAGGAUUCUAUUGUGUGGGGAGGGGAUACAACAGGGAUCUUCUCUGUGAAGUCAGCCUACAUACGUUUGGCUAACCAAAACAGUGAAGUACAUGAUGGUAUCUUUUGUUCCCUCUGGAUGGCUAGAGCAAUGCCUAAAGCCCUAAUAACUGCGUGGAGAAUCUUACUUGAUAGAAUCCCAACUUUUGUUAACCUGCUUAGGAGAGGGGUGGCAGUAAACUCUUCUAUUUGUGUGCUCUGUAGAGAAGCAGAAGAAACUUCUCAGCACUUGUUCUGGGAGUGCUCUUUUGCACAACGAGUCUGGUCAUUAUGUUUCAGGUGGAUAGGAGUUUUGUUUGUUCAACAAAAGGAUUUAAGGUGUAACUUUGAGAACUUCUAUCUUGUUCAUAUGUCCAUUAAGCAGAAUCAAGUAUGGAAAGGGAUGUGGGUGGCAAUAGUUAGAUGUAUCUGGGAGAAGAGGAACAAUGUUAUCUUUAAGCAAGGGAUACCUGACGCCGAAGAGGUUUUCCAAAUGGCUCAACUCCAUACUUGGUUUUGGUUGAAACACAAGAUGUGCUCCUUUUCGUAUGCCUUUUCGGAUUGGCAUUUGAAUCCAAACCAAUGCUUGCAAAGUGUACUAUGAAAAGGGUGGUCUCAGAAGAUGCUAGAGUCGAAACAAAGGAGUUUUUGGAGACGUGACUGAUGCAUGGUAGCCCCAAAGACAAGUGGAAGGUUUAAAGUUUGUUGGCUGGUGGCGGAAUAGAGAAAGGAUAGGGAGAUCUUACUGGCAGAAUAAGUUGAGGACCGAGGAAGGUACUGUUUCGAGCUGAGACCGGGUAGAUAAAGCGGAGCUAUCCAGUUGGGAGUUGUCGGUGGUUGCCAAAGUUAUGCAAGGUCAACAUGAUCGUCGGAUGAUGAAACGGCGAUUUCCAUGCGUGUGUAGUCGGUGGUCGUCGAAGGUAUACUAAGGUCAACAUGAUCGCCGGUCGAUGAAGCGGCGUUCGACAACAUGAUCGCCGAUCGAUGAAGCGGCGUUCUCCAUAUGCGUGUAGGCGGUGGUCACCGAAGCUAUAUAAGGUCAACAUGAUCGCCGGUCGAUGAAAUGGCGAUCUCCAUGCGUGCGUAGUCGGUGGUCGUCGAAGUUGUCAACCUGAUCGUCGGUCGAUGAAACGAAGAUCGCCAAGCGAGCGUAGUCGGUGGUCGCCGAAGGUAUGCAAAGGUCAACCUGAUCGUCGGUUGAUGAAGCGGCGCUCUCCAUUCUACAUGAUCGUCGAUCGAUGAAGCGGCGUUCUGUCAAGAAGAUCGUCGGUCGAGGAAGCGGCGUUCUGUCAACAAGAUCGUCGAUCGAGGAAGCGACGAUCUUCAUGUGGGUAGUCAGUGAUCGCCGAAGUAAUGCAAUGUGCAUGGGUAAAUCGUCGCUUGGCGAGGUGAAUGUAGGUGGCCUAGGUUAAGGGUGUUUUGGUUAAGUUGAAUGAUGCUUUGAGGUAACCUGGUGGUUAUAAUUUUGGGUAUGGUUUCCUCACUUUAAGGUUGUUCUGCUCCAACCAUAAAGGAGAGUUCCUUUUGUGGAUGUUAUAGAAAGUUCACUUCCGGUUACUGUAAUGGGUUGGGAUACCCCUGAAGUAUCCUUUUAAUUUUAUUUAUUCAUUGCUGAUAAAAAAAAUCUUACAUUUGAAAUAAGUAUAUAUAUAAUUUAUGUAGCCUGACAUAUAUAUAAGAAAAGACAAAGGAAAACAAACAAAAAAAAAACAUCAGUCUUUCUCUUCGUCUUCUUCCUUAUCUUCGUCUUCUUCCUUAUCUUCUUCUUCUUCUUCCUCUUCUUCUUCUUCGUCUUCUUCUUCUUCUUCCUCUUCUUCCUCUUCUUCCUCUUCUUCUUCUUCUCUCUCUCUCUCUCUCUCUCUCUCUCUCUCUCUCUCUCUCUCUCUCUCUCUCUCUCUCUCUCUCUCUCUCUCUCUCUCUCUCUCUCUCUCUCUCUCUCUCUCUCUCUCUCUCUCUCUCUCUCUCUCUCUCUCUCUCUCUCUCUCUCUCUCUCUCUCUCUCUCUCUCUCUCUCUCUCUCUCUCUCUCUCUCUCUCUCUCUCUCUCUCUCUCUCUCUCUCUCUCUCUCUCUCUCUCUCUCUCUCUCUCUCUCUCUCUCUCUCUCUCUCUCUCUCUCUCUCUCUCUCUCUCUCUCUCUCUCUCUCUCUCUCUCUCUCUCUCUCUCUCUCUCUCUCUCUCUCUCUCUCUCUCUCUCUCUCUCUCUCUCUCUCUCUCUCUCUCUCUCUCUCUCUCUCUCUCUCUCUCUCUCUCUCUCUCUCUCUCUCUCUCUCUCUCUCUCUCUCUCUCUCUCUCUCUCUCUCUCUCUCGGUCUCUCNNNNNNNNNNNNNNNNNNNNNNNNNNNNNNNNNNNNNNNNNNNNNNNNNNNNNNNNNNNNNNNNNNNNNNNNNNNNNNNNNNNNNNNNNNNNNNNNNNNNUCUCUCUCUCUCUCUCUCUCUCUCUCUCUCUCUCUCUCUCUUCUCUCUUCUCUCUCUCUCUCUCUCUCUCUUCUUCUUCUUCUUCUUCUUCUUUAGAGUAUGCAUGGGGCGACCGGGCGAUGGUCCCCCUUUCUUUUAUAUGUACACCUGCUUUUUUUCUGACUUGCGCGUGUCUUUGCCUUUUGACACGUUCAAGAUGGGCGUUCUUCGGACGCUCAACGUGGCGCCCACCCAGGUUCAUCCGAACACCUGGGCGUCCCUUCAGGCCUUUCGCUUGUUGUGCGAUGUGAUGCGCCUCCAUCCGUCUCCCUCUUGCUUUCUUUGCUAUUAUGCCUCUCAUCCCGCUAAGAAGGCCUCGUGGCAUUCGUUGGUUGGGUGGACGGGUAGCGUUUUGUUCGACCUAUUUGCUGGCUCCUACAAGAGAUUUAAGGAGCGUUUUGUUAAAGUCAUCAUUCGGCCGGAGGCGACGACCAUCUAUUUUGACGAGUCCGGUGGAUCGAGGUUCCCUCUCUACUGGACUCGCGAGCCUUGUGGCUUCAAAGAGUGGACGAGGCCGACAGAGGGUGCCGAUGAGCUAGAAGUUCUUGCGCUCUUUGACGCCCUCCCGAGGAGGCUUCCCUGUCGGACGCUGAUCGGGGCUUACGCUAAGCCUGGGCGUUGGGCGGCCGUUCGGGAUAUGGGCUUUUUAUUUUGCGUUUUGCCGGUCAGUCGGUCAGUCGAUUUUUAUCGUUCGGCCUUUUCUAACUUGUAUUUUCUUUUGCAGAGACCAUGGUGAACGAGCGACCUAACGCUGUUAGCGUGCUUGACAAGCACCGACAGAAAGCGGCCGAACGCAAGGGUCGCCGCAGCUUGGAGGUGAUGCCUCCGGCUCAUGAAGUGGCUGAGACUGCAGGGAGCAGGCUGGUCCUUCCCAGAAGUCCAAGAAGCGGCCGAGGGAGGGUAGCAAUAUUGCAACUACCGUCAGGUCGCCCGGCUCGAUGCCGACGCCUCCUCCUCCUCGUCGAGAGGUGGCCGAUGUGGUGCAGCCCUCUCCCCAUUCUCGCCCGGGUUCUUCUGAUGCUGUGGCGAGAUCUGGGCCGACCCCCUUCGAUCUCCUGGGGCGCGGCCAUCAAUUCACACGGAGGGUGCGUGUGGCGCUCCCCGAUGAGUCUCGGAAGUCGCUUCGGGACGUCGCCCCUGCAGAGCUGAUGAGGAGCGACCUUGAGCUCGUAUGCCGCUCGGUCGUACUCUUCCAACACGAUCUCCAGGCGCAAGACCGACACGUGGAGACCGUGGCGCAAUUGGAGCACAAGCUCUCGGAGGCCACUCAGUCCUUGGAGCAAUCUUUGGCCGCUAACGCUGACUUGUCCGCCAAGAUUGCCAAGGAGUCGGCCGAGAGAGAGUUGGCCCAAAGUGAAGUCGGCGAGGCGAGGCGGCAGCUCGAGGCCGAGAAGGGCUGCUGAUGAGGUCGCCCAGUUGAAGAGGUGGGCCGACGAGAAGCUCGCGGAGUCGGCCGCUGAGGUGCUUGCCCUUAAAACUGCUAAGGCCAAAGUCGAAGCUGAACUCGACAAGAACUAUGACGAGGCCGAGGAGUUACUGAAGUAGUGUUUUGAAAGAGCCGUGCGUCAAGCGCACGUGCUAUAUGGAGGGCCGCCGGCUACUGGGGAGUUUGACCUUGAUUGUGAGGUUUAUCAGGGUCGGAUCAUGCCGAGUGUUGAAGUGGCCGCUCUGACUGCUCAAAGGGUUGAACCGGCCGGGACCGAAGGAGGGGAGGCCGAGGUUCAGGGUAGGGAGGCCGAAGCCGAUGAGGGUAAGUGCAUUGAAGUGCGGGAUUAGGUUUAUACCUUUGGCCGGGUUGUGGCCUUUCCCCUUUUUCUUUUAGCAUCCUUCGAGGCCGGGGCGUGGCCUUCUUAUUUUGUAUUUUGAUGUAUUGCCCGGUGCUUUUAUUAAUAUAUCGUCCAGUUUCUUCCCUUAUCAUUUUGUAUUAAUUGACAAGUUAACCAAUCGAUCUCCCACUGGUUCGGGCGAUCGGUCAAAACUUACGAAUGUAUACGAGCAAGUAAGACCUUGGGCGAUCGGCCAUGAACUGCGAUUGUUUGAAUUCGAACAAGUAAAAUAUGGCGGUCGGCCAGUAAUAGCGAGUAUCAAGUUUGAAUAGGUAAAAUAUGGGCGACCGGCCAUAAAUUCGAGCGAGUGAUAUACGGGCGAUCGGCCAUUAAUUGCGAGCGUUAAACUCGAGCAAGUAGAAUACGGGCGAUCGGCCAUAGCUGCGAACGUUGAAAUUCGAGUAAGUAAAAUAUGGGCGAUCGGUCACUAUUUGCGAAUGUUGGAUUUGAGCAGGUAAAAUGUGGGCGAUCGGCCACUAGUUGUGAUUGUUGAAUUCGAGCAAAUUUGGUGGGCAGUCGGCAGGCCGGCACUUGCGAUGUUAAUCGAGCAAGUGGGCAGUCGGCAGGCCGGCACUUGCGAUGUUAAUCGAGCAAAUGGGCGUUCGGCCAAUACUUUCGGUAGAAUAUUUCCAACACUUUUUGAUGAAAACGCCUCGUUAAAACCUCCCUGGUUGGGUGAGGAAAGAGUGUGUGAUUUUAUUGAUUUUAGCUGUAAUAAAACUUGAGGUGCGUGGCAUUCCACGUCCUCGGUACAAUUUUCCUGAAAGCCAUUCUAGAUGAUAGGCUCCUCCUUGUGCGACUUCUCGGACUCGGAAAGGCCCCUCCCAGUUGGAUGAGAACUUCCCUUCGUUUUUUCUUGCGUCGCUGCGCAUUCUCCAGACGAGAUCGCCCUUCUGGAAACCUCUCGUCCGGACUUUGGUGUUGUAUCGUCGGGACGCCUGGGCUUUGCAGGCAGCCUCUCGAAUCUUGCUUUUGUCACGAAGCUCACUUACCAGGUCGAGGUUGACCGCUAGGCUUUCCUCGUUUAGGGUGAGAUCGAACAUUUGCCGUCGUAUGGUGGGCUCGGCCACCUCUACCGGGAUCAUGGCCUCGGUCCCGUACGUCAGGCUGUAGCGUGUUUCAUGUGUGGUAGUUUGGGGGGUGCACCUGUACGCCCAAAGUACCUCGAUCAGUUCCUCGGUCCAUCGGCCCUUUGCCUUGCCCAGCCGCUUCUUCAGCUCGUUGAGUAUGACCUUGUUGGCGGCCUGGGCUUGCCCAUUGGUUUGUGGGUGUUCUACCGAGGUCGUGAUGGACUUGAUGCCCAGGUCGUCAUAGAACGACUGUAGGCCUCGGUCGAUGAACUGUCGGCCAUUGUCAGUUACUAUUGUAUGUGGGACGCCGAAUCGGCAGACAAUGCUCCUCCAUACGAAGUUUUGUACAUUCUUCGCCGAGAUGGAGGCGAGGGGUUCGGCCUCGAUCCAUUUUGUGAAGUAGUCGACUCCCACCAGGAGGAAUUUGGUCUGCCCCUUCCCUGGGGAGAAUGGACCGAUAAUGUCCAUCCCCCACAUGGCGAAUGGCCACGGGGAGAUGAUGCUGUGCAGUUCUUCCGGCCUGGUGUGGAGGAGGGGGCCGAAUUCUUGGCACUUGGCACAUUUCUUUACGUAUUCGGCACAGUCGCCCUGUACGGUCGGCCAGUAGUAGCCGACUCUCAAGACCUUGGCGGCCAUAGUGCUCGCCCCGGCGUGAUUUCCGCAGACUCCUUCAUGGAUCUCGGCCAGGAUGUACUCGACCCUUUUGCUGGUUAUGUAUUUUAGCAGGGGGGUUGAAUAGCCUCUCCGAUACAAAUCUUCGUUGAUCAUGGUGUACCGGGCGCAUUGUUGCUUCAUCGUCUUCUCUUGGUCGGCCGUGCACGUGCCGUCCGUUAGGUAUUGGAUGACGGGUGUCAUCCAAUUGUCGGCCUCAGCCUCUUCUUCUUCUACAGCCAGACACUCGGCCUCGGCCUCCGUCACACUCGAAUGUCUCAGCCAUAUUUGUAUGACCGACCUCUGAUGGCUCUUCUUUUUGGUGACCGAGAGCUUGGACAGGAUGUCGGCCCUCUUGUUGUCCUCCCUCGGUAUGUGUUGCAAGGGUGCUUUGCUGAAGUGGGCGAUACUGUUUUUGGCCGCGUGGUAGUACCGCUGCAGCAAAGGUUCUUUAACCUCGAAAUCUCCAUUGAUUUGGCCGACCAUCACCUCGGAGUCGCUUUUGCAUGUGACCUCGCACGCUCCCAUGUCGUAGGCUAGGUUCAGCCCGGCCAGCAGGGCUUCGUAUUCGCCCUGAUUGUUGGUCGCCCGGAAUCCGAACUGGAGGGCUUGUUCCAAGAAGAGGUCGCCCGGCCCCUCCAGGACGACUCUCGCUCCACAGGCUGUUUUAUUUGAGGAGCCGUCCACAUAGAAAGUCCAACCGCCCGAGAGGGUGGGCAGUGGUGUCAGCUCGGCCAAGAAGUCGGCCAAGCAUUGAGACUUGAUGGCGCCCCUCGGCUCAUAGCGUAUGUCGAACUCGGAGAGUUCGACCGACCAUCCUAUCAUCCUCCCUGCAAGGUCCGGUUUAGAUAAAAUUUUAAAAAUUGGGUAGUCGGUUCUUACAGUUAUGGAGUGAUUUUGGAAGUAGGGGCGCAUCCGCCUUGCCAUGAGGACGAGUGCGAGAGCCACCUUCUCAAUCAUCUGAUAUCGGGUCUCGGCCGAGUGGAGGGUUCGGCUGACAAAGUAUAUGGGUCGCUCCUCGCCCUCGGCUUCCUGCACUAGGGCAGCGCUGACUGCUUCUUCCGAGACUGCUAGAUAUACCAGGAUUGGGAUGUCGGGUCUCGGCUUCUGGAUGACGGUCGGGGAUGUGAGGAACUCCUUGAAUUGUUUGAAGAUUUCCUCACAUUGGUCGUCCCAUACGAAUUUUUUGCCCUUUCGGAGCAGCUGAACGAUCGGCCUCGUCCUCUCGGCCAGGCGGGGGACAAAUCGAGAGAGGGCGGUCAGCCGCCCAAGGAGUUGUUGUACCUCCUUCACGGUGUUCGGACUUCUCAUGCUGAGUAUGGCCUGACAAUUGUCGGGGUUGGCCUCUAUCCCUCGGUGGGUGAGCAUGAAGCCUAGUAACUUUCCUCCCUCCACCCCGAAAGUACAUUUUUCGGGGUUGAGUUUCAUGUUGACUCCCCUUAGAGCCCUGAAGACCUCGUCCAGAUCCUUCAGAUGUUGCUCGAACGAGUCGGACUUCACGACUAUGUCGUCCACAUAGACUUCUACCGCCCGGCCUAUCAGACCCUUGAAAACUUUGUCCAUGAGAUGCUGGUAGGUCGCCCCUGUGUUCUUGAGGCCGAACGGCAUGACCUCGUAGUAGUAGUUGGCGUCGGCCGUCAUGAAGGUCGUCUUCUCCUUGUCCCUCGGAUGCAUGCUUAUCUGGUUAUAGCCAGAGUAAACGUCCAGGAAGCUCAUAAUUUUGUGGUCGGCCGCCCCAUCCACCAGGCGGUCCAUGUUCGAGAGGGGGUAGGUGUCCUUCGGGCAUGCGCUAUUGAUGUUUCUGUAGUCGACGCACAUCCUCGAGUUACCGUUAGGCUUGGUAACCAUGACGACGUUGGCCAGCCAUGUUAUGUAUCGGGCUUCUCUUAUGAAUCCGGCCGACAGGAGCUUGCCGGCUUCCUCCUUUGCCGCGAGUCGCUUUUCGUUGCCCAAGUCCCUCUUCUUUUGGGAGAUCGGGCAGGCUUUCUUGAAUAUUGACAACCGAUGGAUGAUGACAUCGGGGCUCACACCCGGCAUGUCGGCCGGUGUCCAAGCGAACAUGUCGAUAUUCUUUUUUAGUGCGGCAUGCAUGAUCUCGGCCUCGGCCGCUGCCAAGGCUGUUCCUACAGCCGUGCUGUGUUCUUUGUCGAGGAGGGGGACUCUCCUUAGCUCUUCUCUCGCCUCCAGUCUGUCUUCGGUCGCCCGGGGAUCGAGGUCCACUAACGCCACGGUUGGCUUGAUUUCCCUGGGGCGGUCCUUCCUGGGGGAGCAGUCUUUUCGGGAGGACUUUCUUACUCUGAGGGGAGAGGAGUCGGCCCUUAAAGGUUCCACCCGGAGGCUCUCAGCGUAGCACUCUCGUGCUUCUUUUUGGUCUACGUGGACCGUGAGAAUGUCCCCUGUUCUCGAGGGAAACUUCAUCGCGAGGUGAGGGGUUGAUACUAUGGCCAUCAGCCGGUUGAUGGAUGGUCGACCGAGGAGGAUGUUGUAGGAAGUGUUGGCGUCAAUGACCAUGUAUCGGAUUUUGAUGGUCCUGGUGCUCUUCCCCUCUCCGAAGGUGGUGUAUAGGUCGAUAUAACCCUUGGUACCCACCCUCUCGCCCGAGAAUCCUACCACGUGGUCGUCGUAUGGCAUCAUCUCGGUCUUGGCCAUCCUCAUAGCCUUGAAAGUUUUCCAGUAAAGGAUAUCCACCGAACUUCCUUGGUCCACGAGGGUCUUCCGUAUGGUGAAUCGGUCUAUGUCGACCGCUAUCACCAUCGGGUCGUCCUGCUGGCGGUAGUCCACGCCCUUGAAGUCCUCGUCCGUGAAAGUGAUGGGUGCCAUCCUCAGUCGGAAUGCCACCGCGUUCACUUGAUAUACCGCCCGGAGGUGCCUCUUUCGAGCGUUGUUAGUGCUUCCUCCUCCGGCGAAGCCGCCGGCUAUAGUAUUGAUUACCUCUCGGUUACCUCUCUGAUCGGCCUCCCUGGGGGAUCGUUUCUCCGAGGGGGGUCGGCCCUUGCGGGUUGUCGGUCGCCUCUGGUAUUUCGGUCAUUUCGGCCGCGUUGAGGUGACCUCGUCCGCCUGGGUGGAUCCUCCCGGCCGGGUGGGUCUCGGCCAUUCCGAACGAAACGUCGGAGAUGCCCGGCUUGGAUGAGUUCCUCGAUCUUGUCCUUAAGAGCCUGACACUCGUUGGUCGAGUGUCCGGUGUUUUGGUGGUACCAACACUGCUUCCUCCGGUCGGCAUUAUUUGGGUUGGCCACCUUCCUUGGGUGGUACCAUCUUCUUUCUCAUAUCUUCGUUCUCCCUGCGGAGAACUUGCAGCUCUUGCUUAUUUUUCUGAGCGGCCUCCUCGGCCUUUCUUCGCAUCUCGGCCAUCUCCCUCUGGAGAGACAGCAGCAGCAUUGUUUGGUCGGCUUCAGUCAUUCUUUCCAUGCUUCUUGUUGAAACCAUCUACUUUUUUCCUUCAGCUAGUUUCCCUCGGCCCCACGGUGGGCGCCAAUUGUUCCUGCUAGGGAGAUGGGACCUAGAGAACUAUUGAAGUCUUCUUCUCCUUCCUUCGGUCGGGCAGGUGACUGUAAUGAACUGUGAUUCUUCUCGUCUUCUGGCUUAUCCUUCGGUACUCGGCUCUCGGUCGUCAGGCGAAUCACCGGAUGGUGGGGGUACCUGCGAAGGCACUCCGACGCUCAAGUCAGUAAAGCGGGCGGUCAGCUCUCAGGUAGGUGAACAGUAAUAAAUGACAUACCUUACUCCUUGGAAUGCGUGCUAUUUAUAUUAUUCUAAUGGGCCUACCUUGUUGGGCCCGUUUAUCGAGGUGGAUACCGCUUAGGGUUGCAUUACCUAAUUUUUGAUGAUGGAUUAGCUUUACUGAUCUCGGUUUGAGCGUUAAUUGUGAUGGGGUUCGGCCAUCGGCCAAAUUCCUGUGGUCUUCGGCCGUCUCAGUUAAGUCUCCAAAGGUCUCGGCCACUCGGUUUCUCGGCCAAGUAUCCAAAGGUCUCAGCCUCUCGGCCAAGUAUCCAAAGAUCUCGGCCUCUCGGUCAUUCGGCCAAGUCUCCAAAGGUCUCGGCCUAUCGGUCGUUCGGCCAAGUCUCCAAAGGUCUUUACCUCUCGGUCUCUCGGUCAGGUUGACUAGACAUCGGACAGGCAGGUGGGUCUCGGCCUCGCCCAGUACCGGUACAAUUAUUUUUUUAUUUAAUAAUUUAAUUUAUAUUUUAAUUAAAUAACUUAAUUUUAUAUUUUUAUUAUUAUUUAGAGUUGUUAAAUGGUCUAAUACAGAAUUUGGGUUGAAAAAAAAAAACUUUUUUUCCCAUUAUAUUUCUUAUAUCACAACUGUGUCAACUCAAAUUAAACUAGUCAAAAUAAGGUCUGAUUACUUUGAAGAACAAUUAGAAAAGAAAAUAUAAAUAUUUUUAUUCCAUCUUGUAAGCUCUAAAUCAAAUUUAGAGUAUGGUAAAACUGUAAAAGUCCAAGAAAUUAAACUUCUUUCUCCCUUCUUUCAAUUUACCAGUUCCAAGAUUUUAGUUUAUCCUGGAACUCAAAUUCAUUAUUUUUUUUAUCAGCAAAGAAUAAAACACUUCAGAGGUGUCUCAAUCCUUAUACAAGGAACCCAAACCAAGUUUCUUAGCAAUCAACCAGCUAAAGAUCCAAUAGACAUUACAACACAUUAACUAUACUAACAUACCAAAUCAAGAUACAUAAGCCCAACAAAUACAAUUACAACAACCCACCAAAGAUAACAUACUCUCAAUAUAAAACAAAAAAUCCAACAACUAAACAAGGUAUUUGUCAAUAGACCAUAGAAUUCCAAAUAACCGAUCAUGUGAAAGGAUACCUAAAGUUAUGAAAUAAUAUAAUUAUGAUAGAGAAAAAAAUUACUUUAUUAUAAAUAAAAAUUAUUUACAUAUAGUCUUCGUUAUAAGAAAAUCAUUAGAUAGAAACUAAUUUUAUAUAUAAAAAAUAAUUAGUUAUUAUAUUGACUAAAUUAGGUAUUAUUUUAGAAACUAAAAUAAUUAUUGAUAUCUAAAUUAAUUUCUAUUAUGUUUAUCAAUAAUUUUUUUAGUCUCUAAAAUAAUAUAUAUUUUAAUCAGUAUAACAACUAAUUAUUUUUUAUCACGUUUAUUAUAGAGUUUUCUCAUCCAUAAUUUACAUGAUUUGCUUUUACAUAUUGUAGUGCUACAAAACUAAAACGAGAAAAAUUAUAAACAAUAGAAAUGUUUGGAAAAUUUUGGAUGUAGUGGUGUUUCUAUAAGUAUUUUUAAUUGAAAAAAAUAAGAAAAGAAAGUUAAUUAUUUUAUAAGUUAACUAUUGUAUGAGUUGAAAAUUCAAAUUUUAAUGAAAAAAGUUAAUAGAAAAUAGCUGUUGUUAUUGAUAAAGUGAAGACAAAUUAAGGAAUGAAUUUUAUGAAUUCUAUGCCUUACUUGGAAACUGAGGAACUUCAUGCUUCUUUCUUAUCCCUUCUCAUUCUUUAAAAUUGCAUCUCCACACCAUUCACUUAAUAUUUCUUCUUCUUUCUUCUUCACAUUCUAUCUGCACAAAUCUUCAGGUACGUUUCUCAAUUCAAAUCAUCAUUUUAGUUACAUUUUCUUACUCUCAUAUUACUCCUAUUUUACAUCCAUCUCAAUCAUGUCAAUUAAAAUUAUAACUUUCUAAAGUUGUUGAUCUUUUGAAGAUAUCAGUCCUGUACUUUUUAGGCUUAAUCUUGUUUUUUUUUUUAUAUAAGUUUAGAUUCAUUUUUCUUAUUCAUAUAAAAUAUUUUUUUAAGAGUUUGAAUUUUAACUAGACCUAUAAAUAUGUGAUAAUUUUCAUAAAAUACACAUUAAACUCAUAUAUUCAUCUGUUCUCACAUAAAUUUUCUAAAUUUUUACUAUAUUGAGUGUCAAAUAUAUUUUUGCAGGUGGAUUCUUCUCUCAUCUCUUACUUUUCUUCGGAUCAAAGUACUCAACUUACAACACAAUUGUCUUUCUACCAUCUCAAAACUCCAACACUUUAUUCCGGUAACGCUUUAUCCGACAAGAAAAAUUAGACUUAAUAUUUCUCUGAAUAUUGGAUUAAUAGAUCAAAAGUUUAUAUAAACCAUCAAAUUAAAAUAUUGUUCUCAUUGAUAUAAGUAAAAAAUAUAUACGUCAAAGUUUUACAUUCGUUGAACAUAGUGACUAAUUUAUAUGACAUAAACUUGCUUUUAAGAUUUAAAAUAAGUUUUAUGAUAAUUUAUUUUAAAAAAAUUAUUCUGAAAUAGGGUUAUAUAUAUGACCACUUUUUCUUCAAUAAGAAUAUAGGUUUGAAACUUUUUGUUGGUCAACACACUUAAUAAUUUAAAAAGCAAAUAAAUAUAUAAUUUGAAUACAUUAAAAAAUAAUCUAAUGUUAAACAAUUAUUUACUUAAAUCAAAUUUUAAAUUUAAAAAAGUUUAUGAGUUAGCUAAUUUUAACCUUCAAAUCAAAUAAGAUUACAUAGAAGUUUGGACCUAACUCCUUUUCUGAAAAAAUAAAUAUACACUACAAGAAAAUCAUUAAAUAAAAACUAAUUUUAGAUACAAAAAAUAUAUAGUUGUUAUAUUGACUAAAUUAGAGACCAUUUUAGAGACUAAAAUUUUUUUUGGUUUUUAAAUUAGUUUCUAUUAUUACUAAAUAGUUUAUAAAUUGGUAUCUAAUUAGCAACUAAGUUUUUAACUACCAAUUAUUUAGAUUCUAAAUUUGGUAGCAAAAACUUUGGUCGCUAAUUAAAUACCAAUUUAGAAAACUAUUUAACAAUAACAAAAACUAAUUUAGAAACCAAAAUUUUUAUUAGUCUCUAAAAUGGUCUCUAAUUUAGUCAAUAUAGCAACUAAAUAUUUUUGGUGUCUAAAAUUGGUUUCUAUUUAAUGAUUUUCUUGUAGUGAUAUAUGUAAAAAGAACAUAAUAACACUUUUUACAACGACAUAUUAGGUCGUUUAAAUGACCGGUAUAAAUAAAAACUCGAUGACAUUUUUGUAAAUAUUUGGCACAUAUUACACCAGUUGGACUAUCCAACCAGUGUAAUAUGUCCUGCUCAGAGCAAAAAAAAGGUUUUUAAAAAUUUUAUCUCUACGAUUCCACAUAACAUCGAUUGAAUAGAGGAACCAAUAUUAUAUGUCAUUCCCAGAUUAAAAAAAAUUAAUUUUUUUUAAAAAUGAUAUAUAACAUUAGUUCCUCCAUACAAUUGAUGUUAUAUGUCAUUCCCAGAGUUUAAAAAUAUUUGAAAAAUUUAACUAUGGGCACUACAUAUAACACCUAUUGUAUACAUGAAUCAGUGUUAUAUGUAAUCUUUAGAUUACAAAAAUGUUUUUAAAGUUUUGAAAAUUACAUAUAACACUGGUUGGACUACGCAAUUGGUGUUAUAUGUCAUUUCACAGUACAAAAAAAGUUUAAGUUAAUAAAAAAAUGUAUUACACCGGUUAUUACUCAUAAAUGAUAUUUUUAUCUAAUUUUCUUGACUCACACCCUCACUCUCCAUUCGUGCUAUUUUAAGUUUUCUUGAUCAAGAGUUCAUUUUGUUUCUACGAAAGUUGCUACAACUGCCACUGCCUCCGCUGCUUCUCCUUAUUUUGUUCUAUACCGUACGAGAUUCUUCUGUUCACGCUUCUCUGCUAUUUUGUUGUCACUCUUGUCGUUGCUCUUGCCUCCAUUGUCGUCACAGCUCCGUUCACGCUACAGGUUAGUUUUUUUUAUUUUUAAAUAUUUAAAUUUUAAUUAUUACUUGGUUUACAAUUAUUUAUAUAGAUAAUUAGUUUUAUUAUAUUGUAUUCGAAAUAUAAUGUAUUAUGUUUUAAAUUGGGUAAUUGUUUUAGACGAAACGCUUUGGUCUAAAACGAUGACUUUACCUCAUAGUCGUCGUUUUAGAGUAAUUUAAUUUAAAAAAUACCACCGCGUUUUGAAGGACAAUGUUUAGCCAUAAAGCGCUGUGAAUAUAUUGUCGUAAAUAGGCCUUUUUGCACUAGUGAUCUAUUUUUGAGCUUUAUAUUAAUUUUCAACACUUGAAAAAGACUAAGUAUGAGAAAAAAUUAAUACUUUAAAACUAAAUAGAUUAUUUAUUUUCCUCUUAUAUAAUAUAUAUAUAUAUUUUCAUGGAAGAAAAGACUAAUAGAAGCUUAAUUAAAUCAUGAAAGAAGAAGACCUUUAUCCGAAAGAUAAAAAUAUUUGAUAACAAGGUGUCAGAAUCCUCUUCAUUAGUGGUGGAAGAUUUUAUACACAAAGAGUCUAUCAAUACAAUGUAUCGUCAUACUUAUAAUGGUAUAUAACUUAAACUAAAGGAAUAAGAAAAAAUCGUUAAGACGAUUAAGCCUAAUAUCUAUAAUAGACAAUUUGUCACACUCCUACUUAAUGGUCUAUAUCAAUUUGCUGCAUCCCUCCAUAAGGCAAUCAAGGUUUUAACUACCAAUUAUUUAGUUUCUAAAUUUAGUCUCUAAAACCUACCUUGGUUGCUAAUUAGAUACCAAUUUAAAAACUAUUUAAUAAUAAUAUAAACUAAAAUGGUCUCUAAUUUAGUUACUAUUGCAACUAAUUAUUUUGGUCUCUAAAAUUUGGUUUCUAUUUCAUAAUUUUCUAGUGAUAUGUCCUUAUACAGUAAAUUAAAGGAGUGAGAUUAAUGUGAAUGACGAAAAGCAUAUGACCAUUUAUUAAUUUUGUCUAACAUAGUAGCAAGUAUUGCAUGUAAACUCUUUAUUGCUGUAAGAAAGGAUAACAAGAUUGCGUGAGUUGUAAACAUUUAAGGGAGUGAUCAUAAGAAAAUGUUACAAAUAUAUGCAUUACAAGAAAUCAAUUUAAUUAAAUUAGUUUAUUAUUGUUAAAUAGUUUCUAAAUUGGUAUCUAAUUAGCUACCAAAGUUUUUGCUACCGAAUUUAGAAUCUAAAUGCUGCCAUGAAUAUAUAGAAUAUACUUUAUGAUUUUUAAUAUUUCAUUUAAUGUUAUAUUAUAAGAAUUAUAUCACAUUUAAUUUUUGGUCAAAAAUAAUUUCAUACUAUGAUACACUAAAAAAACAUCUGUUCGUUAAGUAAAAUCUAUAUAAACUUUUUUCAUCUAAAAAUAUUCAUUUUUUUUCUCAAAAGUAUUAACUAAAUCAUUACUAUUGAAAAUACUAACUAUAUUUUCAAGAAAAAUAAAAAUUAGUAAUUUUUUAGGGACAUAAAAAAUACAUUGUUUUAAAUCUAAAUUAAUUUUUGUUUUAAUUAUUAGCAUCAAUAUUCUAUAGUCUUUAAUUUCAAAAUCUUUUUUAUGAUACUUGUAAACAAUCUUUAAUAAUUAUAUUAUUAUCUUCAAGUCAUAUCACAUAUUAUUUUUUAUAUUAAUUUAAUUGUUGGAAGAAUAUAAUGAAGUUAUUUUAAUUAAUAUAAUUACAUAAUUAUAUAUAAAAAAUAGUUGUCUUGUAUAUUUGAAAGAUACGAUUUUUUUUAAAUAAAGACAAGUAAUAAUAAAGAAAUAUAAAAAUAAUAAAUGUAUCAUUUUAUAUAUAUAUAUUCAUGUAUGCUUUACUUAAUUUUUUUUAAUAGCUAAAAUACACAUGAUAAUUUUUCCAAUCAUUUCAUAGCUUUCAUGUGUAAACUAUUCUUUAAGAAUUAAGGCACAUGUUAAUCAAUUUAAAAAUUAAUUUAUAUUUUUUUAUAAAUAUUUAAUGAAUUGUAGAAAUAUCAUAUAUAAAACACAAAGAGUCUUUGUGCACAUCGUUAAUACUAGUUUUUUCUUAGAUUAAAGAAUUUGUUUUUCUCUCUAUUUGUAAAAUAACAAGAUCUAUGGAAGGUGUAGGACACCUUUUUAAUUUACUAUUUUCUUUUAAUUGCAUGAUCUCUUAUUAAAAUACAUGACAUAAUAUCAUUUUUAGCUAAUUAAAGAGUGAAAAAUUCAUUCAUGUUUAGGAAAUUGUAUAAAUUCAAAUGGAGGACUUCUUUUUUUCUAUCGCAACAAAGAUUGCAGAAUAUGCAAUAGUUCCAAUUUUAGACCAUGCUAAAUACUUGUGUUGUUUACACAACUUUGCUUUGAAUCUUCCAAAUGCUAAAAAACAACUGGAAUUGACUCGAGAGAGUGUGAAUGAGCAAAUUAGAGAAGCCACUAAUAUGAUUGAAAAAGUUAAUCCAGCUGUUGAGGAGUGGCUAAAAGAUGUCAAUAAAGUCUUAGAUGAAGUAAAACUGCUCGAAGAGAGAAUAUUGAAUGUAAACAAGAGUUGUUUGAGAAGGCAAUGUCAAUAUUCUCUUGCAAAAAAUAUAGCAAGAAAAACAACUAAAAUGAUUCAGCUCCAUCGUGAUAGCAAGUUUGAACCGUUUUCUACAACUAUUGAACUUCCAGGCAUGAAGUACUAUUCUUCCAAUGAUUUCAUUAUGUUCAAAUCUACAGAAGCAUCGUACAACAAACUUAUAGAAACAUUAAAGAAUAAAAGUGUUUCCAUGAUUGGGUUAGUUGGAUUAGGAGGCUCAGGAAAAACUACUUUGGCAAAAGAAGUGGGUAAAAAGGCUGAAGAGAUGAAACUCUUUGAGAAGGUUGUCAUGGCAACGGUGUCUCAACCACCAAAUAUCAUAAGUAUACAAGAUCAGGUUGUCGACCAAUUGAGUUUCCCAUUAAAUGAAACAUCAGAUAUAGGUAGAGCACAAAGACUAUCAGAGAGAUUAAGGAAAGGUACAACUCUUUUAAUCUUGGAUGAUGUAUGGGAAAAACUAAACUUUGAAGCUUUAGGUAUUCCAUUUGAUGAAAAUGGUAAGGCUUGUUGUAUACUUAUGACAACUCGAAGUAAAGAAGUAUGCACUUCUAUGCAAUGUCAAAGCAUAGUUGAACUUAAUCUCUUGAGUGACAAAGAAGCAUGGACUUUGUUCACACAUUAUGCAAACAUAAUUGAUGUCUCCUCGGAAGCUUUGAAAGGUGUGGCAAGAAAAGUUGUUAAUGAAUGUAAGGGAUUGCCCAUUGCAAUUGCCACGGUGGGAAGCACACUAAAGGAAAAAACUAUUGAAGAUUUUGAGUUUGCAUUAUCAAGGCUAGAAAAUUCUAGGCCACUAGAUAUUCCAAAAGGCUUAAGAAGUCCUUAUGUUUGCCUUGAAUUAAGUUACAAUAAUUUGACAAAUCAAUUAGCUCAAUCCUUGUUAAUGUUGUGUUCUAUGUUUCCAGAGGAUUGUGAAAUAGAUUUGGAAGAUUUAUUCCGAUUUGGAAGACGAUUUGGAACAGGUUGGACAUUUGGAAUAAUGGAGAAUGCAAGGAGAGAGAUGCAUGCAGCUAUUAACAUUCUCAAGAAUUGUUGUUUGUUAAUGCAAGCCAAAAAAAAAGAUAAGGUAAAAUUGCAUGAUUUGGUUCGUGAUGUAGCCUUGUGGAUUGCGUCUAAAAGUGGUCAAACAAUUUUCACACGUACUGAAGUGGACCUGGGAGUGUUGACAGAUGAUGAAAUCAUGAAAGAUACGCAUGCAUUAGCCUUAUGGAAUAUGAAAGGAAAUGAUUUUCUUAAUUAUAAAAUAAAAUUUCCAACACUUGAAAUUCUCUUGCUUUGUUCUAAAGGUGGCAUAAAAGUACCAGAUGUGUGUUCUGAAAGCUUGGAAAAACUUAAAACCUUAGUAAUCAUAAAUUUACAUGAGCGGGGUAGAGCUGUUUUUCCUUUGCCAGAGUCACUGAAGUCGUUAAAAAAUCUUCGAACACUAUGCUUGAGAAAUCAUGAUUUGGGUGACAUAUCUUUUGUGGAAAGACUGCAAACACUUGAGAUUCUUGACUUGCAUGGCUCUUCUUUUGAAGAAUUUCCUGUUGGGAUAGUAGAAUUAAAGAAGUUGAAGCUUCUAGAUUUGUUCGAAUGUCGGCUUAAGAAAAAUAUAGUUGAUGAAGUUGUAAGCAAAUGUUUGCAGCUAGAGGAAUUGUAUUUGUAAAAAGGACUUUUCACAUGAUGUCUCUUUCCCCAAAUUACAGAGGUAUGCUAUAAUAAAUUGUCAUUCUUCUAGGCCUUGGGAAGUCCCAACCCUGAAGAAAUAUGCAAAGUCUAGAGGUUUAUUAAUACAUGAUUUUGACGUUACUGUUCAAAAAUUUAUAUCAUUACCAAUCAAGGAUCUCUUUAUAAGAGCAGAGUUCCUUAAUUUGAUAAACCUUCAGGGAGAUUUUAAAAAUAUAAUCCCAUCCAUGGAUCCACAAGGCAUGAAUCACUUGAUUACCCUAGAACUCCUAUAGUGUGAAAAGAUAGAAUGUCUCAUUGAUAACACUAUGAAUACCAACAACAGUGUACUCUCUAAACUUGUUUACCUAAGUUUGAAAUGGUUAUGUAGCCUUCUAGAGGUUUUUUGUGAUCCCUCAUCGCGAUGUUCCCUUGAAAAUUUAGGAGAGCUCUUGAUAAAAGAUUGUGGAAAACUGAACAGCAUCUCCUUUCCAAGGAAGUCUAAGCUAUGCAAUCUGAAGAUCCUUUCAAUAUAUGAUUGUCCUAUGCUAACUUCUCUCUUCGUGCCAUCCGUUGUCCAAUCUCUAGUGUUGUUAGAGGAACUAAAAAUAAUUGACUGCAACGGAUUGAGGCACAUAAUAGAAGAAGUGGAAGAAGGGAACAAUGUUUUUUCAAGCACCCCAAGUCAUUCAUAUUUGACGCUCCAAAAAUUAAGGAUUAUUAAUAUUAUAGAAUGCAACAAUUUGGAGUACAUAUUCUCUGAGAAUUUAACCGUACGGCUAGUGAUUUUGGAAAGUGUGAACAUUCGAGAAAACUCGAAAUUGAAGUAUGUAUUUGGAAGUGGAAAGGAACCUAAUCAUGCAGUUUACCCAAGUGAAAAAGAGACUAAUAUCAUAAAUUUUUCUAAUUUGCAUACUCUAUGGUUGUCAUCUUUACCAAAUGUGAUUGACAUUUGGCCUCAAUAUUGUCGUCCACAACUCCCCAAUCUUAAGAACUUAGAGUGCAUUGAUUGUCCCAAAUUGCUUGAGUCUUCCAUAAGUAAGAUGAUGACUGCUUCAAAUCUCCCGCAAGAAACAACUUCAAAGGUAAUAUAUUAUUUCAAAAUCAUGAUAUCUUUAACUAACAUAACCACUUGAGCAUUUAUAGAAACAUAGUUAUUAUUUAUUAUUUCAUUAAGUUGAUUAAAAAUAAUGAACUUUAAAUAUGAAUUAACAUUGAGAUGUUAAGGAAUCAGUAUACUUUGUCAAGUGAUGUUGUUUAAAUGCAUUAAGAAUAACAAUCAUAUCGCAGUAGUUUUUUAUCAUUACUUUUAUUCUGAUAACUAUCAAGAUUACAGUUUAUAUUCUUAUUGUGUUUGAGUAGAAAAAUAUAUGCAUAAAUUAAUCAUAAUUCUGUGAAAUGGAUAAUCUUUUAUCCAGUCUAAUAAACAAGUAUUUAUCAAUUUAAUCAAUUAUAUUUUAAUGAAUUGUAUUCAGACCUACUGAUUAUGAUUGUUUUUUUUUUCGAUUAGUAUUGUAAUUUUUUUAUAGGUUUUUUUUAAUAAUGAGUUUUGAUCUAGUUUUUUGUUUUUAUUUUUUAAUACAUUUUAGGUAUGCUAACUCACAUUAAGUUUAUUGAAAAAUAAUAUAUAUUAUUUUCGAAGAUGCAAUACAUGUAAAUAAAAAAAAUGAUAUUGUAAUUAGAAGUGAUAGAUAUAAGAUUUUGAAGUAGUGUGAUAUUUGAAGUACGUUAGAUUGAUGAAUUAAUGAUUGAAAUAUAUGCACUUAGUCCUUUAUUUGGCAAAAAUAAUAAAUUAAAUCUGUAAAAAAUUCCAUGCUUUGUAUUUAUCUUUUCAUUACUAAAUAUGCAAUUGUAUUCAUAAUUUUUUUCAAAAACAAGUUUGUUGAUUUGAAUUAGCCAUAACUUAUGAAGUGUAAAAUGUAAGAUAUUAAGAAUGAAUUAUGUUGUGUAUACAGGAUAAUCAAAUACCAUGGUUUCCACUCCAACUUGAAAGGCUUUGCUUUUCUGAUGUUAGAGUAAAAGGUCUGUUCCAAUUCCAAAUGGGAGAAGAAGGGGGCAGUGGAGAACUUCUUCCUCUAAACUUGGAUAUAACUUCUCUAGAGUUGACAGACUUACCUGAGCUGAACUUUAUAUGGAAGGGCCCCACAGGUUUUCUAAACCUCCAAAAGCUUCAAGAAGUUCAAGUGAGCGGAUGUCCAAAAUUGAAAACCAUCUUCUCCAUCACUGUUGUUACAAGUUUACCAAUGCUGAAAGAACUGUAUAUAAAUAACUGUAAUGAAUUGGAACAAAUAUUUGAUUUAGGUGAUGCACGACAACUCCAAACCCUGUAUUCUUCCCAACAACUCUGCUUCCCAACACUUUAUUUCAUUUCAGUUAAAAAGUGCAAUAAGUUGAAAUGUCUUUUUUAUAAGCUAUCGGCUAGUCAUUUUACCACUCUGAAAUAUUUGGAAAUAGAAGAGUGCUCUGAGUUACACAAGGCUUUUGGUUUUGAACAUGAAGCUGAUGAUGGUGGUGAAGAACAGACGGCUAAAAAGGGAGAACAACUACUACUACAGGAACUGAGAAGUAUUACACUCAAAAAAUUGCCAAACUUCGUAGAGAUUCACCACGGAUUUAAGUUAAAAGAAAAUGUUGACCGUCAUACCGUGGAGGAAUGUCCUAAGUAUUCUUCAAGUUUAUAUCUGCAUACAGGUAAAAUUCACAUGUCCAUUUUCUAGACACACUAAUACAAUGUCUUUGGAUGAUGUUGUUAAGUGAAAUAUUAUUUUAUCAGAUAUGUAAAUAGAAGGCUACAGUUAAGCAUGUAGAGUGAAGUAUGGAAAGUGUGGUAUUGAUUUAAAAAACAAAGUGUGGAAUGGACAAUGCAACCGUGUCUCAAGUUAUCACCCAACUCAUCUCCAACUGCUACAAUAAAUUGGUGAGAUAACGUUUUUUUUUCCGCUAAGAAAACAUUUUUUAAAUUAACCAAUGCUAACUCACUGGCCCCAUAUAAUUAUUUUGUAGGGAGACAAUUGCUUGAGGAAAGCUAAAUCUGUAGUGUUCAUGGAUGAUAUCUGAAAAGGAGUUCAAAUUGUCUUUUUAUAUUUGACAGCAUAACUAACAUGUAUGGGUGGGUAGAGCAGUGGAGGGUUGUUUGCAUGUUCCUCACAGAACUAAAUAUGUUGUUUGAGACAAGAAAUUUUGUUAAGCAGAACAAAGUGGAAAAUAUAAGGAAUGGCAAUGUGGUAUCCUCGAAAUAAAGAAAAGGGAAAUUGAGAAAAUGAUAAGAGUUUCCCAAAACAAUUUGGACAUCAGCCUUAUGCAACAGCUAGCAUACUAGCAGCAAUAUGUGUGAAGACUCACCUCAUCAGCAAUAUGCCGAUAAAAAAAAAAAACAAUAUGUAAUUGUAUUCCUUAAUAGUUUAAGCACCUUGCAAGUUUCUCUCUAAUUAAAAGUUUUAUGAACUAGAAAUCACAAAGGUUUUAGAAUCUUAAAUCGGUAUUCACCAUACAUUAAAAUAAAGGCUUCCACAGCUUCACUCCUUGUAAUGGUAACGUACUUGCAAACACAAGAUCACAAAAUGCACUUACAAUUUCAACAGUUUUGACAUGUUGGCAUAAGAUUCUGGUAUGCUAUUUCCAUCGAAGUUAUUGUUAUCGAGUUGACUGCAAUAACAAGAAGAUCCAAAAGUUACUUAAAAUAUUUAUUUAUUUUGAAGACUUAUUUAUUGGUUCAAGUUCAGCUAACAUUGUAGAAACAAAAACAUUAAAAAACUAAAGCGCCUAAAAGUACAAUGACAGAAAUUUCAACUUUCCAAUAUUAUGACUUUAGAAUUUCUCUUCUUAGGUUUAUAAUAUUCAACUUUAGAAUUUCUCUUCUUGCAAUUCUGAUUUGUAAUAAUAGGUUAGCAUCACUUCACAGUGUAUGAGCAUGUUACUCCAUCUUCACUACAGUUGAACAUCUGUCAGCAGUUAGCUUAGGUUCCUUUGUUAGAGUCUGUAGCUUGUUGUUCAGUUAGUUAGAAAGUUAUUUUUCAGUCAAUUUCAACUCAGUAAGGUCAGUCUAAGUAUAAAUAACAUUCUUUUAAUACAACACUGACUUUUAUCAUUCAGAAAUUCUUUCUAAAAUUUUCCUCUCAAAUCUCUGAACCCUACUAUAGUGGCAGAGCAUUACAGAUCUUAAUUACAUUCCACUUAAUGACCUUACUUCAACUGUAUUAUUCGAACUUGUAAAAAUUCAUAAUUUCCUUCUUUUUUCCUUGGAUCCAUAGAGGUCUGAAACACUGGUCUGUGGAGGCCAAAGGGGAAGGGCAAGUUAUAAUGCUGGUUAAGUACAAACUGAUCCCAGAUUUCCCAUCCAUGUCCAUCAUCACUCACUCUUAUCUCUCCCCCAAAAAAACUAAAAUUGGUACAGAUUUUCUUUUAUGAACUACCAAAUCAUAUUUAAAUAGUCACACAUUUUCAAUGCUUCUUUUAUUUAACAAAGUCUCAGUAAAACGGUUCUCCCUAAGUUAAUCCACAGUUCUAUGAAAUAACCAAUGGCUAAACCGUUUAAAGAUGGAAGGGGAGUAUCAUAACAUAAAUUUGAUUAGAAAUUUCCAAGGGCAAGCAUCAUAUCUAAAGAAGAAAUUUCAAAACAGAGAGUUCUAAUGGUACCUUAUAUUUGAAAUAUGAGUAUACGUAGUAUACUAAUAGGUAAUUUAAUUACAUAAGGAAUAAUGCCUCAUAUCAGUGCUUCACUUGGCAAAGUGAAGAGAGAGAUACACAAAACAGUUAUAAAUAGUGCUCCACAAAUUUUGAUAGGGCCACAAUGGCAGCGGAUCUUAUCGUGUAAAAUUAAAAUGAAAAGCUUAAUUCGGUCAAAAUCAGACAUUUUGUCAGAAAGAAUGAAAGUGUCUAAUAAGAGAUUAAAAACCACAGGAAGACAAGUGAGAUGUGCCUGAACAUAGAUAAAGACAUGCAUACAAGCCUAUUUAACACAAUAAUAAAUCAUACAGUAUCAUUAACUUUGGCGUCUCAGAGAGCUCAGAUGGGAGAUUUCCUGUCAAGUUAUUGUUGUCAAGAAGACUGCAUGUCCAAAGAUACAUCUUGUUAAGAAGAUAUGAAUGUGAAAAUGAAGAAUUAAAUAAAAGCCAGAGAAAUAUGUCACUGACUGCAAUCAUGUCACCAAUAACUUACAGGUGAAUAAGGCUUCCUAAUUUGGAAAGUUGUGCUGGGAUUUGUCCACUAAGUGAAUUGUUGUUCAUGUGGCUGCUCCAUUGAGAAAAAAAGAAGGCAUUAUUUUCUUUCAUUUUCUUGCAAGAAAAGUCAAAGGUAGACAAAUAAAAGAAUUCAGUAGCAAGAUUGGUAGUUUUUAAAACUUUAGUAACAAUAAUAAAGAAUCUUACAAGUGUUUUGUGCUGUUUAAGUUUGCAAAUGAUAGUGGUAUGGAUCCUGUAAUAUUGCUCUCAUCAAUUUGUAUUCUGUCCAGCACUGGAAGAUGGCCAAGCUCUUCAGGAAGAUCCCCUGUUAGUUUAUUUCCACUCAGAAGUCUGCAAAAAAAAUGAUUUGAUAAGAAAGAAGGCAGAAAUAUUGUAGCUCCUUGUGUCAAAAUACCAGCCGUUUAUUUAUGCAACCAAUUGAAUUGAAUUUCAGUCCUAUAGAAACAAGUAUUUGACUUAAACUUCCUAAGAAAACACUACUCUCGUUUUAUCAAGAUGUGUUUGUUCAAGUACUAAUAUGUAUAAAUGACUAGGAAAUCAAAUCAAAAAAUUCAUCAAGGUGAUAUAAUAAGACUACUAAAUCAUUCAAUCAUGUGUCAUAGUCCAGCAUGCUGGCCAAGAUAGAUGACUAAACUUACAAAAGUUUCAAAGUUUUGAUAUUGCCAAUCUCCUUCGGUAUACUCCCACUUAUGUCAUUCCACAUAAAGUCCCUUUCAAGAAUGCAAAUUAAAAGCAUUAGUAGAGGAAGUAAUUGCAAGCUGCUACAGAAUGGAAAUAUUCAAAUGAAUCUAUAUUUUUACAAAAGUUGAAGCUAGAAAUUGGAAAAUUGAAAAGUGUUCGUAUGUAACCGGUUUGCAUUAGAAACACCAAUGCAGCCACUUCCUUACAGUAUUUCCAAAUACGAUAAGUUGCGGAUCUCUGGUGCCAAAGUUCCAGACAGGUUCAAAUUCAGUAGUUGCCUACAGACAAAAAGAAAAGGUUCUCAAACAAAUGUAUCAAUAGUGGUAGCAUAAGUUGUUCCAAGAGAUGUGUCAAAAGGCAAUCAAGAAAGUAUAAUCUGAAUUAUGAAGCUUACAUGUGUAUACUACUUGACACUGGAUUAUUGCGCAGUGCAUUAAAUUAUAGUAUUGGUUCUAGAAGUAAAAGAGAAUUGAUGAAAAGAUAGAAAGGUAUAGUAAAACAGAAAUUUUGCUUUGACUUCAAGAUAUAUGAAUUUGUCAAGAUACAAAGAAAAUAUCAUCAUACAGCAUUGUGCACUUAUACCUAACAGCCAUUGUUGUAGUCACUUGAGCGUACUAACUUUUCUAAUUUAAACAGUUACUGAUUAAGAAAGUUUGGACUCACAACAGCCAUUGUGAAUCUAUUCAAAACUGAGCAGAUUAAAGGGAGAAAAGUUAAUAAAACAUGGACCAAAAAAUAGAGAUUAAAGUCAUAAAAUAUUCUAAAAAAUAUCCCUUGAUCAAGGGAAGAAGGUGGGAGAAGUAGGGGUCUGGUCAGACUCUUAAUGGCAGUGGAGGCUGAGGUGGAGAAGGAACAGGUUCGAGUGGGAAGUAUUACAUGAAGAAGAACUUCAUAGGAACAUAUCCAGGAUUAUUCUAAACAAGGAGGCGAAGGAUAUUCAGAUAUGGAGAGGUGAUGUUUCAGGGAUGUCCACGGUGAAGUCUGUGUUUGGAUGCUUAUCAAACCAGGGAACUGUAACCAAUGAUGGGUGUUUCAAAAUGCUUUGAAAUCCUAAGGCAUUGCCCAAUGUGGUGAUCACUGCAUGGAGGGUACUACUAGAUAAGAUUCCAACAAGGCAAAAUCUCAUUAGGAGAGAGGUGUUGGUAAAUACUUCUACGUGUGUUAUGCCAAGGGGUGGAUGAAUCAUCUAAACAUUUGCUUAUCCAGUGCGUCUAUGCUCAACGAGUGUGGUCUCUUUGCUUUAAAUGGAUUGGUAUUCAGUCUAGGCUCAACGAGUGUGUUCUCUUUGCUUUAAAUGGAUUGGUAUUCAGUUUGUACAAUGUACAACAUAAUGACCUGAAAAGCCAUUUUGAGAAUUUUCAUUUAUUGCAUGUGAGUAACAAGCAUAAUCUAAUCUGGAAAGGUAUUUGGGCGGCUAUAGUGAGAUGCAUUUGGGAUCAUAGAAAUAGAGUAAUCUUUAAGAAGGGGCAUUUGAUGCGGAGGAGAUCUUCUAUAUGUCAAUCCUUAAGACAUGGCUAUGGUUGAAACAUAGGGCAAAAUUAUUGGAAUACUCUUUCUCAUAUUGGUAUCUGAAUCCAGUAUUGUGUAUUAAAAACUACAGGUAAUGGAAUGGGGUCCUAUUUUAUUGGUAGGCAGGAAGGUGAUGCUGUGAUGCGUACCAAAGUUGGUUGUCCGUGUUCAGCUUCUGUGGAAUGUCUUAGUAUCAUGUAAGGAGGUCAUAGUAUCAUUGCAACAGACCACGACUGCAACAAAUAUUGAUGGAGCGAGGCUCUUAGUCUGGUUAAGCUACGCUGGAGUUCUGCUCAACAUUAGAUAGGCUUACAAGGAAUGGAAGAGUUGCACCAAUUAAAUAUAAUAGAUUAAUUAAAUUAAUAUAAAAUCAAGGUAUGCAUAUAGUAAUACUCCUUAAAAUCUGGAUAGACUGAAGUAAUGCAUCUUUUACUUUCAAGAACAAUCAGAAAGAAAAAUAUAAAUCUUUUUUUUCAAUCUUGUAAGUUAUUAAUCAACUUUAAAGUAUAGUAAAACUGUGAAAGUCUUCAUGCUUCUUUUUUAUCACUUCUCAUUCUUUAAAAUUGCAUCUCCACACCAUUCACUUAACUUCAUUCUUUUUCUUCUUCUUCACAUUCUAUCUGCACAAAUCCUCAGGUACGUUUCUCAAAUCCUCAGGUUUGUUACUCUUAUAUUACUUCUAUUUUACAUCCAUCUCAAUCAUAUAAAUUAAAAUUACUUUCCAAAGUGGUUCAUCUUUUCAAGAUAUUAGUCAUGUACUUUUUAGGCUUCAUCUUGUUUUUUUUUUAUACAAGUCUAGUUUCACAUGUUUAUUUAGCUUAGUUAAAUCUCUAUCCUAUCCAUGCUGGCCAAGAUAGAUGACUAAACUUACAAGAGUUUCAAAGUUUUGAUAUUGCCAAUCUCUUUCAGUAUACUCCCACUUAUGUCAUUCCACGUAACCCUUUCAAGAAUGCAAAGCAUUAGUAGAGGAAGUAAUUGCAAGCUGCUACAAAAUGGAAAUAUUCAAACGAAUCUAUAUUUUUUACAAAAGUUGAAGCUAGAAAUCCCAAAAUUGAAAAGUUUUUUUUUUUAUCAGCAAAGAAUGAAAUUAAAUUAAGAGGGAUACAAAAGGGGUAUCCCAACCCUUUUACAUAAACCAAACCACAUUAAGAAUCUCCAAGAAAAAAGAGAUGAACAAACACCCCAGAAGCAAUAGAUAGAUAAUGUUUGCUGCAUAAGCUAGACAUCCUAUUCCAGCUAGCACCGUGAUCGUAUUGGAAUGUUAUAAGCACUGCAAACUGCAACUAAAAAACCAUCAAAAUACACCAAAAAAUUGGUUAUCUCCACCACCUCAAUGACAUUCCUUCUACCCAGCUUGCAGUGGCACGAUUGUAGCACUUGUCACAUAAUUAAUCACUUCAAUGCAACAUCUUCCAUUCGCUCAUUUUUGGACUUUGGCUUCCCCCUGUUUGCUCCUUUUAAGCUCACUUUUAUCAGAAACCAACUUCCUACUUGUUAGGGUCCAUCUCGCACUUAGAAUGGUUGGAGUUUACAACUUCGACUUACAUCCCCCAACAUGUAUGAAUCCCCACCACAACCUCUACUGCUACCAUCCACAUGUGAGACCACUAGUUGAUCAGCAAACCCACUUAGGGAUUUCCACAACAACCAAAACACCACAUAAAAAAUACAGUUUUGUUUCCUGCAAAAAGAACCCUGAACCAGCAUACACCCUGCCUCUAUUGGUCUGUUAUAAGACACAUCAAAACAGAAUCCUCCAUCAUGUCCUUAACAUUCUUUUUGACUCCCUUGCAUACAAGCACAUAUGUCCUUUCCAUCUUGCACCAGCUGCAGGCCGUGACAAACCCACCAACACCUCCAACCAACUAUAAAUCCAGUAUAGGCCGUAGUCUUAAAACUCUUGGCAUUUGGGAGUCCUAAUUAUAACUUCUAAUGCAAAGCAUUGGAUUAAGAAUCCAGUCUACGAAAGAAUAAGUAACGGAAUGCACCUUGUGCUUCAUCCAAAGCCAGGAUUUGAGUUGAGCCUUCUGAAACACCUCCUCCGCAUCUACUAGCCCUUUUUUUGAAUACAAUCAGGUUCCUUUGGUCCCAGAUAUACCUAAUAACAGAUGCCCAAACACCUUUCCAUACCAGAUUUUGCUUCUUGCUAGCAUUGCUCAGAUAAAAACUCAUAAAGUGCAUAUUUAAAUCAUUUUGUUGAACAAAAGAGAUACCUAUCCAUUUGAAGCACAAUGACCAUACCCAUUGUGCGUAUUUACACUCCAAGAAGAUAUGUUGACAAGACUCCUCCUUAAGCUGACACAUUGCACAUAUUGUAGAUUCCAUCAUCACCCCUCUCCUACUCAAACUCACCCUUGUUGGGAUUCUAUCCAGCAGCACUCUCCAAGCUGUCACGAUCACAUUUGGGAAUGCCUUAGUCUUCUAAAGGAGAUUAAACACAUCGGAUUGGGUUCCACGAGACUGCUUGGCAAGGCACUCAUAAGCAGAAUUCACAGAAAAAAGGUCUGGUUCUUCCUUCCCUUACACCUGCACAUCCACGUUAUUCCUUCUCAUUAGUGCCCCUGAUAGCAGUGUAAAGAGGUCUGCUUCCAGUGAAGAUUCCCACUCAAAUUUGGCACGCCUCCAAGUCAGCCUCCAUCUCCAAUCCGAAUUAAUCCACACACCAACUUCACCCAUUGUUUGCCCCUGGUUUAAGGAUAGAGAGAACAGUCUAGGAAACAAGGAUUUGAGAUCAGAGCUCCCAACCCACACCUCCUCCCAAAACUUUACUUUGUCUCCACACCCUAGUUUCCAGCUUAGUUCUUCUUGAAACCAUCAUUUUCCUCCUCCCUCCUUGCACACUUUAUAGAUAUCUUUCCACCACCAAGAUUGGAGUUUGACUAGUGUAUGGACGCUUCCAGGCUCCAACCCAUACUUUGAGUCCAACAACUCCUUCCACCUUCCCUCCUCUUGAGAGAUACAUCACCAUCUUCAUUUAGCUAGAAAGCAUGGUUUAACUUUCGUAUUUCUCUUAAACCCAAUCCUCCCUCUUCUUUAGGUUUGCACACAUCUUCCCAACUAACCCAGCAAAUUGGCUUGCUUUCUUUCCUCCAACCCCACAAGAUUCUCCUUUGGAUAGAGGUAAUCCUCUUACAGACUGAAUCAGAGGCUUUGAAAAGGGAGAGAUAAUACAGAGGUAUAGCAGAAAUGACAGAGUUGAUAAGACAAAUUCUCUCUGCCAUGGAUAAAAAUCUCUCUUUCCACACACUGAGCUUCGCUUUUAACUUGUUAACGACAGGAUCCCAGAACUGCCUCUUCCUGGGGUUACCUCCCACUUCAAGGCCCAGAUAUUUAAACGGUACUCCCAUUUGUUUGCAGUUCAACGUCUUUGUAUAACAUGCUACAUCACUACUUUGAACAUUGAUGCCUGCAAGCUUUGACUUAUGGAAGUUGAUCUUCAACCCUGAGGCUAAUUCAAACCCCCUUAGGAUGGCCUUCAAGGUUACCACGUUAUUGAAGGAGUCUUUGUAAGUCAAAACAUGAAUAAACGUAAAUUGAACACAUACAAUAAUGUGUUCACAUAUAGAUCUUAUCAUAUCAUGAUUCUCACACAAUCAUACAAUCAAGAAGGAAUAGGCACUUACCUUGAUCCAUGAGUGAUCCUAAUUGAGCAGUUACUUUAUCUCCUUUAUCCCAAUCUAUCUCUUAGCAAUUCCGUUCUUGUCACACACGUUCGUGAUGGUUAACAGUGAGACAACUAUUAUUUGCAGAGACAGAACCCUAUAGCCUUUAGUACCCAAUCUCCAUCAGAUGUAGGUUUUUCAUUAGGUAUAUCAUCAGAUAUAUAUUUCUCACAUUAACCAAUGGGCCUUUAAUUCUAUUAUUAUUAUUAAAUCAUAUUUGGGCCCAAAGCCCAAACUCUAAGUCAUGUGAGUCACUUUAUAGAAAUUAAUUUACAUAAUUUCUUACAUUCUCCCACUUGACUCAUAUGAGUUAUAAUACUUUCAUGAUUUAAUUAUGACAUAAAUGCGCAUUUAAAAGGCCAUACAUAAAUUGGUUCUAUCAUUAUUCAUAAUCAAGAAUACAGAAAUAAUAAGAGUCAUGGCGGUUACAUGUCAUUUGAAUCAACACAUUUCCUUCCAUGUACUACUAUAUCAUUCUUUCUCCUUAAUAUGACUUUAUAGUGAGAAAUCCAUAAUAGGUUCAAACAUAAUGUUAUUGUCAUCAAUAACAACAUAAUUUGUUUUCCACACCAUAAUAACAUAAUUUGCAUGCAUAUACAUAAAGUAGAAAACAACAUAAUUUCAUAAACUUUAUUUAUCAAUGAGCUCAGAGUGUCAAAUAAGCAUUAAUAACAACAUUCAUCAUUCACUAGUANNNNNNNNNNNNNNNNNNNNNNNNNNNNNNNNNNNNNNNNNNNNNNNNNNNNNNNNNNNNNNNNNNNNNNNNNNNNNNNNNNNNNNNNNNNNNNNNNNNNAGUGCUAAUAUGUUCUAUUGACACUCUAUGUUUCUGAACUUCUUCUUUAACGGCAAAGUAUUUCAAUUCCAUAUGUUUAGCACCUUUGGAAUACUUGUCGUUUUUAGAAAAGAAGACUGCUGCGGAAUUAUCACAAUAAAUUUUCACGGCUUGGCAAUACUGUCAACAAUUCCAAGUCCUGAAAUAAAAUUCCGCAACCAAUUAGCCUGAACUGUGGCCUCAAAGCAUGCCACAAAUUCAGCCUCCAUAGUGGACGCAGCGAUGACUGACUGCUUCGCACUUUUCCAUGAAAUCGCUCCUCCGGCUAAAAGAUACACAUAACCAAAUGUAGACUUUCGUGUAUCCACACAGCCAGCAAAAUCUGAAUCUGUAUAUCCAAUCACCUCAAGGUGAUCAGAUCUUUUAUAAGUAAGCAUGUGAUCCUUCGUUCCUUGCAAGUAUCUUAAAACUUUCUUUGCAGCUUUCCAAUGAUCCAAUCCUGGAUUACUCUGGUAUCUACCAAGCAUACCAACUGCAAAACUAAUAUCUGGUCGUGUACAAGUUUGAGCAUACAUUAAACUCCCAACAAUAGAUGCAUAAGGUAUAUUCUCCAUCUGUUUCCGUUCCAAGUCAUUCUUUGGACAUUGCAUGAGACUAAAUUUGUCUCCUUUCUGUAUUGGAACAGGAGAUGUCGAACAUUUAUCCAUUCUGAAUCUCUCUAAAACUUUAUUAAUAUAUGCUUUCUGAGACAAACCUAAUAGUCCUUAUGAUCUGUCACGGAAUAUUUCAAUUCCUAUCACAUAGUAUGCCUCACCCAUAUCUUUCAUCUCAAAGUUAUUAGAGAGAAACUUUUUAGUCUCACUUAAUAGACCAAGAUCAUUAGUUGCAAGCAAGAUAUCAUCAACAUAUAGAAUCAGGAAUAUAAACUUGCUCCCACUGAUCUUCAGGUAUAUACACCGAUCAACAAUGUUUUCCUUAAAUCCAAAGGACACAAUAGUAUCAUUGAACUUAAGAUACCAUUGCCUAGAAGCUUGUUUAAGCCCGUAUAUUGAUUUCUUAAGUUUACACACCAUGUGUUCCUUUCCUUCUUCAAUGAACCCCACUGGUUGGUCCAUAUAAACAUCCUCUUCUAAAUCCCCAGUCAGAAAGGCAGUUUUGACAUCCAUCUGAUGCAACUCAAGAUCAUAAUGAGCUACUAAUGCCAUGAUAAUUCUAAAGGAAUCUUUCUUAGAAACAAGUGAAAAUGUUUCUUUAUAAUCAAUGCCAUCCUUUUGAGUAAAACCUUUGGCAACAAGUCGAGCCUUGUAACGUUCGAUAUUGCCAUGAGAGUCACGUUUAGUCUUAAAGACCCAUUUACACCCGACUCUCUUGCAUCCUUCUGGCAAUUCUAUAAGGUCCCAUACAUCAUUCUGUGCCAUUGAUUUAAGCUCAUCUUUCAUGGCAUCUAACCAUUUAUCAGAAUUAUCAUCAUUGACGGCGUCUGAAAAUGAAACUGGAUCAUUAUCAAUACUUAAGUCAUUUUCUGACUCUUGUAGAUAAACCACAUAAUCAUUCGAAACAGCAUACUUUCUUUCUCUUUGAGAUCUUCUUAAUACUAUUUCUUGUGGUUGUUCUACUACAGGUUCAUUGUUCUCUUCAUGAUCAUUAAUUUGUUGUUCUUCUUCAUCGUUGAGUGACUCAACUACAUUAGGAACAACAAUACUUGAAGUGAAAGGUACUAGUUAAAGGAACUUGUACUCUAACUUCCUUAAUCUCCACAUUUUGUGAAGUAUUACUCCCACUGGUUUCACCAUUUUCAAUGAACCGUGCAUUUCCAGAUUCAACAAUUCUUGUGUUAUGGGUAGGACAGUAAAACAUAUACCCUUUUGACUUUGCUGGAUAACCAAUGAAAUAUCCACUGAUUGUUCUUGCAUCCAAUUUCUUCUCUUGCGGAUUGUAUAUUCUAACUUCUGCCUGACAUCCCCAAACAUGCAGGUGUCUCAAACUGGGUUUCCUUCUUGUCCACAAUUCAAAAGGUGUCUUUUGAACUGCCUUACUAGGAACCCUGUUCAACAGAUACAUGGCAGUUUUUAAAGCAUACAUCCACAAUGAAACAGGUACAGUUGACUUACUUAACAUGCUCCUAACCAUAUCCAUUAAGGUUCGAUUACGCCUUUCUGAAACACCAUUUUGUUGUGGUGUACCUGGCAUUGUGUAUUGAGCACAAAUACCACGUCUCUCAAGGAACUUAGCAAACGGACCAGGGUGUUGUCCACUUUCAUCAUAUUUUCCAUAAUAUUCACCACCUCUAUCUGACCUGACAAUUUUCACCUUUCUGUCUAAUUGCCUUUCCACUUCAUUUAUAUAAACUUCCAAGGCAUUCACCGCUUGCGAUUUUUCAUGCAGUAAAUAGACAUAACCAUAACGUGAAAAAACAUCAAUGAAGGUGAUAAAAUACCUUUCUUUAUUGAAAGAACUUGCAUCAAAAGGUCCACAUAUAUCAGUGUGUAUAAUUUCAAGAAGCUGAGUACUUCUUGUGGCUCCCUUCUUUGUGUGUUUUGUUUGUUUGCCUUUAAUACAAUCCACACAUACAUUCAGAUCAGUAAAAUCCAAACUUGGAAGUAUUUCAUACUUUACCAAUCUCUCCAUUCUUUACUUGGAAAUAUGUUCCAAACGUUUGUGCCACAAGAAAGCAGAACAUUCAUUCACCAAACUUUGUUUAGUGCCAACAUUAUGAUGCGAGGUCAUAAGAGUUUCAGCAUAUAACUUAUCGAGAUUCAAUCUAUAUAAUCCAUCAUAAAGAGUACCAGAUCCAAUAGACUUAAGUCUUGCCGCAAUAUUAGUCAUUUCAAUGACAUGUUCGUGCAUAGUACGAGAACCAUCAAAUUCCAUGGUGGUUAAUAUACUCAUUAAUGUCCCAACAAGAGACUUAUCAGUAGUUUGGGAGCGCUCUUCCACAAAUUUCAUAAAUUCUUUUGCACCAUCAGUUUUGGGAAGAGCAGACUUAAUAUUACUUGCUAUGCUCAUUCGCAUAAAGAUACAGGAACAAUACUUGAUCGCACAUGCUUAACAUUAAUACUUUGAGUCAUAAACUAAACAUACUAUACAGAUUCAGAAAACAUUCUAUGUAUACUAAUGUUCUCCUUUGGGAGAUUCAUUAAUACACAACAUAAUGAUGCUAAUAGUAUUAACUUUAUUUGGCAAGAUGUAUGCAUUAACUAGNNNNNNNNNNNNNNNNNNNNNNNNNNNNNNNNNNNNNNNNNNNNNNNNNNNNNNNNNNNNNNNNNNNNNNNNNNNNNNNNNNNNNNNNNNNNNNNNNNNNNNNNNNNAUAAUGCCCUAUAAUAAUGAAUUUCCAUUUACCCAUAUAUAUAAAUAAUUUAGCAUCCAUUUUAUAGGUAAUUGGAAUAAAAUUUAUCAGUAAUCUGGAAUUAAAUAAAACUUAAAGAUUUGAUCACUUUGGUGAUUACAAAUCUAUCAUACAAAUAAUUCCAUAAAUAAUAUCAUUAAUUGAAAUAAAAUUUCAUCAUCCAUAAUUUGGAAUUAAAUAAAACAUAAAGAUUUGAUCACUUUGGUGAUUACAAAUCUAUCAUACAAAUAAUUUCAUAAAUAAUAUCAUUAAUUGAAAUAAAAUUUCAUCCAUAAUUUGGAAUUAAAUAAAACAUAAAGAUUUGAUCACUUUGGUGAUUACAAAUCUAUCAUACAAUUAAUUCCAAAAUUUUAAUUUAAAAAAUUAAUACAUAAAGCGGAAAAAUAAUUUUCCAUUCCUCACUUUCAAUCAAUUAAUUAAACUUUAAUUUAAUGAACAUAAUAAAAUUUCAUUAAAACUUUAAUUAAACUUUAAUUCAAUGCAAAUAAAAUUACAUUAAAACAUAAUAAAAUUUCAUUAAAACUUUAAUUAAACUUUAAUUUAAUGCAAAUAAAAUUACAUUAAAACAAUACAUAAAACAGAAAAUAAUUUUUCGUUACUCACUUUUAAUUAAUUAAUUAAAUUUUAAUUUAAAUAUAAAUUUAAUUACAUUAUAACAUAACCUAAAUUACAGAAAAGUAACAAUUGAUUAAACUUUAAUAUGGGGUGCAACAAAGAAUUCAUGCAUUUCAUGAUAGCAGAUAAUAAUUCAUACAUAGAUUCACUAAUUGGAUUCUUUUCAUGCAUUUUAUUAUAUUAUAUUAUAAUAUAAUAUUAAUAAAAUUGAUAACCUAAGGCACAGUAAAUCAAAUUUGCUUCUUUUCAUGAAGCAAAAUUUCUUAAGUUGCAGGGAUGCCGUUAACCACCCCUUUCACAAUGAGUCACCGUGCCGCAGCAGUAACCACUUUCUUGCGUUUGGGUUCAAAAGGUUUUACGUCGUUAAUGGCGUUGAUCCAUAAACCCUAAUUUUAAAAAUUAGGGUUCUUCAAUUGGGAUUAAUUAAAAUUAGGGUUCUUUAAUUUUGAUGGUUUAGGACAAUUAGGGAUCUAUUAUAGAGGAAUGGAAACCUUAAUCUAUAAAUCCUAAUUUUAAAAUUAGUGUUCUUAAAUUGAGAAUAUUUUAAAAUUAGGGUUCUUUGAAUUUUGGAAAAACAUUAAUGGAGAAUCACAAAAAUGAGCAACAAGGCUCUGAUACCACAUGUAAGUCAAAACAUGAAUAAACGUAAAUUGAACACAUACAAUAAUGUGUUCACAUAUAGAUCUUAUCAUAUCAUGAUUCUCACACAAUCAUACAAUCAAGAAGGAAUAGGCACUUACCUUGAUCCAUGAGUGAUCCUAAUUGAGCAGUUACUUUAUCUCCUUUAUCCCAAUCUAUCUCUUAGCAAUUUUGUUCUUGUCACACACGUUCGUGAUGGUUAACGGUGAGACAACUAUUAUUUGCAGAGACAGAACCCUAUAGCCUUUAGUACCCAAUCUCCAUCAGAUGUAGGUUUUCCAUUAGGUAUAUCAUCAGAUAUAUAUUUCUCACAUUAACCAAUGGGCCUUUAAUUCUAUUAUUAUUAUUAAGUCAUAUUUGGGCCCAAAGCCCAAACUCUAAGUCAUGUGAGUCACUUUAUAGAAAUUAAUUUACAUAAUUUCUUACAGUCUUCACAUAGAAAAAUAGUGUCAUCCGCAAACUAGAGGAUGCACACCUCAAUCUUCUUCCUUCCAAACUUGAGGCCCGUCAGCAAAGUGGUUUUGCUAGCACUUCUAACUAUCCCAGCAAGGCCUUCAGCUACAACCCUCUUCUCCUUAAAUCCUCAACAACUUCAUUGGCCAUAAGAACACUGUCUAAGAUCCCUCUUCCUUUCACAAAGGCUGAUUGGCAUUCAUCUAUCAAAGAGGGAAACACCUUCUUCAUUCUACUAGUUAAAACCUUCGAAAUAAUCUUGUACAUAGCUCCAACUAAUGAGAUAGGUCUAUAUUGCUCGAGCUUGGACGGGUCCCUAACUUUAGGAACCAAAGCUAUGAAAGAGGCGUUACAGCCCUUCGGAAUACUUCUCGUCUCAUGAAACAGGGACAGUGCUGCCAUAAAAUCUUCUUUUAGCAACUCCCAAUUCUUUUUGAUGAAGUUGAAGUUAUAACCAUCUGGGUCCGAACUUUUAGUACCUUCACACUGCCACACUGCAUCCCUAAUCUCUUUCUCAGAGAAAGAUGCUAGGAGACCCUCGUUAUCAGUCGGAGAUAACGACAUGAAUUCAACUUCAUCCAGUCUUACCCCUAAAUCUUUCGUUGCUUUGAAUCUAACUCCGAAAAGCUUCUUUGCUUCUGAACGGACAGUGCUUGGUUCCUCACACCAAUGGUCCCCCACCUGGAUGUCCUUCACUUCGUUUCUGAGCCUUCUCCACCUCAAGAGGAAUGAAAGAACCUAGUACAGGAAUCACCAUUCUUGAAAAGUGUUCGUACGUAACCGGUUUUCAUUAGAAACAUCAAUUCAGCCACUGCCUUACACUAUUUCCAAAUAAGAUAAGUUGCUGAUCUCUGGUGCCAAAGUUCCAGACAGGUUUCAGUAGUUCCCUACAGACAAAAAUAAAAGGUUCUCAAACAAAUGUGUCAAUACUAGUAGCAUAAGUUGUUCCAAGAGAUGUGUCAAAAGGCAAUAAAAAAGUAUCUGAAUUAUGAAUCUUACAUGUGUAUACUACUUGACACUGGACUAUUGCGCAGUGCAUUAAAUUAUAGUAUUGGUUCUAGAAGUAAAAGAGAAUUGAUGAAAAGAUAGAAAGGUAUAGUUAAACAGAAAUUUUGCUCUGACUUCAAGAUAAAUGAAUUUGUCAAGAUACAAAGAAAAUAUCAUCAUACAGCAUUGUGCACUUGUACCUAACAGCCAUUGUUGUAGUCACUUGAGCGUACUAACUUCUCUAAUCUAAACAGUUACUGAUUAAGAAAGUUUGGACUCACAACAACCAUUGUGAAUCUAUUCAAAACUGAGCAAUUAAAGGGAGAAAAGUUAAUAAAACAUGGACUAAAAAAUGGAGAUUAAAGUCAUAUAAAAUAUUCUAAAAAAUAUCCCUUGAUCAAGGGUAGAAGGUGGGAGAAGUAGGGGUCUGGUCAGAGUCUGAAUGGUAGUGGAGGCUGAGGUGGAGAAGGAACAGGUUCGAGUGGGAAGUAUUACAUGAAAAAGAACUUCAUAGGAACAUAUCUAGGAUUAUUCUAAACAAGGAGGCGAAGGAUAUUUAGAUAUGGAGAGGUGAUGUUUUAGGGAUGUUCACGGUGAAGUCUGUGUUUGGAUGCUUAUCAAACCAGGGAACUAUAACCAAUUAUGGGUGCUUCAAAAUGCUUUGGAUUGCUACUGCAUGGAGGGUAUUGCUGGAUAAGAUUUCAACAAGGCAAAAUCUCAUUAGGAGAGGGGUGUUGGUAAAUACUUCUAUGUGUGUGCUAUGCCAAGGGGUGGAUGAAUCAUCUCAACAUCUGUUUAUCCAAUGCGUCUAUGCUAACGAGUGUGGUCUCUUUGCUUUAAAUGUGAUGGAAUGCUAGUUUGGAAGCAGAACAUGGAGAAUUUAUCAGCUCUGAAACUAUUUGAUGGCCUUGUGAGAAUGUAUAUUGGACAAUGUUAGAUUGAAUGUAUAUUCUUCAUCUCACAUGAUAAACCGAAAGAAUCACAAUAUAAUAUCUAAAAUUCAUACAAUCAACACAAAUGAGCAAAAUUGAAAUAUAAAAUAUAUAAAAUCUGUGUCCACUGUGAUGAAUGGGUCUAUCACACUGCUCUAGUCAAUUGGGCAAAUUGUGUUUUAUUUAUUUUUUAUUAGCUUAUAUUGGGUUUAAGUGAGAAUUAUUAAUAAUGAUGUCAUUUAAAAGUAAUAAAACAUUUUGUCCUGAUUUGUAUAUUCGUAACUUGUGCAGAGAUGAAAGCAGAAACAUAAGAAGAUUGGAAAAAGAAUUUGUUGUUAUUGAUAAAGUGAAGAAAAAUUAAGGAAUGAAUUCUAUGCCUUACUUGGAAACUGAGGAACUUCAUGCUUCUUUUUUAUCACUUCUCAUUCUUUAAAAUUGCAUCUCCACACCAUUCACUUCAUAUUUCUUCUUCUUCUUCUUCACGUUCUAUCUGCACAAAUCUUCAGGUACGUUUCUCAAUUCAAAUCAUCAUUUUAGUUACAUUUUCUUACUCUCAUAUUACUCCUAUUUUACAUCCAUCUCAAUUAAAAUUACUUUCCAAAGUGGUUCAUCUUUUCAAGGUAUUAGUCAUGUACUUUUUAGACUUAAUCUUGUUUUUUUAUACAAGUCUAGUUUCACUUGUUUAUUUAGCCUAGUUAAAUCUCUAUCCUAUCCAUGAUCUUUUACCUACCCAUGAUUUACAUCAAGAUACGUUCAUGUUAAUAACCCUUUAUUUAAUGUGAUAAUUAAGUCAUAUAAAUAUAAAUAGGAUCAUAAUAUAUUAUAUACCAUAUUCAUGAUUCAUUCAAAAUAUUUUCUUAAGAGUUUGAAUCCCAACUAGACAUAUUUAUGUGGUAAUUCUCAUUCUCAUAAAGUACACAUUAAACUCAUAUACUUACCUAUGUCGAAAUUUGUUUUAGAGGUGGAUUCUUCUCUUCUCUCUUACUUUUCUUCAACCAAUAUCAAACUACUCAGCUUUCAACACAAUUGUCUUUCUAUCAUCUCAAAACUCAAACGCUUUCUUCCGGUAAUACUUUAUUCUUCCGGUAAUGCUUUAUUCCACAAAAAUAUUUAAACUUAAUAUUUCUCCGAAUAAUGGAUUAUUAAUAUAUCAAAAGUUUAUAUAAACCAUGAAAUUAAAAUAUUGUUCUCAUUACAUAUAAGUAGAAAAUAUGUAUGUCAAAGUUUUAUGAGUUACCUAAUUUUAACCUUCAAAUCAAAUAAGAUUACAUAGAAGUUUUGACCUAACUCUUUUUUCUAAAAAACAAAUAUACACUACAAGAAAAUCAUUAAAUAGAAACCAAUUUUAGAGACAAAAAAAUAAUUAGUUGUUAUAUUGACUAAAUUAGAGACCAUUUUAGAGACUAAAAAAAAUCCUGGUUUCUAAAUUAGUUUAUAUUAUUGCUAAAUAGUUUGUAAAUUUAUAUUUAAUUAGCAACCAAGGUUUUAAAUACCAAUUAUUUAGAUUCUAAAUUUCGUAGCAAAAACCUUGGUUGCUAAUUAGAUACCAAUUUAGAAACUAUUUAACAAUAUUGGAAACUAAUUUAGAAACCAAAAUUUUUUUUAGUCUCUAAAAUGGUCUCUAAUUUAGUCAAUAUAGCAACUAAAUAUUUUUUGUUUCUAAAAUUGAUUUCUAUUUAAUGAUUUUCUUGUAGUGAUAUAUGUAAAGAGAACAUAAUAACACUUUUUACAACGACAUAUUAGGUCGGUUAAAUGAGAACCGGUAUAAAUAAAAAUGCGGUGGCAUAUUUGUAAAUAUUUGGCACAUAUUACACCGGUUGGACUAUCCAACCAGUGUAAUAUGUCCUGCUCAGAGCAAAAAAAAAGGUUUUUAAAAAUUUUAUCUUUAGGAUUACACAUAACAUCGAUUGGAUAGAGUAACCGAUGUUACAUGUCAUUUCCAGAUUAAAAAAUAAAAUAAUUUUUUUUAAAAAUGAUAUAUAACAUUGGUUCCUCUAUACAAUCGAUGUUAUAUGUCAUUCUCAGAGUUUAAAAAAAUUGAAAAAUUUAACUUUAGGCACUACAUAUAACACUUAUUGGAUACAUAAAUCAAUGUUAUAUGUAAUCUUCAGAUUACAAAAAAGUUUUUAAAGUUUUAAAAAUUACAUAUAACACCAGUUGGACUAUGCAAUCGGUGUUAUAUGUCAUUUCAGAGUAAAAAAAAAUUAAGUUAAUAAAAAGAUAUAUUACAACGAUUAUUACUCAUAAACGGUGUAAUAUAUUUUUACCUAAUUUUCUUGGCUUGCACCCUCACUCUCCAUUCAUGCUAUUCUAAGUUUUCUUUCUUAAGAGUUUAUUUUGCUUUUGCGAAAGCUGCUGCCACCACCGCUGCCUCCACUGCUCCCUCCGCUGCUUCUCUCUUAUUUCGUUCUCUUCGUCUUGAGAGCAUUCAUACCGAACGAGAUUCAUCUAUUCGCGCUUCUCUGCUAUUUCGUUGUCACUCUUGUUGUUGCUCUUGCCUCCAUUGCUGCCACAACUCCGUUCACGUUCACGCUACAGGUUAGUUUUUUAUUUUGAAAUAUUUUAAUUUUAAUUAUUAUUUGGUUUACAAUUAUUUAUAUAGAUAAUUAGUUUUAUAAUAUUGUAUUUGGAAUAUAAUGUAUUAUGUUUUAAAUUGGGUAAUUGUUUUAGACGAAACGAUGUGGUCUAAAACGAUGACUUUACCUCAUAGCCACCGUUUUAGAGUCAUUUAAUUUCGAAAAUGCCACUACGUUUUGAAUGACAACUUUUGGCCAUAAAUGCGUUGCGAAUGUAUUGUCGUAAAUGGGUCUUUUUGCACUAGUGAUCUAUUUUAAACUUUAUAUUAAUUUUCAACACUUGAAAGAGACUAAGUAUGAAAAAAAAAUUAAUACUUUAAAACUAAAUUGAUUAUUUAUUUUCCUUUUUAUAUAUAUAUAUAUAUAUAUAUAUAUAUAACUUAAACUAAAGGAAUAAUAGAAAAUCGUUAAGACGACUAAGCCUAAUAAAUGGUCUCUAGUAGCAGUCUUUUGCUGCCUCCCUCCAUCAGGCGGUUUAACUCGUCUGACAGAGCUCUCCAUCAAAUGGUCUACUAAACAUGAUUUAUAAUCAAUCUUCAUAGUAUGCAAUGAAAUUAACAAAGUAAGUGCGACUUUUAGAUUUUGAAUGGAUGAGAUAAAUUCACUUAAAGUNNNNNNNNNNNNNNNNNNNNNNNNNNNNNNNNNNNNNNNNNNNNNNNNNNNNNNNNNNNNNNNNNNNNNNNNNNNNNNNNNNNNNNNNNNNNNNNNNNNNNNNNNNNNNNNNNNNNNNNNNNNNNNNNNNNNNNNNNUGUCUAACAUAGUAGCAAGUAUUGCAUGUAAACUCUUUAUUGUUGUAAGAAAGGAUAACAAGAUUGCGUGAGUUGUAAACAUUUAAGGGAUUGAUCAUAAGAAAGUGUCACAAAUCUAUGUGAAAGAUAUUAGAUUUAGGAUGUAUAACAUUAAAAUGAAUUGAAUGAUGAUUUAUUGUGGAUGUGUUUAAUAUGGUAAAGUUCAUCCUUUACAUCAAUUGCACCAGUGCUUACUCGAGUCUUUUUAUCCUAUAAUGUACAUGAAGUGGAGAAGAAAAUUAGUUUUCAGUGGAUAUACUACAAGAAAAUAAUUAAAUAGAAAUCAAUUUUUAAAUACCAAAAUAAUUAGUUGCAAUAGUAAUUAAAUUAGAGAUAUUUUAUAAACUAAAAAAAAUUGGUUUCUAAAUUAGUUUCUAUUAUAGUUAAAUAGUUUCUAAAUUGAUAUCUAAUUAGCUACCAAAGUUUUAACUACCAAUUAUUUAGUUUCUAAAUUUUGUAGCAAAAACCUUGGUUGCUAAUUGGAUACCAAUUUAGAAACCAUUUAAUAAUAAUAGAAAUUAAUUUAGAAACCAAAAAUUUAUUUAGUCCCUAAAAUGAUUUCUAAUUUAGUCACUAUAGCAAUUAAUUAUUUUUUGUCUCUAAAAUUGAUUUCUAUUUCAUAAUUUUCUUGUAGUGGUAAUGAAAACAAGUUUUGAAAUAGAAACUAGGUUGAAUGCGAAGGAGGGAAUCCUUGCCAAUUUGUGCAAUACUCAAAUAAGUAGCACAAACUAAUUGACCAUAUAACAAUUUAACUAGAAUAGGAACAAUUUGGUGAUGAGAGUCGAAGUUGAGAAGGAAAACAAGACAUGAACAAAUUGUGUUUCAUUUAACAUACAUUUAUGGUGUCCAACCCUAAUGCAAUGAGUGCACAUUUAUCUAUGUUCAUUGCAAGUGUGUUGUUCCCUUCUUCAUAGUUUGAAGGACAAUCAUAUUUUCUAUGACAUACAUUACUCUAUAUUACUAGUUCAUCUGCAUAAGUUACAAAUAGGGGCUCAAUAUUGAUAUGAAUCAUAAAGUUAUUACCCAACAAUUUUCAUAAAGAUAAUUUAGAGAAAAAAAGUUUAAAGAAAGAAUGAGUUUUAAAAAAUGAAUAAAUAGUUAAAAAUUUAAUUUAUAUUUUUAAACAUAAGUUAAAUUUUAACAUUUAUUAUUUUAAAAAUUAUCCCUUCUAGAGUACUUACAAGACCUGCCAUGAACAUAUAGAAUAUACUUAUGGCUUUUAAUAUUUCAUUUAAUGUUAUAUUAUAAGAAUUAUAUCACAUUUAAGUUUAUUCUUUAAAAUAAUUUCAUACUAUGAUACAAAAAAAAAAACACCUGUUCGUUAAUUAAAAUCUAUUAAAACUUUUUUCAUCUAAAAAUUUUCAUUUAUUUUUUUUCUCAAAAGUAUUAACUAAAUCAUUAUUAUUGAAAAUACUAUCUAUAUUUUCAAGAAAAAUAAAAAUUAGUAAUUUGUUAGGGGUAUAAAAAAACAUUAAGUUUUAAAUCUAAAUUAAUUUUUGUUUUAAUUAUUAGCAUCAAUAUUCUAUAGACUUUAAUUUCAAAUUAUUAUUUUUAUGAUAACUUGAAAACAAUCUUUAAUAAUUAUAUUAUUAUCUUCAAGUCAUAUCGCAUUACUUUUAUAUUAAUUUAAUUUUUGAAAGAAUAUAAUGAAGUUAUUUUAAUUAAUAUAAUUACAUAAUUAUAUAUAAAAAAUAGUUGCCUUGUAUAUUUGAAAGAUACAAAUUUUAUAUUUUUUAAAAUAAAGAGAAAUAGUUAUAAAGAAAUAUAAAAAUAAUAAAUGUGUCAUUAUAUACAUAUUUUCGUGUAUGUUUUACUUAAAUAGCUAAAAUACACAAGAUAAUUUUUCCAAUCAUUUCGUAUCUUUCAUAUGUAAACUAUUAUUUAGAAAUUAAGGCACCUGUUAAUCAAUUUAAAAAUUAAUUUAUACUUUUUCAUAAAUAAUUAGUGUAUUGUAGAAUUAUCAUACAUACAACACAAAGAGAGUUCUUGUGCACAUCGUUAAUACUAGUUUUUUCUUAGAUUAAACAAUUUGUUUUUCUCUCUAUUUGUAAUAUAACAACAUCUAUUGAAGGCAUGUAUGACACCUUUUUCAUUUACUAUUUUAUUUUAAUUGUAUGAUCUCUGUCUAGAAUACAUGAUAUAAUAUCAUUUUGUAGCUAAUUAAAGAGUGACGAAUUUCAUUAAUGUUUAGGAAACUUUAUCAAUUCAAAUGGAGGACUUCUUUUUUUCUAUCGCAACAAAGAUGGUAGAAUAUGCAAUAUUUCCAAUUUUAAAUAAUCUGCAAUACAUAUGUUGUUUCCACAACUUUGCUUCGGAUCUUCCAAAUGCCAAAGAACAAUUGGAAUUGACUCGAGAGAGUGUGAAUCAUCGAAUUAGAAUAGCAACUAAUAAGAGUGAAAAAGUUGAACCAGUUGUUGAGAAGUGGCUAAAAGAUGUUGAAAAAGUCUUAAAUGAAGUACAACUGUUGGAAGAAAGAAUAUUGAAUGUAAACAAGAGCUAUUUCAGAAGGCAAUGUCAAUAUUCUCUUGCAAAAGAAAUAGCAAGAAAAACAACUAAAAUGAUUCAGCUCCAUCGUGAUAGCAAGUUUGAACCGUUUUCCAUUAUUACUGAACUUCCAGGCAUGAAGUAUUAUUCCAAUGAUUUGACUAUGUUCAAAUCUACAAAAGCAGCGUACAACAAGCUUCUAGAAGCAUUAAAGAAUAAAAGUGUUUCCAUGAUUGGGUUAGUUGGAUUAGGAGGCUCAGGGAAAACUACUUUGGCAAAAGAAGUGGGUAAAAAGGCUGAAGGGAUGAAACUCUUUGAGAAGGUUGUCAUGGCAACAGUGUCUCAACCUCUAAAUAUCAAAAGGAUUCGAGAUGAGAUUAUUGAUCUAUUGAGCUUGGAGUUAAAGGAAGAAUCAGAUAUAGGUAGAGCACAGAGACUAUCAGAGAGAUUAAGAAAAGGUACAACUCUUUUAAUAUUGGAUGAUGUAUGGGAAAAACUAAACUUUGAAGCUUUAGGUAUUCCAUUUGAUGAAAGCUGCAAGACUUGUUGCGUACUCCUAACAACUCGAAAUAGGGAAAUAUGCAAUUUUAUGCAAUGCCAAAGUAUAAUUGAACUUGAUCUCUUAACUAGCGAUGAAGCAUGGAUUUUGUUCAGAAAAUAUGCAAAUAUAACUGAUAUCUCCUCAGAAGCUUUGAAAGAAGGUGUGGCAAGAAAAAUUAUUAAUGAAUGUAAGGGAUUGCCCAUUGCAAUUGUGACGGUCGCAAGCACGUUAAAGGGGAAAACUAUUGAAGAUUUUGAGUUAGCCUUAUCAAGGCUAGAAAAUUCCAAGCCACUAGAUAUUCCAAAAGGCUUAAUAAGUCCUUAUGUUUGUCUUGAAUUAAGUUACAAUAAUUUGACAAACCAAUUGGCUCAAUCUUUAUUGUUGUUGUGUUCUAUGUUUCCAGAGGAUUAUGAAAUACAUUUGGAAGAUUUAUUUCGAUUUGGAAAAGGAUUUUGCAAAGUUGGGUCGUUUGGAGAAAUGGAGAAUGCAAGGAGAGAGAUGCAUGAAGCCAUUGGCAUUCUUAAGAGUUGUUUUUUGUUAAUGCAAGCCGGAACAAAAGAAAAUGUAAAAAUGCAUGAUUUGGUUCGUGAUGUAGCCUUGUGGAUUGCCGCUAAAAGUGGUCAAGCAAUUUUCACACGUACUGGAGUGGGUCUGGAAGUGUUGACAAAUGAUGAAAUCAUGAAAGAUACGAAAGCAUUAGCCUUAUGGAAUAUAAGAACAUAUGGUUCUCUUAAUUAUAAAAUAAAUUGUACAACACUUGAAAUUCUCAUUCUUUGUUAUAGUGGUGGCAUGAAUGUACCAGAUGUGUGUUCUGAAAGCUUGGAAAAACUUAAAACCUUAAUCAUAAAUCUAUCGUGGAGAGGAUCUAGACUUCUUUUGCCAGAGUCACUGAAGUCGUUAAAAAAUCUUCGAACACUGUGCUUGAGAAAUCAUGAUUUAGGUGACAUAUCUUUUGUGGAAAGACUGCAAGCACUUGAGAUUCUUGACUUGCAUGGCUCUUCUUUUGAAGAAUUUCCUGCUGGGAUUGUAAAAUUAAAGAAGUUGAAGCUUCUAGACUUGUUCGAAUGUCGACUUAAGAAAAAUAUAGUUGAUGAAGUUUAUGAAGUUGUAUUUGUACUUGGUCAAUUACAAAAAGGACUUUUCACAUGAUAUAUCUUUCUCCAAAUUACAGAGGUAUGCUAUAAUAAACUGUCAUUCUUCUAGGCGUUGGGACCCAACCCUGAAGAAAUAUGCACAGUCUAGAGGUUUAUUAGUACAUGAUUUUGAUGUUACUAUUCAAAAUUUUAUAUCAUUACCAAUCAAGGAUCUCUUUAUAAGAGCAGAGUUCCUUCAUUUGAGCAACCUUGGGGGAGAUUUUAAAAAUAUAAUCCCAUCCAUGGAUCCACAAGGCAUGAAUCACUUGAUUACCCUAGAACUCGAAUGGUGUGAAAAGAUAGAAUGUCUCAUUGAUAACACUAUGAAUACCAGCAACAGUGUAUUCUCUAAACUUGUUUACCUAAGGUUGGAAAGUUUAUGUAGCCUUGGAGAGGUUUUUUGUGAUCCCUCAUCGCGAUGUUCCCUUGAAAAUUUAGGAGAGCUCUUGAUAAAAGAUUGUGGAAAAUUGAACAGCAUCUCCUUUCCAAGGAAGUCUAAGUUAUGCAAUCUGAAGGAUCUUUCAAUAUAUAGUUGCCCUGUGCUAACUUCUCUCUUCGUGCCAUCCGUUGUCCAAUCUCUAGUGUUGUUAGAGAAACUAAGAAUAUCUGGAUGCAGCGCAUUGAGGCACAUAAUAGAAGAAGUGGAAGAAGGGAACGAUGUUUUUUCAAGCACCCCAAGUCAUUCAUAUUUGACGCUCCAAAAAUUAAGGAUUAUUGAAAUUGAUGAUUGCAAGAAUUUGGAGUACAUAUUCUCUGAGAAUUUAGCCGUACAGCUAGUGAGUUUGGAAAGUGUGGUCAUUCUUUAUUGCUUUGAAUUGAAAUAUGUAUUUGGAAGUGGAAAGGAACGUAAUCAUGCAGUUUACCAAAGUGAAAAGGAGACUAUUAUCAUAAAUUUUUCUAAUUUGCAUACUCUACUGUUGUUAGAUUUACCAAAUGUGAUUGACAUUUGGCCUCAAUAUUGUCAUCCACAACUCCCAAAUCUUAAGAACUUAUAUUGCUAUAAAUGUCCCAAAUUGCUUGAGUCUUCCAUAAGUAAGAUGAUGACUGCUUCAAAUCUCCCGCAAGAAACAACUUCAAAGGUAAUAUAUUAUUUCAAAAUCAUGAUAUCUUUAACAAACAUAACCACUUGAGCUUUUAUACGAACAUAGUUAUUAUUUAUUAUUUCAUUAAGUUGAUUAAAAAUAAUGAGCUUUAAAUAUGAAUUAACAUUGAGAUGUUAAGGAAUCAGUAUACUUUGUCAACUGAUGUUGUUUAAAUGUAUUAAGAAUAACAAUCAUUACGCAGUAGUUUUUUAUCAUUACUUUAUUCUGAUAACUAUCAAGAUUACAGUUUAUAUUCUUAAUGUCUUUGAGUAGAAAAAUAUAUGUAUAAAUUAAUCAUAAUUCUGUGAAAUAGAUAAUCUUUUAUCUAGUCUAAUAAACAAGUAUUUAUCAAUUUAAUCAAUUAUAUUUUAAUGAAUUGUAUUCAAACCUAUUGAUUAUGAUUUUUUUUUAUUAGUAUUGUAAUUUUUUAUAGGUUUUUUUAAGAAUGAGUUUUGAUCUAGUUUUUUGUUUUUAUUUUUUAAUACAUUUUAGGUAUGCUUCCUCACAUUAAGUUUAUUGAAAAAUAAUAUAUAUUAUUUUCAAAGAUGCAAUACAUGUAAAUAAAAAAAAUGAUAUUGUAAUUAGAAGUGAUAGAUAUAAGAUUUUGAAGUAGUGUGAUAUUUGAAGUACGUUAGAUUGAUGAAUUAAUGAUUGAAAUAUAUGCACUUAGUCCUUUAUUUGGCAAAAAUAAUAAAUUAAAUCUGUAAAAAAUUCCAUGCUUUGUAUUUAUCUUUUCAUUACUAAAUGUGCAAUUUUAUUCAUAAUUUUUUUCAAAAUCAAGUUUGUUGAUUUGAAUUAGCCAUAACUUAUGAAUUGUUUUUUUUUUAUCAGCAAUAAAUAAAUAAAAUUAAGAGGGAUACUACAGGGGUAUCCCAACCCGUAUACAUCAACCACUUAGUUACACUCCCCUUUAUGACUAAGGGGAGACAACCGUUGUGUGGCAAAACCUGCUUAAAGAACUGUAAGCACAGAACAACAAACCAAUUACAACAUCAUGACAGAGGACCUACACGGUUAUGACAGCAGCCUAAAUAAAUGCUACACAAAAGCAGCAGUACAUUAUACACCUUGGCAUCCAAACACCGCUACACCACCUUGACCUCACCUACACCCUUACCUACAUCCACACCUAUACUUCCUACCUUUCACCUUUAUUCCAUUACCCUUCACAAAAAGACCUCCACGCCUCACUUUAUCAACUAAUGUACUUGUCAACAAAGAGAGCACCAAAGAAAGACCAGCAAAGGACCACCAAACAACAUAGAGUCUUCCACUUAUAACUCCAGCUCUACGUAACCUCUCUAACCAUCUCCAACCAGCAGCCACACAAGCCCUUAUGUUCAUAGCCAUCCACUUCAAACCAGCCAAGAGCAUGUUGUAUCACUAGGUUAAACGCCACACUUUCACACUAAUAGCAGGACCGUGUCUUGCACUCCCUGCACGACAGCAUCGCUCUACUGCUUCAAACUGUUUUUGUACAUCCUGCUAGAAGUCUCACUUCCAAUCUGAUUUUGUACACCCUACUAAAAUCCAUACUUCAGCUGCUGCCACACCUGGUGUGCGUGACACGACUCCAGCAGCAGCUGCCACCUCCACAACACUUUCAUCGACCAUAACUUAACAUCUUCAACUAGAGCUGACUGGGUAAGCAGCUACUACCCGGGACUACACUGCAGCAUUGUCCAUCUUCUUUAACUGCUGGGGCGCCACAACCAUACCAACAACUUGCUUUCCUUACCUAGAUGCUUUCCAUUUCCAACAAGCAACAUGUUCCUGCAUUCACCACAAAAAACCACCCCGAAACGGGUUACAGCACUACAUAUUCCCGCUGUCCAGACAUACUCUGUCAUACCCCAGGGAACUCAAUCCUGCUCCAUAACAGGGUCCUACCAAACCAAAUACUUCACAUGGGGAGCCUAACAGUCUAAGUUCUCCAAAUCCAGCACCUCUGAACAGAACAAGAAAAAAGAGUGCGUCCUCCUUCCAAUUAGCAGCUUUUAAUGCAGAUUGUUGGAUUAAGAACCCAAUCAACAAAGGAAUAAGAAAACGAAUGCGCUUUAUGCUUCAUCCACAGCCAAGACUUGAGUUGAGCCCUCUGAAAAAUUUCCUCUGCAUCUACUACCCUUGCUGGAAGGUAAUCAGGUUCCUUUGAUCCCAGAUACAUCUAAUGAUGUUUGCCCAUACCCCUUUCCAGAUUUUAUUUUGCUUGUUGCUAGCUUGAAACAAGUGGAAACUUUGGAAAUGCAGCCUUAAAUCAUUAUGCUGGACGAAGGAGAUAUCUACCCAACGCAAACAUAGAGACCAUACGCGUUGGGCAUGAUGACACUCCAAAAAGAGAUGUUGACAAGUCUCCUCCUCUAACUGACACAAAGGGCACACCGUUGAGUUCAACAUCACCCCUCUCCUACUCAAACUCGCUCUUGUAGGAAGUUUACCCAACAAAACCCUCCAGGUUGUCACUACCACGUUUGGGAACGCCUUCACCUUCCACAAGAGCUUAUACACUUCACUUUGGUUGCCUCUAUCAUGCUUAGCUAAACACUCAUAAGCAGAGUUCACCGAAAACAACCCCGGUACCUCCUUCCCCCACACUUGGAUGUCCUGGACAUUCUUUUUCAGAGUGACCCCAUAUAGGAGUGCAGUAAGAUCCCUCUCCAGAGAUGACUCCCACUCAAAUCUAUCUCUCCUCCACCUCAUUCUCCAUCUCCACUCCGAUUCAAUCCAUUCUCCUAACUCGCCCACUGUUUGGCCUUGGUUUAGAGAUAGUGAGUAUAGACGCGGANNNNNNNNNNNNNNNNNNNNNNNNNNNNNNNNNNNNNNNNNNNNNNNNNNNNNNNNNNNNNNNNNNNNNNNNNNNNNNNNNNNNNNNNNNNNNNNNNNNNNNNNNNNNNNNNNNNNNNNNNNNNNNNNGGAAAGGUCUCUCCACCACCAAGACUGGGACUUAACAGGUGUUUGACUACUAUCAAUUCCCAGAUUGUACUUAGAUUCCAACAACUUCUUCCACCUUCCUUUUUCUUCCGAAACACACCUCCAUCUCCAUUUAGCUAGGAGAGCUUGAUUAAACAAGCGUAUAUCCUUACACCCCAACCCUCCCUCCUCUUUUGGUCUGCAUACGUCCUUCCAACUAGCCCAAGCAAUUGGCUUAGACAGUUUCCCCCAACCCCACAAGAAUCUUGUUUGAAUGCUUAUAAUCCUUUUACACACCGAAACCGGUGCUCUGAACAAGGAGAGGUAGUACAAUGGGACGGCAGUUAGAACAGAGUUAAUUAGACAAAUCCUCCCUGCCAAGGAUAAGAACCUCCCCUUCCAAGCACUGAGCCUUGCUUUAAGCUUGUUUAGAACUGGUUCCCAGAACUGCUUCUUCCUUGGGUUCCCUCCCACCUCCAGUCCCAAGUACUUGAAGGGUACCUCCAUCUGAAUGCAGUUCAAAAUCUUAGUGAAGCAUACUAUAACAUUGCUUUGUACAUUAAUACCUGCUAGCCUUGAUUUAUGGAAGUUAAUCUUCAGUCCUGAGGCUAGCUCAAAGCCCCUCAGAAUGGUCUUCAAGGUUACCACAUUGUCAAUGGUAUCUUCACAAAGAAAGAGAGUGUCGUCUGCAAACUGGAGAAUACACAUCUCCACCUCCUGCCUUCCAAUCUUGAGGCCCGUCAACAUAUUAGCCUUCAAGGCUUGUCUUACUAGCCCUGCAAGGCCUUCUGCUACCACUAUGAAAAGGAAAGGUGCUAGGGGGUCGCCCUGCCGCAACCCUCUAGAUGGCUUAAACUCUUCCGUAGGGCUCCCGUUGACUAGCACAGACACAGUGGCUGAUUCAAGGCAUCCUCUAAUCCAAGAGAUCCAUACUUUAUGGAACCCCAUCCUGUGUAACAUAUCGUAAAGGAAAUCCCAUCUGACCGAGUCGUACGCUUUCUCAAAGUCCACCUUUAAACAAAUGCCGCUUCUCCCUUUCUUCCUAAGAUCUUCUACCACUUCAUUGGCCAUGAGCACACUAUCUAAGAUCCCUCUGCCCUUCAGGAAAGCUGAUUGGCUUUCAUCUAUUAUUGUAGGCAACACCUUCUUCAUUCUACCUGCCAGUACCUUUGUAAUGAUUUUAUAAAUGACACCUACCAGAGAGAUUGGUCUAUAUUGCUCAAGCUUAGAGGGGUCCCUCACCUUCGGGAUUAGCGCAAUAAACGAAGCGUUACAGCCCUUCGGGAUGUUCCCAGUCGCAUGAAACAAAACCAUUGCUUCCAUUAACUCCUCUUUAAAUAGGUCCCAGCUUUUNNNNNNNNNNNNNNNNNNNNNNNNNNNNNNNNNNNNNNNNNNNNNNNNNNNNNNNNNNNNNNNNNNNNNNNNNNNNNNNNNNNNNNNNNNNNNNNNNNNNNNNNNNNNNNNNNNNNNNNNNNNNNNNNNNNNNNNNNNNNNNNNNNNNNNNNNNNNNNNNNNNNNNNNNNNNNNNNNNNNNNNNNNNNNNNNNNNNNNNNNNNNNNNNNNNNNNNNNNNNNNNNNNNNNNNNNNNNNNNNNNNNNNNNNNNNNNNNNNNNNNNNNNNNNNNNNNNNNNNNCUCCAUCUCAAAGAUGAAUGAAAGAAUCUAGUACACGCAUCCCCACUCUUAAACCAACUUGCUCUAGCCUUUUGGCAUAAAAGGGAUUCAAGUUUUUUAUCGUUUGCUACUAAGCGGCUAAUCAGCUCCAUUCUGGUUAACCUUUCGCUUUCCUCAAGGUCCCCAUUACAAUCUCUGUUGUCAAGAUCCUCCAAUUCCUGUAGGAUCCUUCUCUUUGUGGUAUGAAGGUUGCCAAACACCUCCCUGUUCCACACUUUCAGAUCUGACUUGAGAAGUUUCAUUUUCUCCUUCAGUUUUGCUAUUUCGUUCCCCUGGACUGAGAAAGACUUCCAUUUAUCCUUAACCAUGAUCUUGAACCCCUUCUCCUGGAACCAAGCAUCAAUCGAUCUAAAGGGUUUGGGUCCCCAGUCCUUCUCCACGGAUUUAAUCACUAGUGCGCAGUGAUCAGAAACCUCCCUUCGAAGAACAUACUGUUUGCACAAGGGCCACUUCUGCAACCAUUCUUCCGUGACUAACGCUCUAUCAAUUCUGCUCUUAGCUGUUCCAUCAGGUUUAAACCACGUGAACUUCUUACCAACCAAAGGCAGGUCAAACAAGGAAUUGGAUUCAAUGAAAUUGUUGAAGCCAGAAAUCUCUCUUGACUGAUCUCUCCUAUCCAUGAUACCUUUCCUUUCACUUCUACUUCUCACAGCAUUAAAGUCACCACAAAAGCACCAGACUGAAUCUUGUGAAGCCAGUUUGACAUUGGAGAGCUCCUCCCAUAGGGUCUUCUUUGCAUUCAAUGCACAGGGGGAGUAAACAUUGGCCACAACACACCUAGAAGACGAUUUUAGAUGUAGACCGAUGACCACAAUAAAACCUUUCCCCAUCAGGUGAUUUUCAUAGCUAAAGACUUCUUUAUGCCACAAAGACAACAAGCUCCCACUCCCCUCGUCUCCUUUAUUGUGAAUCCAACCUACUUUAUUAUCACCCCACCAAGAGAAGCACCUAGCAUCCGAGAUUUCCUUAGCUUUUAUUUCUUGUACACACACAAAAUCUGCCUCCUCCUUACCUAUUAAAUGCCUUAUAUACCUUGUUUUGGUACCUCCCCCCAUACCUCUUAUGUUUAGAUUAACAAUAAUCAUAAACAACCUCCCUUCUUCCCGUCCUCUAUACUUCUCAUAAACUUCAAAUCUCUUUCCUCCAUACAAGAGUACUCGUGAAGAACCUCCUGUUCGUCCUUACGACAGAUUAUCCUUACUUUCCUACUUAUCCCCCACAACUUGGCCGAUUCCACUGGCGAUUCUGGACUGCACAGCCUUAGAUUACAGUUAUCAAUAUCUCCGUCCGAAAGCGAAACUGUUGGCAUACAUUGUCUGGAGUGAGAAGAAAUGGCAACCUGCGGGUAUUUGUUGCGUAUUCGAACUGAUCGCCUUGGAUGCGAUUUCGAGACUUCCAAUUCAACAAGGCCUUUGAUCUUGCGGCGUCGCUGGUAGGAUUUUAGAAAUCUUCCUGCUGGCCCAACAUCUUCUCCUCCGCAAAGUGGCUGCUCAAUACCAAUUCCGUGAGUUUCGAGACCAUUUACGUCGCCCUGUGGUUCGGAUAUGGUGUGACGAAACUGCUCCCCUUGUUGCUCCAGCACCUUCUUCAUCGACCCACUCUCCAAUUCCAAGAGUUUGAUGUUGCAGGCUUCCAUUACAGCACACAUGGUGUUCCGCUGCUCCUGCAAAGAAAUCAUCUCCAAACCCCGUGGACACCCAUGGCUUCCUUUGGGACGAUUUCUCGCCUCACACUCGGACCCAGGACCCGCUACCGCUUGUCCAGGGCCUGACCCGAGAUUGUCCACUCCCACAUCCACCUUCACCACUUCUUCUUGGGCUUCCUUUCUAACUUGGCCCAAACCUAGCAUAUUCACGUUUUGGGUGCCCAUACUUUCAAUAUUCACCACUAAACUAGCCAGCUCAGCAUGUGCAUUAAUACUCAAGCGGGAAAAUGCACAGGCCUGGACAGAGUCGUUGCCAAAAUCAGGUUCCACAUAUAUCUUCUGCCAUUGACUUGCCUCCUUGGUGAAAGAAUUUCCACCUUUUCCCUGACACCCACUAUUCUCAGCAGAGAGCUCCCCAAAACGAGCAUUUGAUCGUUGCGCCUGACCUCCUUCUUCCGUUCCACCUCCGACCACCCUAACCUUCGCCUGACGCUCUUCUUUGGCCCUAAGGUCGCACUCCUCCUCGCCGUUUUUCACCGAGAAGGAUGAUUCUUCCACGUAGGUUUCAGUUGAAGAGAUACUAUCUGAAGAAUCAUAGUUGCAGUGUGAGCCUUUGCAUUGGCCUGCCACGGCCACAGGGUGUUCCUCCUCGAUAGAGAUGCUUAUAGAUUGGUCAUUUAUCCUUAUCUUCCUUGCCACCCUAAUGUACCGAUUAUUCUCGAUUCUAACUUUCAGACGAGCAAACUCAAUGUUUUCCCACAUCAGUGUGGCGUCGUCAAUAUCGAUCAGAGUAGCUAAGUCUCCAACCACUCUAGCGAAGCACUCCCUGUUCCAAAGAGAAAUUGGUAGGCCAAAGCACCUUACCCAAACAGCCCUAUGGCUCACUGUGAAUGCUUCAGACCAUGGUUGGAUGCUAUCAAAGACACUAUCAAACCAAUCUCUGUUUAGCCUUAUCAACUCCUCCAUAUUCUCCCCUCCUCUUGGCAUUAGGAGAGCGAAGUUGUCCCCCAUCUGUCUCACCCUGACCAUACUCAUACCUCCUCUAACAAAUUCUUCACCCAACUGUUGAUAGUCCAUCUCCGCCUUGUAACGACCGACCACACUUUCCUCCAUCCACGGCAAGGAUUGUUUUUUCGUAUUAAGAACUGGUCCCUUCCAUUCCCACCGCUCAUGUCCUCUAACGGCGUCCGCAAAAGAUUUUUUCCCCCCUUCUCCACCCAGACCUCCUUCCCUUUGUUUAGCAUUCUGACCUCCGAUUCCACUCGCUCCGUCACCCCGUUCAUAUGCCUUCCCUUAGCCAGAGAACUUUUGUUAUUACCUUCCGCCCUAGGCGAUUCCACUCGACUUCGAUGAUACUUCGGAAGAUUCACAAAGAGCUUCCUACUACCAAUAUAAAUUUGGUCAAGUUCCUUCUCCAAAUUCCCCACAUUCUUCACAUCAAACAACCUCACAAACCCAAAUCUUUUUCCCCACUUGUUAAGCCUUCUAGAAAUAAAGACUUCUUUCACCCUUGCCCAUCUUUGGAAGAUUUUGAACAUGUCCAUCUCACCAAACCCAUUGGGGAAAUUUGAAAAGAAAAACGUUGUAGAGUUACUAGGUUGGAGAGAUGGUUUCCGUCGAGAUCUCUGGCCACCCUGCCUAUCUGAAGGGUACACUUUGCUACUCCCCUCUACUCCCCGUACUCGCACUCUGCUGCUCCCCGCUCCCUCCAUUUUUUGCAAAUUAGGUUCUUACCGAGUGGUCUACUUAUGAAUUGUAAAAUGUAAGAUAUUAAGAAUGAAUUAUGUUGUGUAUACAGGAGAAUCAAAUACUAUGCUUCAUUACCAACCCAUUCAAUCAAUUGUUUCCACUCCAACUUGAAGUGCUUAGCUUGACUGAUCUUAGAGUAAAAGGUCUGUUCCAAAUCAAAAUGGGAGAAGGGGGCAGUGGAGAACUUCUUCCUCUAAACUUGGAUAUAACUUAUCUAAACUUGGAGAAUCUACCUGAGCUAAACUUCAUAUGGAAGGGCCCCCCACAGGUUUUCUAAGCCUCCAAAAGCUUCACCAUGUUAAAGUGAUUGGAUGUCCAAAAUUGAAAAUCAUCUUCUCCACCAUUGUUGUUACAAGUUUAUCAAUGUUGAGUGUUCUGGGUAUACAUGACUGUGAUGAACUGGAACAAAUAUUUGAUUUAGGUGAUGCACCACAACUCCAAACCCUGGAUUCUUCCCAACAACUCUGCUUCCCAAAACUCUAUUCCAUUAUAGUUAAAAAGUGCAAUAAGUUGAAAUGUCUUUUUUACAAUCUAUCGGCUAGUCAUUUUCCCAGUCUGAGUACUUUGGAAAUAGAAGAGUGCUCUGAGUUACACAAGGCUUUUGGUUUUGAAAAUGAAGUUGAUGAUGGUGGUGAAGAAGAGACGGCUAAAAAGGGAGAACAACUACUACUACAGGAACUGGCACAUAUAACACUCAAAAAAUUGCCAAACUUCGAAGAGAUUCACCACGGAUUUAAGUUAAAAAAAAAUGUUAACCAUUACAUAACGAAAUGUCCUAAGUAUUCUCCAAGUUUAUAUCUGCAUACAGGUAAAAUUCACAUGUCCUUUUUCUAGACACAAUUACAUGUCUUUGGAUUAUGAUUGUUUUAAGUAAAAUAUAUUUAUCAGAUAUGUAAAUAGAAGACUACAGUGAAGUAUGGGAAGUGUGGUAUUGAUUUAAAAAACAAAGUGUGGAAUGGACAAUGCAACAGUGCCUCAAGUUAUCACCCAACUCAUCUCCAACCGCUACAAUAAAUUGGUCAGAUAACGUUUUUAAGUGUUGUAUAAAUAUGCAAGCUUGAUCAUAUUUGAAAUUAAUAUAAGACAUUUUUUCAAACGAAGAAAACCGUUUUUAUGAUGACAAUUGUGACUCGUGUGAAAUUGUUUAUUUCAUAGAUGUAAUUCUCCAUCAAAUUAAUACACUUACUUUCAUUUUUUUUUUUCCUAUAUGACUCAUGAUUUUCUAAAUUUUAAUGCAAAAUGCAAAAACUUGUUUAUAAUAGUAAGACAUGCUGAAAAUUUUAGUUUUUUGGCUCUAGUUUACGAGGCAAUUUUUUUAAGCCUAGAAAAGAAAAACUUUUGUAUAUUCUAACAUCUGAAAAAUUUCAUUGGGUUAGUACAUAAUCCAUUCUAAGUACAUGUUUUUAGUAUAACUCAUGUUUGUUCUAGCUAUCACUGUUGUUUUGCGAUUUGAUACCAAUGCUAACUCACUGAAAAAUUAUAACAUUUUUUAAAUUAACCAAUGCUAACUCACUGGCCCAGUAUUCUCAUGUCACUCAUUAUGGAAUAAUACUAAAACAUUGAUACCAUAUAAUUAUUUUGUAGGGACACAAUUGUUGGAGGGAAGCAGAGUGUUGUGACGAGUUGUGGGUGUAGGGGUGAUAUUAAAAUUUGUAUAUAAAUAAUCAAUAACAGAAAGAAAGUUCUGUCGGUUAAAUAUUUAUCUCUGUGAGUGUUUAUUUUCUUGUUUUAGGAUUCAAGAAUUUGAUAGGGAAUAGGUGAUAUUGUAAGAUGUCUAAGUUUUAUGUCGUGUAUCGUGUAAUAUGAAACACUCAGUGCUAUAUUUAAGUGUUUGAUUCUUCCCUCUUUGAAUUAAUUUUUUAGAGUGAUUCUCCAAAUAUUUAGAUAUUUAUCAAUUCAUAUUAUCAGAGCUAGUUAGCAAAUCCCCGUAAGAACUAAGGAAGAAGAAUUUGAAAUCCUAAUAACCUAAAAGACAUGUGAUUAGUACUUCAAAAGUACCUGGAAUGCACCAUCAUAAACAAAUUUUUGUCGCUGUUACAAAAAUUAAUUAAUUAUAACUAACUAGCCAAUUCUCUGUCAAUUUAUCAUACAAGUAGCACAAAAAGAAUAAAUGAAAAUUAGUAAAUUUGGUUUCAUUGUCCAAUUCACAAGGUACUAAUUAACAUCCUCAGAUUCAAUAAACUAUUUUUUCUAAAGAAAGAUAUAAUUUUUGAACUUCUAUCUCGGUUUGAUGGUUGGUACACUUCCACUGACAAGGUCACUACCUGACACAUCUCCUGAAAUAAAAGGAGUGUUUAUAGUAGAUGAUGAAGGUUGUGAACUCAAUAUUGUACCAGAAGAAUCACUUGUAACAUAUUCAACUCCCUUGGAAUCUGGCUCAAGUAACAUAGCACAGAUGUAUUCA